UGGUAUUCACAUUAGAAAAGCCAUUAAAAUCCCCCUCGAAAAAUCUUUAAGAGGAAAAAAAACUCCAAUAAAAUAAUUUGGGAUUUUAAUAAGGGAAUUUAAUUUAGUUUACUUUUGUGGAGAGCUUGGAAGGAGGAUCUGAUCUGUUUCUAAUUGAGAGUCUCCCAUUUAUUUCACUUUUUGUUUUCUUAUUUAUUUAUUUAUAUCUGAAAAUAUAAUAUGCUCAAAUAAUAUUAAAGGAUAAAUAAAAAUAUAUUAUACAACCAACCCUAGGUAGCGAAGAGUCGACAUUGAGGUGCCAAACUUUCCCGUCAAUGUGAGCUCUUGGAGAGGAUCAACUUGUUAUCCCUAGAGUAACUUUUAUCCGUUGAAAGACGACCCUUCCACUCGGCACCACCGAAUCAUUAAAGCUGACUUUCGUCCCUACUCGAUGGGUUGUUCUUGCAAUCAAGCUCCCAUCUACUUUUGCACUUAAGGACCAAUCUCCAUCCAGCACGAGCCUUUGCACGCCUCUAUUACGUUUUAGGAGGCCUACGCCCGUUAGAAACUAUCAACCUGAGACUGUCCUUUGGCUUGUAGGUCUUGGCACAAGGUUAAAAUUCUCGCUCUUCCAAAGUGGAUACUGAUGGCUCGGUCCCCCUUAAGAGGAGGCCUUCUUCGCCUUCCACCUAAGUUGCGCAAGAAAAUCCCAAAGCCAUGUUGGAAUGUUGAGGAAUUAAAAAAUAAAGAUAGAGGAAAAAUGAACUCAAAGUUCUUGUGAAAUUGAUGUAAUUUAUUAUUCACAUAUCAAAGCUUUAUAUAGGCAAAAGAAAACAUCUAUGAACUAGAAAAUAGGAGCCACUACUAACAGAUAUUCAAAAAUAGUAGAACAAAUCAAUAAAAAUAUUAACCAAAUCACUAACAAGUCAACUCCUAAAUUCAAGGUCUGCAAACCACCUAUUUUGACUCAAUCAACCCCACAUGCAACCUUAACAAAUCCUCUCUUAAACCAAAUAUUUGUAAAUUUUUGGUUUAAGAAAAAUGUCAGCUUCAAACCAGUAAAUCUUCCAAAGUGCAGAUUCCAAGCAACUUCCUCAACUUUUAAAAUGUAGCUAUCUUUAGAGAUUUGGUGAAGAUGUCAGCAACUUGGACUUCACUCCUACAAUAAACCAAAUCAAUGACUCUAUUAUUUGUGAGGUCCCUCAAAAAAUUAAUGAAACUUUACAUCUAUAUGCUUACUUCUUCCAUGUAACAUCGAAUUUUUGGAAAGUUUGAUUGUUGAAUUAUUGUCACAGAAGAUUGUUGUUGCUCCUUGUUGCGAUAAGUGUAGUUCUUCAAGAAUUUUUCUCAACCAAAUAACUUGGCAGGCACAAGCUGUAGCAGCUACAAACUUAGCUUCAGUGGUAAAGAAAGUGACAAUUGGUUGCUUCUUUGAAAACUAUGAAACAACCCUAAAACCCAACAUAAAAGCAUAACAUGAAUUACUCUUUCUAUCAUCAAGAUCACCAGCAUAAUCAUUGUCAAUGAAGCCAAACAAAUCUGAAUUUUCACCCUUUUUGUACAACAAUCCGUAACUAGUAAUACCUUUCAAAUAUCGAAGUAUUCUUUUUACAACUAAAAGAUGAAUCUGCUUUGGGCACUCCAUGAAAAUGCUAAUGAGACUUACAACAUGCGUAAUGUCUAGUCUUGUUGCAAUUAGAUAGAUUAAGCUUCCCACCAUUUGCUUGUAAGAGGUGUUGUUAAUCUUAUUUCCUUCAAGAUUUGGAACAAGUUUUAGACCAACUUCACUCGGUGUGCCAACAAAAUUGCAAUUUUUCAUACCAAACUUGUCCAAAAUUUCUUGCAUAUAUAUUUUUUUGAGAAAUAAAAAUUCCAGCAGCAAAUUGUAUCACUUCAAUGCCAAAAUAAUAAUGUAACAUGCCAAGAUCAGUUAUGUCAAAUUCAACCAUCAUGGAAUUCUUAAAUUUUCCAAACAUGACAACAUCACUCCUAGUAAAAAUAAGAUCAUCCACAUACAAGCAAACAAUAAUCAUCUUACCUCCUUCACUAACAUUGGUAAAAAAAUGUAUGCUCAUACGGACACUUUUGAAAGCCUUCUUUUAGAAAGUAAACUUUGAUGCGGCUAUACCAAACCUUUGGGGCUUGUUUCAAUUCGUACAAGGCUUUCUUUAACAUGUACACUUUUUUCUCAUUUCCAUGCUUCACAUAUCUAGGAGGUUGAUCAAAAAAUACUUGUUCUUUCAAAUCACCAAUAGAAAGACCGGUUUCACAUCUAAUUGUAAAAUAGGCCAUGAAUGUUGAGUUGCAAGGGAAAUCGCUAACCUGAUUGUAUCAUGACGAGCAACAGUAGCAAACACCUAUUUGUAAUCAACAUCAAAUUCCUACUUAUAGCCCUUAGCUACUAGGCGUGCCUUGUAUUUGUCAAACUCACCAUUUUUCUUUAAUUCUGUCUUGUAAACCCACUUCACACCAAUAUUUUUGUGCCCUUUUGAAAGAUCAGUCAACUCCCAAAUGUUGUUGCGUUCAAUGGUUGUCAUUUCUUCACUCAUUGCCUUUCUCCUUUUAGACUCUUUAACAACUUCUUCAAAAGCUAUAAGAUCACAAUCUAAAAAAAGAGUAAAAUGAGUGACUUCCUCUUCUUUAAUUCCCUCUACCAUAAAAUUCUCCAUCCAUGGAGGUCUCCUCUUGUUACUUUAAGGACUAUCAAUUUGUUGGUUCAGCUACUUGUUGCUCAUUUUGCACUCGCUCUAUUGGAUGUUGCCUUUCAUCUUCAUUUUCACCAUCAAAGUUAGCUUGUAUUUAUUAUAAAAUUCUCCAUCCAUGGAGGUCUCCUCUUGUUACGUUCAGGACGAUCAAUUUGUUAGUUCAGCUACUUGUUGCUCAUUUUGCACUCGCUUUAUUGGAUAUUGCCUUUCAUCUUCAUUUUCACCAUCAAAGUUAGCUUGUAUUUAUUGUUCACCUCGUUGCCUGCAUCUCGAUUCCAAAACCGAUCCUCAUCAAACACCACAUGACGGCUAAUAACAAUUUUCUUGGUAAUAGGAUUCUACAAUUUGUAUGCUUUUGAUUGCUCACUAACACAAAAAAAUGAUUUUUUCUCCUUUGUCAUCAAGUUUUUUCCUCUUUUGAUCUGGAACAUGGGCAUAUUUUAAACAAUUACAGUGGGACUUCUGUUCAAAAUAUGAACGCUCCAAUUGACAGCUUCAGGCUACAAAGCUUUUCGAACUCCACUCCUUGUCAAAAGACUUCGUACCAUGUUCAAAAUUGUGUAAUUCUUCCUUUUGCAAAUGUUAUUUUGUUGAGGCGUGUAUGCUGCAAUUAAUUACUUCUUUAUUCCUUGCUCAUAACAAAAAACAACAAACUCAUCCAAAUUGUAUUAUCCAUCACGAUCACUACGCAACACAUUUAUUGGAGUACCUGCUUCUUUUUCAACUAGAGCUUUGAAACUUUUAAAAGCUAUGAGAGCUUUAUAUUUUUCAUGUAAAUAAUAAACUCAAGUUUUUCUACUGAAAUCAUCACUGAACAAUAUAAAAUAUCGUUUACCUCCAAUUGACAUCGAAUUGAUGGGUCCACACAAGUCCGAAUUCACCAUUUCCAAUUCCUUCCUCGCUCUUCAUGAUUUUCCUUUUUGAAACGGUUCCCGAUGGUGUUUACCAAUGACACAUUCUUUACAUACUUGAGAAGGAAUCUAGAUUUGUGAGAGGCCUAUUACUAUAUUAUUUUUCUGCAAUGUUUUAAAUCUCCAAAAUUUAACUGUCCAUACCCAAAAUGCCAAAGCCAACUUUCAUCUUUCAACCUUACAGAGAAACAUGAGUUGGUGACAAUGUGGAGGUACAAUGGAAACAUCCUAUUAGGUGUUAUAUCAACUUGGGCAAUCAACCUCAAUUUACCAUCUUGAAUUUUUGAAACUCCAUCUUUAAUGAAAAUUUCAUAUCCCUUUUCUUGCAGUUGACCAAUACUCAAGAAAUUUUUCCUCAAGUCUGGAACAAAGAGAACAUUAUAUAUGGUUUGAAUUAUUACCUCUCAUUUUCCCAUAAUAGAGACUCUUGAAUUAUCACCAAACUUCACAUUGUCACGAAAGGAUUCAUCCAACACUGAAAACGCAGACUUGUCACCACUUAUAUGGUUAUUGCAACCUAUGUCCAAGUACCAUAGAUUCUUCUGCAUUUCUUCUUUGACAUGACAAACCAUCAGUAAAGACACUUCUCUUUAUUUUUUUCAAAAUUAGUUUUUUCUCCAUUUUCAUUAUUCAAAUUAACUUGACAUUCUAAUUGAUAAUGACCAUACCUAUGACAUCGAAAUACUCAACAUCAGACUUGUCUAUUGACUUUCUUAUAAAAGAUGUAUAGUUAUGGCCUUCACGUCCUCUCCCUCUAUUUUGGAAGUGAGAUUCAUUGUUACUUCUACCUCUGCCUUUGCUUCUACUUCUUCCUCUACCACGAUUUCCUCUAGUCGUAGAAUGAUUAUAUGUAGAAGCCUUCAAUGCAUGCUCCUCCUUCUCCUGCUGGCAAAAUUUUUGUUCAUGAACCAAUAAGGAACUCUGUAGAUCAUCAAUUGAAAGUUCCUGAAUGAGAUAAGCUUCCUCAAUGGAACAAACAACAAAAUUGAAUUUUGGGGACAUUGAGCGAAGUAUCUUCUAAACAACAGUAACAUCAUCUAUUUUGUCACCAUGGAUCAGCAUCUUGUUGACAAUAGACAUUGUACGUGAAAAAUAAUUAGUUACUGACUCACCCAAUUUCAUUUGUAGUGUUUCAAAAUUCGAACAAAGAGCUUGAAGAUGUUGCCUCUUUACCCUUUCAGAACCAUGAAUUUUUUUCGUCAUAGAAUCCCAAAUAUGCUUAGACGUUUUGUAGAGGAUGGUUUCCAAGAUUUAAUGAUCAAUAGCUUGGAAAAGAUAAUUUUUCUCCUUAAAAUCCUUCAAGUGCAGCCCUUCUAUUUCUUUUUUUUUUUUUUGAGUCUCUGUCACUACUUGGCAGUUGUUGGUUCCUCAAUUCCUCAAAAACAACCUGCCAAUACUCUUUGGACCUCAAUAACUUCUCCAUCAACAUACUCCAGUGAUCAUAAUGCCCUUCAAAAUGAUGAAUAGAUGGUUGAACAAAGUUGUCGAUGGCUAUCACUUUGUUUGUUGCUAUUGCAAAACAAAAAAAAACUUUUAACCCAACUUAGAUACCACUGUUGGAAUGUAGAGGAAUUAAAAAAUAAAUAAAGAGGAAAAAUGAACUCAAAGUUCUUGUGAAGCUACUAUCAUUUAUUAUUCACAUAUCAAAGCUUUAUAUAGGUAAAAGAAAACAACUAUGAACAGAAAAUAGGAGACACUACUAACAGAUAUUUGAAAAUAGUGGAACAAAUCAAUAAAAAUAUUAACCAAAUCACUAACAACCCAACUCCUAAAUUCAAGGUCUGCAAACCACCUAUUUUGACUCAAUCAAACCCCUCAUAGAACCUUAACAAGUCAAUACCAGGGAACAGUGAAGUUUCGUAGGGUCUUUCUACCCAAAAUCUUAUUUUUAUUUUUUAUAGAAUGCCUAGAACCCAUAACCACUCACUAAUUUCAUCAAUCCAUAAUAUGUUAUCAUGCACUUAUCAACAUUAUUCAUUUCCAUAUCAACUCAAUUCAACAUAUAAAUCAUUAUACAUUAUUUUCAGAUCCAAUAAAGCUCUUAUCACAACCAAUCAACCAAUUAAUUUCAUUCAACUCAAUUCAUCAAUUCAAAACAUUUCUUUCACAACUAACUUGCCUUGAUACCUUAUCAUGCAAAGUAAUGGAAAAAUGCAACAAUUAAGAUAGUUCGAAUUAUAAAAAUACAAAUAGUAAAUUGUGAGCUAUUCGUCGACUACUUUGUCUUUUCCUUUCUUUUUUAAGGGAUUCGGGUCGAUGUUAGCUACGGAUUAAAACAAACACACAAUAUUAUCAAUACACAGCACAAAAUUACAUUCAAUUUCUAAUUUAUGUAACUUUUACAUUUUAUUCAAUUUAUUCCCUAAAACCGGGACUAAAAUAACUUUCACAUUUAACGCCAAUUUCUUAUGCCAGAUUCACUAGAGUCCCUAUAGGACCUCCUAUUUUCAUUUUUACCACUAAUUUCAAAAUUUUAUUAACUUUAGUCCCUGUUGAACAAAUCAUCAAUUUAUUUUACAAAUUAGUCUUUUUUUAACUUUAAACUUAAAAUCUAUCAAAUUCACCCCUAAAACUUCAAGUAUCCAUCAAUAGCAACAUUCUCAAUCUUUAAGAAAUACCAAAAAAAUAUGACAUGGGUCAACUAACUUAAGCUACCAAGAUUCUAAAAACAUAAAAAUUAAAAAAAAAGGACAAAACUAAAUUAACUAACUAAUUAAAAUUUGAAAACUUUAAAACCCUUCGCGGUUCGUAAGCUUCUUCUCCUAGCUUCGAAAUGUUUAACAUGAAGAGAAUAAAUGUUUUUCUCUUUCAAUCCACUAGCUAAACAUCUUCUUUUCUUUUAAUUAGAUUUUAAUUUAAUUUAUAUUAUAAUUAACUAAUGUUUAUGUAAUACAAACUUGUAUUAUAUUUAGUUAACCAGUCAUAUAUCCACAUAUUUAAAGUUUAUUUUCUAUUUAAGUCCCUUAAAUUAAGUUUUAAUUAUAAUCCUUAACAAUUUACAUUUUUAUUACUUAUGGGAUUUAGUCUUUGUACUCAAAUUAAGCCCUAAUUGGAUAAAAUUAUUCGACCGAAAUUCAAUUCACUUAAAUUAUAAUUCCGUAAAUAUUUAAUAAAAAUAUUUAGGAGUCCAACUUACGGAAUCGGGAUUCUAAAACCACACUUUCUAACACCACUGACUUUUGGGUCGUUACAUUAGCUACGUCCGAUAAUGCAAUUAUAAAGCAAUGUAAGUUUACAUUGAAUUCACAUUCAAAUACAUAACCAACAUAUUUUACAUUUUAGUCAAUUUAGUUUCUAUAUUCGGGAUACUCAUAUAUUUCAACAUCUAACAUCGGAUCAAAAUCCGAUUUCACAUUCUUUUGUUAGGGACCUUAUACUUUCUACCUAUAGCAUAAUUUCAUGAUAGUUUUCAAUUUAUUAAAUUUAGCCCCUAAUGUUAUAAAGUUAUCUAACAAGUUUAAUUUAGUUUCUAAUUUAGUCCUUAUCACAAUUAAGCUUUCUAACUAUAAAUUUCUUCACUUUAAGCUCAAAAUCAUGAAUUUCAUUGAAAUGGUUACUUGCUAAAUAUCAACUAAUUGAUCCAAUUAAUAUAUGGAUUAGCUAAUUUAAGCUCCUGUAAUAUAUUUAAAAUUUAUUAAAUAACCAUUUUGGUCCAUUGGAUAAUUUCUAACUAGGUCUCCAAGAUUUUUCUCAAUUAAAAUUCAAUAUCGUUUGGACUUUUACAAUUUAGUCCCUAAGUUUUCAUUAACUAUUUUCUCAGUUAAAUUACAUAACUGAUCUUCAAUAUAUUUUUAUACUAACUCCGUCGAUAUUACUAUUUUACCUUCACGGAAUUGGUUUAUAGAAAUGAGAUUCCAAAACUGCAUUUUUUGAGACCACUUAAAAUUGGGUCUUUACAAGAAGAAAUUCUUCCAUUGCAUUAACUUACAACCAAUGUUUUCCUAAUUUUUAUACUAAUCGGCUACAUAAAAAAGAAAAAAAGAAAACUAACAAUUACAUACUAACAAACUAACUGAUUAACAGCUUGUAAACUAAUUUUGUAACAACCUAAUAGUCAAGUUCUCUACAGCCACAUAUACAUCAACAACACUCUCGUACGUAUUAAACGCUUCCCUGAUCACCGACGAGUCACUACACCAGAAUAGGUUUUUAGCGGCAUUUUUUAGGCCUUUAGCGGCGCUUUUUAACGCCACUAAAGGCAUUUGCGGCGCUUGAAGAAGAGCCACAAAAAAUGCCGCUAACGACAACGUCGCUAACUUUUGCGGCGCUUACAGAAAAAAACAUCGCUAAAGAUCAUGUUCUUUAGCGGCGCUAAGGAAAUAAAUGCCACUAAAGAUCAUGUUCUUUAGCGGCGCUUACGAAAAAACGCCGCUAAAGAUCAUGUUCUUUAGCGGCGCUUACGAAAAAAACGCCGCUAAAGAUCAUGUUCUUUAGCGGCGCUUGGGAAAAAACGCCGCUAAAGAUCAUGUUCUUUAACGGCGCUUGGGAAAAAACUCCACUAAAGAUCAUGUUCUUUAGCGGCGCUUGGGAAAAAACGCCGCUAAAGAUCAUGUUCUUUAGCGGCGCUUAGGAAGAAAACACCGCUAAAAGUAAUGUUCUAUAACGGCGCUUGGUCAAAAACGCCGCUAACAGUAGUGUUCUUUAGCAGCGCUUAUUUCACAAACGCCACUAUUUGAUAUGACUUUUAGCGGCGCUUUUUUAGAAAACGCCACUAAUUUUGGGAUUUUUUUAAAAUAAAACUUUCUGUUUUUUUCAGCCCUCCUGCAACAACAAAUCAAAAGCAACCAGAUCUAAACUAACCAAAAACAAUAAAUUUAUAUAAUAUUUCAAAUUAAAUGACUAAAAUAAUAUUAAUUGAUAUAAAUAAAAGUGAAUUCAUACUUUUCUUUUCAAAAACGUUAAAAGUUAAAAUGAUAAAAAUAUUUAUGCAAUAUACACUAUGAUGGCGGAAGUUGCGACUGCUGAAACAUCUUCAUCAUAAUCUGAAGAUGCUGUUGAAGUUCGUCGUACUUUUUGCUCUGCUCUGCCUCUCUCGAUGCCGCAUCUUUUUGAAGUCGUAGCUGUAGUUCUUCAUAUUUCUUUUGAACCUCUGCUUCUAUCGCUGCUUCUCUCGCUGUAGCCUCUGCUUCCCUCGCUGCCGCCUCUGCUUUAAGUUGUUGCUGAAGUUCUUCAUAUUUCCUUUGAACCUCAAAUGUGGUCGCUUGCAUCUGAGCCAUCUGGUCUUUUAACCUCUGAACUUCAGCUUGAGAUUGACUCCCCGAAGCCAUGUAUUGGUGCGAGCUGGAUCCAAAAUAUUGGAUUGGGCUGAUAAAAGAUCCUUGAAAUCGAACCCGACCAUACUUUUCAGGACCAAAAACUUCAGUAAUAAUCCGGUUAUCAAUGUCUUCAAGAUGAACAGAACUAUCACUAGAAGCAAUCGCUUCGUACUCCGUCUUUUUUUCCUUUAGUUUUUCCUAAUAAAUAAAUCACAUAGUUAGGAACGCAAUAUAUAUUAAAAAAAACAAAUGCAAUAUAACAAUAGUUGCAUUACGCAAUGAAUUAAACCAUUAGAAAAUAAACACUAUAAAUAACUAAAACAAGUCAAAUCGUAUUAAGUAAACGUACCAUAAUUUCACCAGCUUCAGGAGUCAUAGCAGAUCCAUCUUUCCUCUUAUGUGUAAUUUCAAAAAGUUGAAGGCGUCCAACUUUUUGACCGGACGACCGUUCCUACAAUAUAAUAGUAAAAAUAUUAUUUAAUAGAAAGUUAUACAUAUUUGAGAAUAUUAAAAAAUUAAAAAUACCUCCGCCUCAGCUACACAUGCAAAACUUCUCGACCUGGCUGUGUGAGUGAAAUUUUGUUGCUGCUGGCUGCUUUUUCCAACUCGUUCACGAUCCUACGUUAUAAAAUUUUUAGUACGUAAAUAGUAAAUACUAUAAACCAAAAUAAUUACAAUAGUUUGGAAGUACGUCGUACCUCGCCUUUCUGAGAAUGCCAAAAUCUAACCGCAUCUUCCCAUUGGUACCUCAACAUACCCGGCGGGACAUUUUGCAAUUUCUCAUCGAGGGUUGUUUUUGUCUUAUAAUAAUUUUUCUUCAAAGUACUUUUAUUGUCUCUCCAUCUUUUUUCCCAAUGCCUUCUUUACAUAAGCAUCCGAGACCUCUAAAGCAAACCUCGCCUACAAAAAACACAAGUUAAUAAAGUAAAUAUAAAUGAAACUAUUUCCCAAGCAUUACAGAUGACAUUAAUAAAAUUUGUUACCUUAAUAUUAUCGAGGGCUUGGUUUUUGUUGCUAUCGGGCAUUUGACGCCAUGACUCGUAGUUGAUAGGCAACAUAUUCACAUUUCGUGCUAAAAUGCCCAUGUAUCCUACUAAAAGUCGAGCUUCUGAUCCAACAGGCUGACCAAAACUGUUUCUACAUACCUUGACACGCUCGACUGGAUCUAACUCGUAUAACUCUCUAAGUAGCGUACGUCCUCGACCUCUGCGCAUCCCACCAUUUUCAGCUACAAAUGGUAUAUUAUAAUAUAAGAAUUUGAAAAAUAAAUCAAUUAUAAAUCAACACGCAUGUAAAUUAAAUGUAAAAUUACUUUGAACUUCCGUAGGAUCCUCAGGUGUAAUUGGAACAUUCGAAUAUCCAAUUGCUGUCCGUUGUUCAGUACUAUUUGUUUCCGUCGAGUUUGGAUCAUUUUGAACAAUGCUUUCCCUUAUAAUUUUUCUUCUAGGCAUUUUAUCUGCAAUACACAUAAAAUGUAAUUAAACUUAAUAACUAAUUACAACAAUAACAGCACAUAUAAAAUAGUUGAAAUAUAUAAUAAGACCAAGAUUUAAUACUAAUGUAAGUUACAUAUAAUUAAGCAAUCGUAAAAUCUUACUACAUCAUUAUUCGUAAAUAUCUUCAUCCGUAUCCUGACGAACCCAUUGAAAUUGUGCACUAGUACUAGGGAUAUUAUCAUUUAAGUUUUGUCUUGGAAAUGGCAGAGUUUCUGAUCUGUCGUCGAUGUUAUCUCUACUUCCACUGCCCAUGUCAAACAAGUCUCUAGGGAUGUUACGGAGUACAACGUACCAACCCUCAUUAGUUGGAUCUUUUGAGUAAAAAACUUGUUUGACUUGAGAUGAGAAUACAGAGUUGGAUCUAUCAGUUGUUGUCCUGUGUGAAUCACUCGGUCAAAGUUCACCAUUGUAAAACCAAAUUGAUCUUGCUUGAUUCCACGAGCUGUAUUAACAUCAGCCCAAUCACCUCGAAAUAAGACAACUUUCCAUUUGCCGUAGUAAUCCAACUCAAUUAUGUCAGUAAGAUGUUUGAAAUAUUUCACAUUUCCCUCGACAGGAUUAUUGUCCCUAGCACUAGCAUAACUUGUAAUUGCAGAAUUAACAACUAUUCUAUAAUUUUGCGUUCUCCUCAACCACUCGCGAUAUUUUGUAUGAAAUCUGAAUCCGUUGAUGAGGAACGCACUAUAUCUUUUAACCACUCGAUUUGGACCUUGGGAGAUCCAUUUAACUUCGUCGUCUACGUUCUUCCCACUCCAAACCUAUUGAAUGGAAAGUAAACUGAGUAAUUAAAAAUAUUAUGCGAAAACAUUAUUAUUUGUAAGCGGAAGCUCCAACUGCAUAUCGUUUGGCUUAACCAUUCAUAAAAAGAUUCUGUAAACAACUUAUUGAUAUCUCGAUGUUGUGUUCUUCGGGAGCGCGAACGAGAUCUCAAUAUUUGUUUCUACUUACUGUGUUAAAAAAAUGUUCACUUUGUUAGAAGAUAAACAAUUACUCAGUUUGAUAAAUAUUUAUCAAAUUUGUAGAACUUACUUCCGUAAAGGUUUCAAUGAUUCGUGGUGAAACAGAACAUAUCGAUGUGCUUGUACCCACGAUAAAUAAUCUAAUUCUGCAAUUUCAACUUUGCCGAUUGGUUCUCCAAAACUUUGGAACAAAUAAGUAUCGGCUAAGUUAUGGUCCGCGAGUCCAGCAUUCCCAUUUGGUCUGUUCAACCUUGUUUCAACAUCUUCCAAAUAUCUUGAGCAGAAGGUCAUACAUUCCUCUACCAAGUAGCCUUCAGCAAUCGAUCCUUCUGGAUAUCGCUUGUUGCGGCAGUAAGACUUUAAUUUGGAUAGGAACCUAAACACAAUAUACAACAUUAUCAAAAGUUGUAACUAAAGGCAUAGAGGUGAAUGAAGGAAAAUUUUAAAAAUUUUAAUUAACACCUUUCUAUGGGAUACAUCCAUCGAUAGAAAACGGGUCCGCCAAGAAUUACUUCGUGCGGGAGAUGGAUUAUCAAGUGAACCAUAAUGGUGAAGAAGGAAGGUGGGAAGAUUUUCUCCAUAUUGCAUAAAGUCAAAGCGGCUCGAUCCUGUACCUUCUGAAGUUCUUGAACAUCCAAAACUUUGCCACAAAUGGCUUUCAUUAUAUUGGAUAGUUCAAUUAUACAAGACGUCACCUUCUUGGACAUACAAGAUCGUAGAGCAACUGGUAGUAAAUCUUGCAUCAAGAUGUGAUAGUCAUGUGAUUUUAGCGAAUAUAAUCUUCGAUCUUUAACACUAACACAUCGAGAUAUAUUUGAUGCAUACGCAUCUGGAACCUUUAUAUCCUUCAACACCAUGCAAAACAGUUCUUUCUCCGUCUUGGACAUUGAGAAAAUAGAAGGCGGCAACCGAUAUUUCCCAUUCGGAAGUGGAUUGGGAUGAAGAUCAGGCCGAAUUCCCAUUUGGACUAAAUCAAGUCGACUCUGAAGAUUGUCUUUUGAUUUUUCGUCAACAUUCAAAAUUGUACCCACAAUGUUCUCGCAGACAUUUUUCUCAAUGUGCAUAACAUCAAGAUUGUGUCGUAAAAGGCGAUGCUCCUAAUAAGGAAACUCAAAGAAAAUACUUCUUUUUUUCCACAAGUCCGCCUCAUUAGGAUCAUCCUCUUCAUCAGAGUCAUCAUCAGCUUCAUCAUUUGAUCUUCUAUUUCUUUGCGUGCUUGGCGGUUGGUUCAUCUUCCCAUAAAUGAAAUUCAUAUCUUCCAACAUGAACAAGAUUUCAGAGCCACUGGUCUGCGAAGGAGCUUCUCUAAACUCUUCAGUACCGUCAAAUACGGAACUCUGAAAUCUAAAUCUAUGAUUUUCUGGUAACCACCGACAAUGCACCAUGUAAGAGAACUUCUUCCCAUUGUACAACCAUUGUGAACAUGUUUGUGCAGCACAACAAGGACACACAUAACGACCCUUGGUACUCCAACCGGAUAAAUUGGCAUAAGCGGGAAAGUCAUUAAUGGUCCACAUCAAAGCUGCACGUAAAUAAAGUUCUCCUUUCUCAGCACAUCGUAUGUCUCGACACCAGCCCAUAAUUGUUUUAACUCUUCAAUAAGUGGCUGUAAAUAAAUGUCGAUAUCAUUCCCGGGCCCUUUCUCUCCAGGGAUAAUCAUAGAUAAGAUAAGGGAAGAUUGCUUCAUGCAAAUCCACGGAGGCAGAUUGUAAGGAACAAGCACUACUGGCCAAGUACUGUACGCAGUGCUCAUGAUCUUGAAAGGAUUAAAUCCAUCAGAUACUAGCCCAAGCCUCACACUCCUAAGAUCGCUUGCAAAGCCUGAAAAUUUAUUGUCAAAUGAUUUCCAAGCUAAAGAAUCUGCCGGAUGCCUUAGUAAUCCAUCAUCGGUUCAUCCAUCAUGGUGCCACGUCAUUGACUCCACUGUCUUCAACGACAUGAAAAGCCUUUGAAGCCUUGGUAUCAGGGGAAAAUACCGUAAAAUCUUGACUGGCUUCUUUCUCCACUGUGCAUCAUUUUCAUCGUCGUUCUCAUCUUCUGUGUUUCUACUAAUCCAACGGGAUUGGCCGCAUACAUGACAGCAUUGUUGGUUUUUUCGAUCGCCCCAAUACAACAUGCAGUCAUUUGGGCAACUAUGGAUUUUGUUGUACCCAAGGCCUAAAUCUUUUAUCAUUUUCUUCAUAUCUUUGCAUGAGUGAGGGAUUUUUGCAAACGGAAACAUUUCUCUCAAAAACUCUAACAGCAUUGUCAACGAGUUUCCAGUCCACCCUCCCAAACAUUUUAACUGAAAAAGACGAACACAGAAUGAUAUUUUUGAAAAUUUUGAUCCCUCAUACAGUUCUUCGUUCAUGUCAUUAAGUAGCGCGUAGAACUUCGCCGCUUCUCCAUUCGGCUCUUCAUGAGGUACACUACUGCCCGGUUCGGUAAAUGUAGUUCCUCCAAUAUUACAAUCAUCAGAUGCCACAAAAUCCGCUGGGAACGACUGCACACCAUGAUUGUGCAUAUUAAAUGCAUCCCGCAACAUACCUUCCAUGUCAUCCCAUCUUUCAGACUGAUGGUAAUUAGCAGUACCAGGAUAAGAUACAUCCAUCCUUGAAGAGGAAGUACUAGGCGGGCAUUCUCUAUGAAAAAACCAUUGCUUAUAACCCCGAACAAACCCAUCAAUAAUUAGAUGCUCGUAUACAACCUCACGAUAAUGCCAGUUUAUGUUGACACACUUCUUACACGAGCAAAGAAUCAUGUUCUCUUGGCUUGCAUAUAGAAAUGCAAAAUUUAGAAAAUACUGUACUCCAUUUCGAUAACCAUUGCUAACCCUUGACAAAUUCAUCCAAGUCCGGUCCAUUUCUUAAUUCUUGAAUUCUGACGUUCACAAUAAUUUGCACGGGUAAGUUAAAACGCCAGUUAUAACCAUAAAUGAAUUUCAGAAAUUUGUGAUAUGAUAUAUUUUUAUGUAUUAUGUAAGUUAUGUAACUUACGUAAGUUAUCAAAUUAAUGUAUGUUAUGUAAGUUGUAAGUUAUUUUGUAUUAUGUAAGUUAUGUAAGUUAUGUAUUAUGUAGGUUAUGUAAGUUGUGUAAGAUAUUUAAGUUAUGUAAGUUUUGUAAUAUGUAAGUUAUGUAUGCUAUGUAUAAUGUAAGUUGUUAUGUUAUUAUGUAAGUUAUGCAAGUUUAAAUAUAAGCUUGUAGAUAACUUAUGUAAGUUAAUAUGUAAGUAAUGUAUUAUGUAAGUUGUUAUAAAAAUUUUAUAUAAGUUAUGUAUUAUGUAAGGUAACAUAUAAGUUUAUGUAAGUUAUGAAUGUAAGUUAUGUAUUAUGUAAGUUAUUUAAAUUAUUUAAGUUGUGUAUUAUAUAAGUCAUGUAGGCUAUGUGUUAUGUAUGUAAAUUACGAUAUGAUUGAUAAAUUUUUCAAAUAUAUCAAUAAAAUUUUAAUAAAUAUAUUAAAACUGUAUAUAAAUAUAUAUAUCAAAGAUGUUUUAAAAUAUAACUUUGAAUACAUUUCAUUUAAAAUAUAAUUUUGUAGCUUUAAUCUCCGGAUAAUUCAAAGAUCGAUACGAUAUGAUGUAUAUUUUGUAGCUUUUAUUAAUUCAAACAACAAAUUAUGUCAGUAAAAAAAAACAUUGACUUCGAAUUACAAGAUAUAAUUAAUUUGUUUAUAUUUAUGAAAACAAUUUUUGUUAUUAAAGAAAUAAUACUUUGAAUUGCCAUUACAAAAUAAAUAUAUUUCGAAAAAGUAUAUUUUUAUUUUAAUAGAAAAUAUAAAUAAAUAUACAAAUUUAUUUGUAUGUAAAAGAUUAUUAAUCAUUAACAUAAAACCAUUAUGUAAGUUAAGAUCGAUAAUUAAUCAUUAAUUUGAAGUAAAAUUUAUAAUUGCAACACAUAAUAUCGGAAAUCGAUGAUUUAUAAACGCUAAACCAAUUAAACGAUUCGCCCAUAAUUUAUUCAAUUACUCAAAUAUAUAAAGUUGUUUAAGAGUUGUAUUCCGAAUUUUAAUAGUUUAAAACAAUUGGCUUUGCCGAAUAUCUUGAGCAGAAAAUUUAAACGUCAAAUAAUGUAAUAAGCUGCAAAGUCAAAUACAAAUUUAGCUAAAAUGGUAAUUAAAACUCCCAUCUAAAAAUGAAAAAUAAUAAUUAAAUUAUACAACUAAAUAUAACAAAAAAAAUUUAACAAUUUGACUUUUUUAUAAGAAACCUAAAUAGAGAAACAUAGGAAUAAAUACCUUAAAUUUCCUCAAUUCCGAAGAAAAUCCUAGAAAAAAAAAGACAGAAAUACAUUAGUACCGAAAAAACAGAAGUAAUUAAAGCCAAAAAACUAAAAAAAACAGGAGUUUAUACUCACAAAGUUAGCUAAACUAAAAAAACUAAAAAAAACCUAAAUGCAUAAAUGAUUUAAAGCCAUAUCACAUACAUUGUUUCUUUUAAAUAAGCCUAAAUGCAUCCAUGUGCAAACCAGCACAUAUAAAAACUAUUACAUUAUUUAUCAGCUUAUAACCCACCAUUGUAAAACUGAUCAGGUUGCUACUGUAAAAAGGUACAUGACAGUGAAUUAGAUGAUAUUAAAGGUUUAAAAUUGAACAUAUAUAUGAAUAUAUGUUGAAACCUAACCUAACCAAAUCAUGUUGGAGAAAUCACAUUUUCUUCUAAAUUAUUAUUUAUUCGUCGAAUGCCACGACAGAAUCAAUCCACCACCAAUGUCCCUAACAAUACCUCUCAAAACCCAACUCUUCCGACUCCAAUAAUAGCCAUUAGCUAACAUCUACCUCACCCUCUACUAACUAUACUAGGACCACCACAACUAACACUAACAUCUCCCAUUGAACCAAAUUCGUCAGCCAAUCCAUUAAAUCGAAUGAUAACCUGUUCCCAAAAUAACAUUCACAAGACAUUUUUUUUUAUCUCAUGGCUCCUCUUCAUCCAAACAACACUCCUCAAGCCUUUGCCCAAGCCAACAAACACUGUAAGUGACAAAAUGCAAUGAAAGUUGAGUUUGACGCAUUGCAACAGAACUAGACUUGGGGAUUAGUUUCUAAUGACCCUAUGAAGAAUAUUGUGCGGAAAAAAUGAUUGUUUAAAAAAAGAAAAAAAAAGUAGAUGAACUCAUCAAUUGAUCUAAGGCUCGUCUUGUUGCAAAAGGGUUCACUCAGUGACCUAGAGUGGAUUUUCAUGCAAUAUUUAAUUCAGUAGUUAAUUCAACACAACUGGGUAUUACGUAAACUCAGCGCCAACAAUGCCUUCUUGCAAGACAGCUAGAAAAAAGAGGUAUAUAUGUCUUAACCUCACAUUUAUCAUGUUUGCAAGUUAUGCAAAGCUAUUUAUGGACCGAAACAUACGCCACUGGCUUAACUCACAACUAUCUACAAUCGUGGUUUUGUGAAAUCAGAUCUGACCUAUCUCUAUUCAUAUUCAUUCAACCUCAAGCAAUAGUCUACCUACUUGUCUAUGUUGACGACAUCAUCAUCACAGGCUAUAAGCCAUCUUUCAUAAACAAUGUUAUGUCCUCACUUGCUACAAGGUUUUCAAUUGAAGACCUUAGUUUAUUGACUUACUUUUUUGAGUGUUGAGGUUCUCAGACAACCUAAUAGAUUCGUUUCUAAAAGAAAAAGAAGGGAUGGCGAAGAUAUGAGUAAAAUUGUGGAAAAUUCAAACACAGUUACAAGACGAGAGACGACAAGUAUGGCUAGGAAAUUUACACUUGUAUUUUUAUGAUAAUGUUAAGGAAUUGAGAAAGUUGAAACAGUCUGUUUCACUGUUAAAAACCUAAAUUUUUUCUUCCCAUCAUCUAAUGAUUCCCUACAAAUUAUGUUGUUUAAUCGAAACUCUAAAACCCCAAAUAACUUAGACUGACCUAAAACCCAAAAAAUUUAUUCGAAAAAGAACAGAAACGGCUUACCUAUUCAAUCGACAAAUCUCGCAGCUGUGCCCACCUUGUUUCAAGAUCGACUCCGACCACCUUUCUUUCCUUUGUAUUUUUCGUGAAAAAUUUUCUCCCCUUUCGACACUUAGAAAAUUUCUCUCCUAAUUUCUCUGCAAUUUACCUCUUGCUGUAAUUGGAGGACGACACAGAUGUAAGUUAAUUUGUCCUCUGAAGAAACGGCAUUGUUUAAGUAAAGUUAUGUAAGUUUUGCGGCGCUUCCCUAUAAAACGCCACAAUAGAAACUGAUUCCCUAACACGGAACGACGUCGUAUAUUGCAAUAUUUGUGGCGUUUUUGACUAAAACGCUAGUAAAGGAUACCUUUUGCGGCGUUUUUAUAUAGAAACGCCGCUAAAACUCUCACAUUUUUAAAAGCAUUACUUUUAAAUAAUUAAUUACCAAUUUAUUUAACAAAUAAAUAAUUACUAUUAUAUAACUAUUAUUAGUUAUAUUGUAUCAUUUAACAAGUCUCAAAUUAUAAAUUAACCUUGUAAUCUUCAUAUUAACCAUUCAAUUUAUGUAGCUACAUGCAUAAAGUGAUCAUCUACCUAUUAUACUCAAAACUUAUCUUAAUAUUAAAUUUAUUCUGGAUCUAUAUUUUACAAAUAUAUAAGAACAUAUAUAUUUACCUCCAAAAUUAAUCAAUCUAAUAUUAACCUCUUAAGAAACCCUAAACCCCAGCCAAACCCCUAAAACCUCUCUAACCCUUAAAUCCCCUAAACCCUAAUUAACCCUGUCCCUAACCCCUAAAUUCAUGUCGUAACCCCUAAAGCAUAACCCAGCCCCUAACUCCUAAACCAUAAAUACCAAACCUUAAAUUCAUAUAUACCGGCCCGUACUCCUUAAAAUACCAUGCAUCGACCAAAAUAUUCCCUAAAUAUUCUUUAAUAAUAAAAAAAUAUAGUGAAAAUCUAUUAAACAACAACUUAUAUAUAUAGUUAAAAAUGUUGUAUAAAGUUGAAAUAAGGUAGCAAUAUUAUCUUUAUGACAAAUUUUCGUAUGAAGCUCCGAAUGUCCUCUUAACAAAUGGAUGAAAUUUGUUAUAAUAAACUUGGUACAACAAAUUUUGUCUCUUUAUAUAAAAAAACAAUUUUUUUUAUAAAAUUUGGUAUAGAAAAUGCAUUUUUUUUAUAAUAAGUUCGUAAAGGAUGAGGACACGGGUUAAAUGGCCUUUAAAGAAAUGGUGCCGUUUAAAUUAAUUUUAAGUCACAUUUUCGGUGUUUUUACGUAAAAACGCCGCUAUUGCAUGUCCUUUUGCGGCGCUAGGGGAAAAACGCCACUAAAUUUUCAAUUACACAAAGAAACGGUGACGUUUUCACAAAAUUGUAGACAUCUUUGCGGCGUUUUCCCGAAAAACGCCACUAAUAGAGUACAUCAUUCAACUGAAACGAUGACGUUCUGACAGAGUUUCAAGAAUAUUAGCGGCGCUUCCCUAUAAAACGCCACAAUAGAAACUGAUUCCCUAACACGUAACGACGUCGUAUAUUGCAAUAUUUGUGGCGUUUUUGACUAAAACGCCGCUAAAGGCUAUUAUAUAUAUUAAUUAUAAUAUAAACUAUACUAAACUUCAAUAUAUUAAAUUUAUUGAUCUGGAUUUAUUUUACAAAUAUAUAAGAACAUAUAUAUAUUUACCGUAAAAAUUAAUCAAUCUAAUAUUAACCUUUUAUUAAGAAACCCUAUCAUGACCGUCUAAACCCCCCGACCAAACCCAAAAAAUUCCCUAAAUUAAUAUUCUUUAAUAAUCACAAAAUAUAGUGAAAAUCUAUUAAACAACAAGUUAUAUAUAUAGUUAAAAAUGUUGUACAAAGUUGAAAUAUGCUAGCAAAUUAUCUUUAUGACAAUAAUUUUCGUAUGGAUCGAUCUAAAUAUAAGUUUUUAUCAUUUUUGAACUUAAGUAUCGAUAUUUUUGCAUCUGCUAUUGCUAUAGCCAUAUAUAUCAAAAAAAUCAAAUGGUUAGGGUUAAAUGUUUUUAAAUAUACAAGAUAAUUAAUUGUAUCAUUUAACAAGUCUCAAAUUAUAAAUUAACCAAUCAAUCGACAUACAUAAAUCCAUCAUGAUGAUCUACCUAUUAUAUUAAUAUUCAAUAUAUUAAAUUUAUUCUGGAUCUAUAUUUUACAAAUAUAUAAGAACAUAUAUAUUUACCAUAAAAAAUAAUCAAAAACUAAUAUUAAUCUAAAUUAAACCCUAACAUGACCGUUGAAACCCUAAACCCCUAAACCUCUAACCCUUAAAUUAACCUUAAAUCCCAAACCUUAAAUCUAUACCCCGUACUCCUUAAAAUACUGUCCAUAAAAAAAAUUCCCUAAAUCUUUAAUAUAUAUAAUCAUAAAAUAUAGUCAAAAUCGAUUAAACAAUAAUUAAUUGUUAAAAUAUAUUUUGUAUAAAUUGGUGUUUUAUAAUUCCUUUGAUUUAUUUAGUCGAACAGUACUACCAAAAUUUAUUACUCUUAUAGAAGUUAAUUCUAUUUUUAAUUUAUUCUUUACAAUACAAAAAUUUAAGUUUUAUUAUAUUUUAUUUUAUUCAUAAUUUAAUAUAUUUUCUCUCGUAAAGUAGUUUAAAUCAACUGUGAUUGAAAAUUAGUAAUAAAUAGUUAGCUGUUAUAUAUAUACGACUUCUCUUUAAUAAAAACUUUUUGUAUUAAUCAAUAUUAUUUGUUAAUUAUAAUUUAAAUGUAAAUUGUACCACUAUAUAAUAAAUAGAACAAAAUAUUAAUUAUUUCAACUUAUAAGAUUUUUGUAACUAUUAGCGGCGCUUAGAUAUAAACGCCGCUAAAGGCCAGAGAAUUAGUGGCGCUCAGAUAAAUACGCCACUAAAGAUCCGAGCAUUAGCGGCGCUUAAACAAAAACGCCGCUAACGGCGCUUAAGCAAAAACGCCGCUAACGGCCAUAGGAUUAGCGGCGCUCAAAUAAAAACGCCGCUAAAGAUCCGAGCAUUAGCAGCGCUCAAAUAAAAAUGCCGCUAAAGGUUUAAAAAUCGCAAAAAACGACGUCGUUGGUCUUAGGUUUUUGUGGCGCUUUAUAUAAAACGCGCUAAUUCCUAUUUUUAGCGGCGCUUCUUGGAAAUCGCCGCUGAUGGUCUACCCUUAGCGGUGCUUUGGCUAAAUCGCCGCUAAUGCUCAAUUUUUUGUGGCGCUUUUGUUCCAAACGCCGCUAAAAGUGCCGCUAAAAGCCUAUUCUGGAGUAGUGAGUGAAUACAUUUACUAACGUUAUCAACAAAAGCAAAAAAACUAGCCUGGUGGUUCAUCUUCCUUCGGAGAAAAUGGAAGAAUAAUGAAUUUUAAAGGGUUUCAAUGAGGUGAUAAGGUAUAGUUUCAGUAAUCCAUCAAUUUUAUGAUUCUUUAAAUUUAAAAAUCUCCCUUUUUCCUUUUUUGCAUAUGAUCAAUGACUCCAUCUAAUGCAUAUAAUAUAUUGAUAUCUACAUUUGAAUUUUAAAGAAAGUACAUGUAUUUAUUUUGUUAUGACAUUUAUUUGAAUCCACAAAUCAUGAUAAAUAAAAAAAUCCAAAAUUUGCGAUCACUGCACCGUGGAGUUGCAUAAACAUCGCUAUAUCAUUACAUUACAUAAAAAGUAAUUUUGUUUUUGUAGCAGUAAGGAAGAACACAUCAUUGUACGUACGUAUGUGGAUACAUACACAAAUUAAAUUUAUGAAUGUUUGAAAAUAUUUUAAUAUAAUCUACAUGUUGAGAGAAUAUGAAUUCAAGCUUUGGAAGCAAUAUUAUUGAAAGCGUAACUAUGAGCCCCAAAUAUUUUGGUAUAAAUUAUAAAUGUAUUCAAAUUUUUAAAAUAUUUAAAUAGGGUAUUAUUUGGUGCACAAUGAGUUAGGAAUUUUAACACAUGCUCUAUUUUAUUUGUUAAUUUUUAAGCUAAACUCUUAGAAAGAGGUUUUCUCUUUCUCAAACUAAGAUAUUUUAUAAUCUUAUUUACAAAAGCAGACUACCAUUGAACUUUAUACUAAAACCAAGUAAUUUAAUACAACUUAUUCCAUAUGUCAGCUUAAUAAUUUCAACUUUCAAGUCUCCGACUUGGAACUCCACAACUGUAUUCAAUCUAUUUCAUAUCUUUUGCCAAUGGCAUCUAAGUUCAAGAAACCGAUUGGUUGUUUGAAUCGGACCAAGUUAGUUAGAUCGAGAAUUAGUUGGAGUAUUAGUUCGGAAAGAGUUUUUGAAUUGAUUGCUUCAAAAGUUAGUACAAAUCGAUAGAACUGAUUAAAAAAAGCCGGUUGAAGUUUUUUUGAAUAUUUAAUAAAUUUUAAUCAAAACGGUUGACUAAAGAAUUGGUGAUCUGACUAAUUCGACUACCGAUCCGAUUUAAAAAUAAGUAGUAUUUUAAAUUUAAGAUUAUUGAAUGUGUUUGGGAAAAAACUUCUCAUAGAGCUGCAUGUAUAAGGUACAAAUCACAAAAAUCUUGUUCUCCAAAAGUCUUCCGUUUCCAAACCCCUUAUUUCACGCGGGAAAUACAACAUUAAUAAUAUAAAUUCCACACAUUUUCUCUCUAUAAAUACGCCUCAAAUGCUGAAGGGAAAAUAAUUAAAACCCUAAUUUGUGUGUGUUCCUUUUUCAAGUAAUGUUCGAUGGCAACUUUUUUAGGAUCUCUUGAAGAGAUGAAGAAAGUGUUCAACAAGUGUCUAAAUUAUAAUCUUUAAAAUAUAGAGGGAUUAGAAAUAAAAUUUAGCCAUUAUUUUCGGAAAAAAAAUUAACAAGUGUCUAAAUUAUUUCAAAAUUAUAGUAUAAAAAUUAGAAUUCAAAUACAAUAAUCAAAAUUAAAAUUUAACAUUCUUGUAUAAUCUUUUUUAAGAAGACAAAUGUGUAGUAUGGAUAUUUUUUUUAAGGUCAUGAAAUUCACUUUCUUAUAAAGUUUUUGUUAUUUUAUAAAAAUUUAUUCGUGAGUUUUAUAUUUGUUUUAUAAAAAUUAAACCAAAAAGAAUCUCAUUUAUUUGUAGAUCUAAAAUAAGAUUCAAAUUAGGGUUUUAGUUUAUUUCAGUGAAGCCCUUUUUUAGGAAAUGUGAAUAGAUUGAUUUUAAUAAAUUCUUUUUUUAUCCUUCAUGUCUUUUAUGUUUAAGAUCGGGUAUUUUACUAAAAAAGCCCAUUUCUAAUAUUAUUUACGAAAAUGGGCCACUUAAAAUAUUAUUUACUGGAAUGGUCCAAAAAAUGCAAAACGUGCCUACGUGGAAGCGUUUUUAGAGGAAAACAUAGAAAAACGCGCUAACGGGGACGCGUUUUACCCCGUGAAAGCAAAAGCGCCCUGACGAGGGCACACUUUACCCCGUGCUCAGACUAAAUCUUCAAAAAAAGGUCAUUUUUUUUAAAUAUUACAAAAAUAAACCUUUUUUUUAAAUUUACGAAAAUAAGCCUUUAUAAAGACCCAAAGUGGCAACACCAUUUUUUUUUUAUUUCAAGGUGCCACCAAUUAAUAAGAAAAUAAAAUUUACAAAACAAAAUAUGGGAUGUGAGAUAUCUGUAUAUAUAGAGUCAUGAAUAGGCUUGCAACUUGUUCCUAAACAAUAUGUGAUUCCUUCCUCUUUUAACUAACAACAUAAGAUUAAAGACUACAUUAUAUUUUAUAUUUUUUUAUAUUUUGUUAACAUUUUCUCAUAUUAUAAAUUUAUCUUUUGAGAUCUUUAAUCUUGUUGCAUUUUAGAAUUGUUAGCAUAUACAAAAGGACUAUUAAAAAAAACAAAUUGCACAUAUGAAACUUGUACAUGCAGUAAUCUUCUAAUCAAUUUUAAUUGUUUGAAGUUAAUACCCAUGCAAUUCUAAUUUUUAAAAUAAUUUUUCAUUAUUUCAAUUUAGAAGUUAUAAUUUUAAUUUUUUAUUAUUUAUUUUAUUUUAUAAUAUGAAUAUUUGAUUAAUAAAUAAAUGGUGAGUAUUUUGUACUCAAAUAGUAUGUUUUUUUGUAAUUUUAAAAAAUUGAUAUCUCUUUUUUUAAAAUAUUUAUUUUUUAAAAUAUUUUACUAUACUCAUUAAUUUUUUAAUCCUAAUUUUAAUUUAAUUUUCAUCACCUAAUAAAUGUUGAUACAUUUAUUUCAGAUGUAUUUUGACUAGAUAGAUAAUCUAUUUAAACAUAGUAUAUAAUUAUGUUAAAUACAUUUUUUAUAGAAUUAUAUAAUAUGCAAAAAAUAUAAUAAUGAUUUUUCAUAUUUUUAUAUCUAGAUUAAAUUAAUUAGUAGUCACUUAACUAUGCUUUUUUGGAUAUUAAAUUAUAAAAACUUACAAAAUGAUCACUCGACUAUUAGUAAUUUUUUAAAUAUUUUACUAUACUCAUUUUAAUUUUUAUAUUUUUUUUACUUAUAGAGUUUAAAAAUUUUAUUUAUAAUGCAACAAAUGUUAACUUUUUGUAAUAAAAAAAUUAAACUCUAUAAGUAAAAAACUAUAAAAUACAUUGUAGCAUUUAAUUUUAUAUUGUUAGUUAAAGAUGAAGGAAUCCCACAUUGUCUAGAAACAAGCUGCAAACAUAUUCAUGAGUCUAUAUAUACACAUAUUUCACAUUCAACAUUACUUAAGAACGCAUUUUUGUUAACACGGGUAAAGCGCAUCUCCGUCAGCGCAUUUUUCGGCAUUUUUCCUAAAAACACUCCCACGUAGACACGUUUUAUGUUUUUUGGACUAUUUCAAUAAAUAAUGUUUUAAGCGGUCCAUUUCCAUUAAUAAUGUUGGAAAUAUAUAGACCCCUUUUUUUAGUAAAAUAUCGUCUCUAAAAUUAUAAUGUAUCUUUACAUUCCAUCCAAAUAAAAUUUAAUGAAAAAAACUUGACAGUGUGAUUUAGCUUACGUAAAUUAGAAUAUCUAUUUGUUAUACUUGGUGAAAUAAUAUUAAAUUUUUAAUUGAAUAUACUAUUUAUAUCAUUUUUUAUUACUUUCAUAAUUUUUUUCUUUUUAAAUAGUUUAAUAAAUUAAUUUUAUUAUCCUUUAAUCUGUUUUACAAUUUAUGUUCAGAUUUGUAGUUACUCAUCUCAAUAAUAUUGUCUUUAAAAUUCGAAUUUACAUUUUCUCAUUAGGAAUGCAAUGUAUGUUACCAAUGUAGCAGGCCCAAUUAGCCCGGGCCCGCAUGCAUAAACCAAAUAAAUAAAUGAAGUCCAAUUUUUUCACAAAGCCCAACAAGCAGCCUAAAUACUAGACCCAACCCACUAAACCUAGCCCACACAAAAACAAAAUAGCAGAAACCCUAGGAGCCUAUUUGCUUCAACGCUGCCGCCUCUCACCAUUCCACGCCGCCGCGAAUCACGCACCACGACCCUCCCCAUCGUGCGCCGUUCCGUACGUCAGCAUUACCUGCAGCAACAAACGCAAAACAGAACAACAAAGAAAAGGGAACAGAACAACAAUAUGCCAACGAAAAAACAGGAUAGAUUUCUUUGGAUUUGGGUUCGUUUUUUCCUCAUUUUCGGCUAUUUAAAGCCGUUAUCGAAUAUGUAAUGGGAGGGGGGGAUUCAGUGUAAAAAAGAUACAAAAAAGAGAACAGAAAAAGAAAAUCAAAGGUGUUUUUUUGUUCUUAAGUUCUUUCUAUUUUAUCUAUUCUCUUUUUAAACUAGUGUUAAAACAAAAAAGGAAGAAAUAUCCUUGCCUUUGGGUCGGCUUGAGGAGGGUUUAGAGCAAAAAUCAAUAUCGCUCAACCCUUACCACUGGUUCUGGUGAAGUCGCGGCGGCGAUUGAAGAACUGGCGGCGGCUUGGGGGGCUAGGUUAAGAAAAACCUAGCAGAGCAGUCCCCUUUUCCCUCUGUUUGUUUUAAGGAAAAAGAAAAAAUGAAAUAAGGCUGUGUUUUUGAAAAAAAAAAUUUAGCUUUAAUAUUAAAAACAAAACGGUGCCGUUUGGAAGGCCAGACCCGCGCGUCGACCCGACCCGCAAGCAGGGUCCGCGCGUUCUGGCCUUCAAUGGGGUAUUUCGCGUUUGACCCCUCCUCCUUUAUUUUGAUUUUAAAGCGAUAUUUCAUGUAUUUUCAAUUUCGCCACAAAAUUUCGCUCAUAUUUCAAUUCGACCCAUAGACCAGGCACACGGAGCUCGUUAAAACGACGUCGUUAGGCAAGUAUGGGGAUAUUGUUUUUUUGAGCCCUCCUCUCAUGACGCACGUAUCGAUUUGACCCUUUCUGGUGUUUUCCAUUUUUUUAAAUUUGGCCCUUAAAUUCUGUUUAUUUUUCAAUUUGAUUCUUCACCGAUUUUUUUUUUCCUAUAUAUUAUUUGGCAUUGGAUUAUCAUUACCAUAUUAUUUACUAUCAUUAUUACGGUUAUAUUUUCUAUUCCUAUACAUACGCAUGCUUUCUAUAUAUAUAUCUUCUAAGCUUUUAACGCAUAUAUUAUAUAUAUACAUACUCUUUCUAUUUUUAUUUUUUUUACUUUCCUAAUUUUUUUUAUACUUUAUACUUUAUAUAUAUAUGUUUUAUAACAUGUGCAUGCUUUUAAUAUAUUUAUGUACCCGUUUUUUUAAAAAAAAAUCAUUGUAAAUAUUUUAUUAUUUUACAUAUUCUAUUAUUUUAUAUAUAUUACACCUAUAUAUGUGUUUGAAUAUAUACGUAUGCGAAUUUUCACGAUUUACCUAUGUAUAUAUACUUAUACAUUUUAUUUUUCUAUUUUGUAAAUAUAUAUACAUAUGAUUUAAAUUAAAAUAAUGAUUUCAUGUUAUGCAUUAACAUUUAUCACACUUUCAAAAACAUAUAUUUUGGUUUUGUCAAAAUUUUUGUUUUAAACCACCAUAUUUUAUAAUUUUUAAUAUUUGGCAUUCAUAAUUCUCGAGAAAUAUCGUAUCCUAACUUACUGGAUUACGAUUAAAUUUUCGAUGAAUUUAGAAAGUCAAGUAUUCAUUUUGCAAUAAAUUCACAAAUUUCAAAUAAAAGCUUAUUCUCGGGAAUUCAAAAAUGUUGGGUCCUAACUUACUAGUCCUGAUAUUUUGACUUUUCGAAAUAAGAAUUUUCAAAAGUAAAAGGCAAUAUUCGGGUAUUUUGAAGAUUUAAAAAUAUUGUGCCCUAACUCAUUGGGUGUGGUGUUUUAUUUCUUUGAAAUAAGAAUGUCCUAUUAUUUUUAUUCAUUCAUGAAAUAAAAAGUUUCCUUUUAAAAUCUUUUCAAAUUUUCAACACCAAGGCAUUAAAGAAUCAAUUUGGUACCGAUUUUGGGCGUUGCGAGGGUGUUAAUCCUGCCUCGCGCGUAACUGACUCCCAGACUCAUUUUCUCAAAUUUCGUAGACCAAAACCAUUUUAAGGUGAGCCGAUUACACCUUAAUAAAGGAUCGGUGGCGACUCCAGUUUUAUUUUUAAAGUCGACAACUAAAUUUUUGUUUUCAAAAAAAUGGUUUGGACAACUAACAUCCCUAUUUCUAGACUAAAAUUAUAUAACUUUUGAUUCGGGGUGGAGCCAAGGGCGGGUAGGCAGGGGCCCGGUACCCCUAAAAUGAAAAUUUUCAUCUUUAGUUAUCUUGUAAUUUUAAAAAAUGUAAAUUAGUAUAUGGUAAAUUUACACUUUGGCCCGCUCAAGAAUGAGAAAAAAUUGAUUUAGUCCUUUAAAAUUUUACAAAAUGGUGAAAUUUCAUUUUUGCUAUCAUAAAAAUAUACAAUUUUAUUCCAAUCCCCCUUCAAAAAAUUUUCUAACUCCAUAGAUAUGAAAAUUCUAAAUAAUAAAAGAGAGAAAAUUUGAUAUAAUAUAUAUAUUUAAUAUAAGAAGAUACAGGCCCUAAUUUUGCAACAAGUGAACACGAUAUGAGUACGAUAUGGAAAAUUUUGUAAUGAAUGCAUUCUUCACCUCAACACACAAUUUACCGAAGGCUUUAAAAAGUUUUUAGUGCUUUCAUGGUCGAGCAAGUGGAUUAGUAUACAGCAGCACAACUAUCUUGAGUCAAUAAAUUAUAUAUAUUUGGUAUUAUUCAUUUUAAGAUUUAUGUUUAUGGUUCGUAGUUAUCCAUUUUAAUAAUAUUGUCUUUAAGAUUUGAGUUUAUAUCCUCUACUUUGAAAUGUAAAAAUAAAAUAUAUUAAAUUUUUAUAAAAAAAAUUGAAGUAUUUAUAAAUAAAAUAAAUAAAUAAUAAAUAAAAGUUAUAUAUUAAAAAAUAACAAGUGAAAAUAAUCUAUUUAAAAAAUAAUAUUUAAAUUAAUUCAAAAAAUAAUAUGUCGAACUAAAUUAUAAUAAAAUAGUUUAAAGGAUUUUCUUAUUUUCUCAAGAAUGGGGUUACAGUAAUUUAAUGUAAAGGAUAGUGCAUGUUAAUGUCACGGGGCUAAAACUUUUUGUCUUGCAAUCCGUGCGAUCUUAGGCUUCUUUUCACUUUAAAUGUGACAAAAUCAGGCUAAUUUUUGAAAAGUGAGAAUUCUCGUUAGAAAUUCUCCAAGGCAUCAAAAAUUAAAGCGGAAGCAACUCAAAGAUAAAAGAAAAGCAAAGCACACAAGGUGUUCGAGUAAAUGCUCUCAAUUAGGAUUCACUACUAAAGAAGGGAAUACAAGGGAUGAUCAUAAAUGAGGGGGAUACCCUCUAUUUAUAGUUAAGCUCCCCAAAACUAAUAGUAUAGAUUGAGUUACAUCGACGAACGAGAUCGAAGGCUAUCUACAAUUAAGGGAUUUAUAUAAUCCCAAAGAUUACAAAAUCAAAUCUUAUCAGAUUACAAAUCUUCUAAGAUUAUUUUCCAUAUGUACCAAAGUAGCCCUAAUUUUCCAUAAGUGUUUCACUGAGCCACUGAGGCUUUAAGUUGAUAGGCUUCGUCACUUAUUGUUCGAAUCAGGUCAGUUCGCAUGGGUCAAAUGAGUUGCAUUUAAUAGAUUGACCUCCAUGAGACAUUUUUUGUGCAAUAGUCACAAGCUUUGAACCACGGCUCGUGACAUCAUGCAGUGGGAUUAUCCACUUAUCACAAUAAUAGCUAAGCGGGAAUUUCCUUACUUGGUUGUGUACCUUGUAAUAACUACCAUAAAUUGUUUUAAUAGUACAUUAUAAAUCCGUCACAGAUGCUGUAAAAUCCGUCACUAUUAACGCUUUGUGACAUAUCUAUGCGAUUUUCUGUCACAGAAACUCCUCACUAAUAACGCCUGUCACAAAAUUUGAUAAAAUCCGUCACUAAAUCUAAGACAGAGUUCUGUCAGAAUUUUUUUUUUUUGUUUUACAUUUUCCAUUACUAUAGUUUUUUUAAUCAAGCAGUUGCUUGUCACCAUGUUUCGUUACUUGUUUUUUUUUUUUUUUUACAAUUUCUGUCACUAAAUUCUGUCACAAUUAUUUGUAGUGGUUUUUUUUCUCCAUCUUCUAUAAAAGUUCCACACAUUCACAAAGGCUAAUAAGAGCUAAACUAAAUUAUACACUUUUAAAUAUGAUAUAAAAUAAAUUAGUAAGGUCAAGUAUGAAGUAAGUUUACAUUGUUAGAGUACAAUAAUAAUGAUUUUAAUAAACAAUACAAUACAAUAUUUAUGUACACGUAAAUAAAAAAAUACUCAAUGCCAAAAGUUCCAACUUCCUAAUCUGGAUCUCCUGCACGUUCAAAUAAAGAUAUAUAUGUCAACCAAGAAUUUCUGAAGAUGCUAAAUUCAAAAAGAAUGCCAAUGUAAUAAAGGAUUAUGAUAUUACUGGAUAGUUUUAGCAUUGACAAUGACUACAUUUCUAAAAUAGGAUGGAUGCUCACUCAUUUAGGUUGUUCCUUGACAGUUUAGAGAGUUAAGAGGAAAUAAUUGACUGAGGGUGGAUGAAAAGAUGGCAUUAAGCUAACCUUGUUAGUGUUUGAGUGGUAAGAACAUAAAGUGGAGGAUCAACAAGUUUGAUUUAACACUCUCAUCAGCGUGCUAGCUGCAAGAAGAGCAACAAAAAUGAGAGGUUUCAGUGAAAAAUGAACCAUCCAUAACCAAGUUUUAAUAAUCAUCAGUGUUCAACACAAAUGAAGCUGGCAAGUCAAAGUUUUGAAGCAGAGGUGAAAGCAUGUAAUGGUCAAUCUAUAUUUGUCAAAAAACCUCAAAAAGGAUUUCAAACACUAAGUAAGACCAUUUUCACCAAUAAAAAGCAACGUUUUACCCUGAAAGACAUGGUAUCUGAAAAAACUUAAAGAAAGAGAAAUGAUUGUAAAGAAGCAGUGACUAAGAACAUUACAUACUAUGAAUUUAUAUUCAAUGCACCCUCUGUAAAUGGUUAUCAACAUGGAAAUGAAACGAUCCUUAUAUGACACAAAUGAUAAAUUUUGAAUUUGGCAAUUGAAUCUUCAUAUCCUUAUAUGAAGUUUGGUCGACAUAUGAAAAUGAAAGAAAACUAAAGCUACAUGGUUCCAAAGGUAGAAAGCUAGUUAAUGUCUUCGUGCACACAUUUUUGGAAAAAGUUCACAUCUCUUCGCUAGGUGGAUAUACUGGCAAGCUUGAUAGAUCACAUGAAUAAGGCUUUGUGGUGAAAUACUGAAAGUUGAAGAUUAAGAGGGUCACAUCUCCAUACACAUCGGACAUGGGCAACAAAGUACAUAAGGUUUUAUAUAAGAACCUGGAAGCUCCCUACUAUUAAGCUACUCUAAAGCAUCUAAAAUUUUUAUUUUAACUAUACAGAGUUCGAUCUAAGCUUCCAUCAAGUUUAAGGUAGUUUCGGAUUUUACGUAGAAGUUCAGUGUUCAUCUCUCAUCACUAGUACACGAUAUUGUCAGAUAAAAGUUUCGAGCCCAACCCACGAUAAAGGCAUAUAUAUAUAUGAUAGAAAUAGCUUGAAAUGCCGACCUGACUUACCCAUAAGUUUGUAUGUUGCCUUAUGCAUGCACCUUUCAAGCUUAUGAAGCUGCUUCUACAUAUAACAUUGCAUAUUCAAGUUUAGUUUCUAGGAAGCAACAUUGCGAAAUGGAUAACACACAAUUUGAUUCACAAUUACAAUAAGUUGAAACAAUUGCUUAGUACCUCAUUAACUUUAGAUGGCAGAAGUGCGACUGAAAACAAGGUUUUCAAAUUCAAACUUUGGUUUAGUGCCACUACAUAAUCAAUUCCAUGCCCCAGAAACGCGUUCAUCCACUUGCUGAAAAUUAUAAAUAUAUAUUUCUAAUUAUUAUAAAUAUAUAAAAAAUUUAAAAAUUAGAACAAUAUAUAUAAUCACAAAAAUUAUAAAAAAAAUUAUGAAAUAUAUAGAAAUACAAAAAAAUUUAUAAAAUUUUAUAAAAUAGUAUAAAUUUAUAAAAAUUGUAAAAAAUAUUAUAAAUAAUGAUAAAAUUAGGUAGAUGAAAUAGCUAUAUCAGUAAAUGAAUUGAUAGAAGUUGAUGAAGUUUUUUGCAUCGAAAUAAGUAUGGGAGUUACUUUUGUAGGGAGUGUUACAUGCAUGCAUACAUAUAUAUUCACUGCAGAUCAUUACAAACCUAUGAAGUAAGAUAAUUUUAGGAUACACACAUACACUACACAUCAUUAUAAACAUUGCCAAGGAAACAACACAAGGAAUCAAAUGGUACAUGCGACUGCGCUGAAUCAACAAGAAAUUUCUUCCAAAUAAUUAAGAAGAAUAAAAGGAGUGCAAUUUUUGUCUAACACAUACUCCUUCCAAUACUACUAAAAUUUAUGGGGCUUUGACUCCAACAUCGACUUUGACACCAUCGUCCCAAAUCUGGUCAUCUCAACCGAUGUUGUGGCGCUGCCUGCUUCCAGUAGUCUCAAAGAUGAGGAAGUCUUCCACACCCCUCCUGAGUCUAGGUCAACUCUUGCCUCCUUCGAUAACUACAACAACAAUGAUGAUCCAAUUAUCGAUGAUCGUGACAGAAACUAUGACAGACAGAAGCAGGAAGAGGACAAAGAGGGGUACGAAAGAAUAUGUAAAGGAAUCUAAGUCAAGAAUUGCAUAUUAGUUGUGGUUCAUUUUCUAUGUAUUUAUUUAAAUCUUGUAAUACUUGUGUUUUUUAAGUUCCAUAUGUUUCAAAAAGAAGUAUACUAGUUGAUUGUAGAUUAACUAAAUAUGAGGCUUAAGAAUUUAUAUCCUUUCCAUGUGUUAUCAACACCUAUCAAGUUACCUUGGAAAGUGAUAUGUCCCCUUAAGAAUGAUCAAAGACUAUUUUGUGAAUUCUUUUAGAGACUUAUUUUAGUUUCUAAUCUUCUCACAUUGUAGUUUCUAAUCUUACUUCUUAAGUACAUGAUCACAUUACUGCAACGAUCUGAUUAAUUCGAGUUUCUUGCUAUUUAUAUAUGUUUUGUAGAACAAUCACUGAAAUUUCUGUUAACUUAUUCGAAUUAUUAGGUCGUUGGAUUUAUAUUGAAUUGGCUUUCUCUUACAUAUUACAAAAUUCAAUACAGUGUUACAUUGGAUAUUGUGAAUAUAUUCCAUAUAUUUUAAAUACAUCAUAUAUUAUAUAUAUUUUAAAAAGAGUGAUUCAAAUUAAUGUGGUAUAUAACAUAUAUUUAAGACAUGGGUAAUUCGAAAGUUCUUUUAUAUUAUUUUACAAUGUUAAUCACUACAAUUUUAUGGAUAAGACGUGGAUAAGUCUUACCUCAAGAACAAGUGAAGAAUACAUAAUUGGGGUAACCAAUUUCUUAGAUUAUGCUUUUGUCACACUUAGUUUUCACUAAAGUCCCGAAUUUAAAGGGGAGUUGGGAGUUGAUUGAAUAAAAUGGUAAGUUGUUAGGCCCUACUAAGAAAUUUGGAAAUUUUAGUGGCUGAUUGGCAAUUAGUUGAGUUUUAAUUUUGGUUCGAUUUAGUUGGACCCGACUAGUUCCAUAGUGGGAGACAAAAUGAUUACCAGUGGAUGGCUAAAUUGAGGCUUGUUGACCGUGCAAGAAGAGUUAUAUAUAUAUGGGUGAGAAGCCUUAUUCAGCAGAGGAAAAUUCUUCCCAGUUCUGUUAAUAUUUUUUCAUUUGCAUCAUCUUCUUCAGUUGUUCUUAACUAGAUUACCCGAAAACAUAACCACAACUUCACAAAUUGCACUUACAUUUAUCACCAUACCUAGUAACCAUGUAAUUAUCAUCACAUUACAAUCAACAUCAAUUAAAGAUUAACUAGGUGCAUACUUCACAUAUUUACAUAUCAAACGAGGUCAUUAACAUAACAACCUAUUACAUGCCAUAAAAUCCAAAAUAAACGUUCAAAAUCUACCGCAAUCAGAUGGAUAGGGUGACUUGAGUGUUGAUCCGGUCUUCUGUCCCACGAAAAGAUACCUACAAGAAAAUGCAAAUCACACAAGUAAGCUUAUUGAAGCUUAGUAAGUUCGAUGGACAGAAAUAAUGAAUCUUGCCGAAAUAAACAUAACAAUUUAAUUUAAUGCAACUCCACAACUAAUGUUUCAUGUCAUCCACAAUUUCAGACCAGUGAAUUACAUAGCUUAAUUCAAUUCUCAAAUAUUAAUUUCUGAAAAGCAUACAUGUCCACAACGAAAUCACUUUAGGAUAUCAAGUACAAAACAUGCCAUGCAAAGUCUUUAAACAAGUAAUUAAUCCAAUAAUUACGACCUGAUGAACAACUUAUAGAUACGAGUACACAAGUCGUCCAAUCGAAACACACCAAGCGCUCAUAAGAGUUAAUCCAACCGAUAACACAUCUUGGCACUAAGUGCCUAUCCCGUAGGCCAACAUCCCUCCAAAACACAUCUUGGCACUAAGUGCCAGUCCAAAGGCUUUACAUCCGCCCCCGAUAACACGUCAGGAUCAGGGAAUAAUACGCGAUUGUUCGCAACAAAUGCUGAACCUCAGUAUACUCGGGAAAAAUGUAUAAAAUCACAUUGCAUCAAUCUCCUGUCCAACCCCAUAUAACACUCUAUCAUUCAGUUGUACUCGAUCACGCGUUUAUCUGGCCCAAACAUCACAAUUCAGUAAAAAUUUCCCGAAUAAUUUUACAUUACGAAAAUAACGUUUAACAUCACAAUUCCAUACAAUAUCAUUAUAUAAUUCAUAUAGACGUUAAAUUACAAGCCGAACGAACUUACCUAGACUGAAUUGUAGUAGUUGCAGAAGUUCAUGGGCUAUUCUGUAAUUUUCCCUUUUCCACGUAAAUCAAUAGGGUCUAAAUCUAAAAAUGUAAAAUUUCCUUUUAUUAGCUAAUUUUUCAAAUGCUAAUUGAUUCUAAAAUUUUUACCCUUUAUUUUUCAAAAAUUACACAAUUGCCCUAACUUUUACAAUUUAAACAAUUUAGUCCCUUAACCCAUAAAUCAACAAAUUGAGAAUUUUUUAAAAUUCAAGUUUCAAUCAAUUACUCAAGGCCUCCAAACAGUCUUAAUUAUACCUCUAAUUCACCAUCAAACCCUAAAAUUUAGAUAUUUUAACAAUUUAAUCCUUGAAUAAAAAACUAAUAAAAAUUACUUCACAUAACAACCAAAUACUACAAUCAAAGAUUCAAACACAUAAUUAUGAUAAAAAACAACAACCAAGAUUCAUCAAUGGCAAGUUCUAAAAUUUUUAACAAAUUCAAAAAUUAAGGUACGGGCUAGUUGGACCUAGAUGUAACGAUAUCAAAAACAUAAAAUUACAAGAAAUAGGUGAGAAUUGAGCUCACAUGCACCAAGGAAAUGAAAACCGAAGCUUGAAGCCCUCUUUCAAGGUUAGAGACGUUGGUUUUGAGGAGGAACUGGAUUCUAACUCAGUUUUUGCUAUCACUUUUAACGAUGUUCAGGUUAUCAUACCUAUUAUUGAUCAAGAAGUGAAUUCAAAACCUCAACAAGAAAAUGUUGAACAACUCCCUAUUCAAGAUGAGGUAAUUGUUCCAAAAGAACAAACUCAAUAGCCUCAAGAAAAAAUGUCAUUAUGGAGGUCCACGAGAGAAAAGAGAAAUGUUAUUUCAGAUGAAUAUGUUGUAUUUCUCCAAGAACAUGAGGAUGACAAUGGAAUGAUCGAAGAUGGUCCAAUCAACUUUCGUCAGGCCAUGAAAAGUUCUAAUUCUCUAAAGUGGAUUGAUGGCAUGUAAGAAGAGUACAAGUCUAUGCAAGACAAUAAAGUUUGGGAACUUGUCUCAUUACCUGAAAGUGCAAAACCAAUUGGUUGUAAAUGGAUAUUUAAAAUCAAGAGGGAUGAAAAUAGUAACAUGGAGAGGUAUAAGGCACAUCUUGUAACUAAAGGAUAUGCUCAGAAAGAAGGCAUUGAUUUUACAGAGACUUUCUCUCCAGUUUCAUCAAAAGACUCUUUUAGGACAAUCAUGGCGCUUGUUACUCAUCUUGAUCUUGAGUUACAUUAGAUGGAUGUUAAGACUGGGUUUUUCAAUAGUGUGUAACGACCCAAAAUCCGUAGGCACCAAAAAAGUGUGUUAUCGAGCCUCCGUCUUAGUAAACUGAGUCCGUAAAUAAUUAUUAGGAGUAAUUAUGAGUUUGGUUGAGUGUUUAAUUAGGUAUUAAUUGAGUGAGUUUAGUCUAAUUAAGAAUAAUUAGGAAAAAAGACUAAAUAGAAUAAAGUGUAAAAAUUUAAUUAUAGAUUAAAAUAAAAUAAAGGGGAUUAAAUAGGAAAUUAUGUCUAUUUCAUUAGACGAGGCGACAAAUGGGAAGAUUUUUUUUUUGAUUAUGUAUUAUACAUAAAUAUUAUUAUGGUUUUAUAAUAAAAUAGUGAUAAAUGUAUGGUAGUGAUAAUAAACAUGUGUAAAAUACAUGAAAAUACACUUGUAAUAUAUUUGUAUAUUUUCUUAAAUAAUAAGCAAAAGAUAUUUAUUAGUUAUUAUUAUAUUAUAAAACAAAAUAAAUAAAGACAAGUGUAAGGUGAUGAUAAAAUACAAGUGUGUUCAUUAAAAUAUGUAUAUUUGUAAUAUAUGUAUUAAAUUUACUUGUUAUUUAAGUAAUAGAUAUUUGUUAUAAUUAUAUAUAUUAUAUUAUUGUUAAAUUAAUAAACAAAUAUAAUAUAAAGAAAGUAAAAAGGACUAAAAGGGCAAUUAAACCAAAAGCAUAAGUUGAAACGGUUAAUCUUUAAAAAAAAUUUGAGAUUUUUAAGUUUAAUGAAUAUAUUAUAUUAUUUAGUAAUAAAGAUAUUUAUUAUGUUUUAUUUCAUAUUAUAUAUUAUAUAUUAUAUUAUAUAUAUAGUAAAGUAACGAAAGAAAAAAAAAAGGUUAAUAGAAACAAAAUAGGGGACGAAACAGAAAGCAAAGAAAAAGAGAAAAGAAAAGAAGUUUGGGGUUUUCAAGGUCCAAUUCCAAAUUGGUAAGUCAAUUUAAGUCUUUUUCUUGUAAUUUUUGAGUUUUUAUGAACCUAGAACAAAAUAUUAUUAAGUAUAUGCUGAAAAUUUUGGAAGUUAUUAGAUUUUUAGACAUUAAUUUUUCUAGGUAAAAGUGUGAAUUAGAAAUUGAGUUAAUAAAAUUUCUAAUUAGAAUUGGGAGAUGUAUUAAAUUGUAAAAUAAGUUAUAAAUUUUAUAUAAUAAGGACCAAAAUUGAAAUAAAUUCGAAAUUAUAAAAAUAUGAUAAAAAUUAGAUAGUUAAAUGUGAGUUUGGCAAGAAAUUGGAGUAGAAAGGAGGUAUUAAUUGAGAUGGAAAAAUAAAUAAAUUUAGUAGGGAUUAAAUUGAAAUUGAGAUGAAAGUAGAGUAGAAAUUCAAGUAUUAGAUGAAAAAUUUAUAUUGUAUUAAUGAUUGUGAAAUUAUUUUAAUUGUUCGUAGCUAACAUCGAGCCUGAAGCAUCGGCCCAAAAAGGAAAAGAAAAGAUCGUCGAGGAUUAAAUCCGAAGAGAAUUUUGGUUUGUAUCACUACAAUUCAAACUUUAUCAUUAUUAUGUGUUUAAUUUACUAAUUAUGUGUGGUAAGUAUUUUAAGGUAAGUGCUUAGUAAAAUGAAAAUUUAUGAUUGGGUAUUGAAAUUAAGACUGAUACUGAAAUGCAUUAUGGAAUACUGAAUAUUGUUUUUGAGUACUAAAUUGAAUUGUGAAGUUACUGAAUAUUGUUAUGUGUACUGCAUUGAACUGUGAAAUUACUGAAGUAAUGAAUUACUGCAAUACUGUGAAACUGAUUGAAAUAAGGAAUUAUAAUUGUAACACCCAUAACCCGUAUUCGUUGCCAAAAUAGGGUUACAAGGCAUUACCAUAUAAAACACGGCUCAAAAUAGUCAUAUUACACAUGCUUUAAAAUCCCACCAUUCAAAACAUAUAUACUUCUUACUCCUAUAAUUCAAAAAUCAAAUUAUAAGAUGACUCAUCACAUUACAAAUUCCAUGCGCAUACAUUAAGACAUCCAAGCAUUUUUUUUUUACUUCUUAACCUAAAUAUCAAACAUAUUAAUUCAUACUUCUAUUCAUGUGCAUAAAACCAAACAAUCUAUAUCGCCCGGCUUAUUGUCCAUUAGAAAAUGCAGCAUAAUCAAUUUCAUCAAAUAGUCAAGUUUAGCAUAUAAACAUCUUAGCCACAAAUGCAUUUAACCUUAUCAAAUAAGCACCUUUUUUUUUUAAAAAAAAAAAAACUCAACUAAUAAGAUAUACAUGCCUAACUUCCCAUUUAAGUACAAAACAUGUGUAUGCUUUGCCAUUCAUCUUAGUACAAAACAUGUGUAUGCUUUGCCAUUCAUCUUAUCUUCUAUUCGGCUAGCAAACUAACCAUACAAUUUACACCCAAUUCGCAUGUUAAUUAUUAAGCCUAAAAUACAUAUAAAACCAAUUCAUACUUUACUCACUUGACUAACAUUAGCCAUUUUCCAAGUGCUUUAGCCGAUUCAAAACGUGCCAAUUCUAUACAGUAUAAAUCAUGUCAAAAUUUCAUAUACACACCCAAAUCAAUUUAUUAUAUAUAUAUAUAUAUUCGGUCAUGCAAAUUAACAUUUAAAUCACAUACAACCUUUGUCAUCCUAUAUUAAGCCUAAAUAGUCAAAUCAUAAUAAUGACAUAAACAUUUCAUAAACUUAAAAGAACACAUACAAUGCAAAUAUUUUAUACUUACAAUAAUAAGUCAAUUACCAUAAUCGAUCAUACCACUAUGUAUACAUAUAACACAUUUUUUUUUAAUUCAAACAUUAAAACCAUUAGUCCUUUACAUACCGAAUUAUCAAAUAACUUAUCAAAGACAUAUAUACAUUUGUUUACAUUUCAUCAACCAAAUAUAUAUAAUAAUAUAUCAAUUUCCAUUUUCAAUCCAUUUCACCAAUGUACUCAUGCCAUUACAAAUUUAUUCAAAUUAACCAUUUCAAUUUACUAGAUAUUCAUAGCAUAACAUAGUCCACACAUAAUGAAUACAACCAAAUUCAAAAUUUUCAUAUAACUAAGUACUUAACUACAUGAUUUGAUCACCAAUGCCGAAUCACAAACUAGAUUAUGACCAUCACCUAUAUUUACAUCACAUAAAUAUAAAUAACCAUUAUUUCAUCUUCAAUAUAUAUAUAUCGUAUUUUACCUAUUUAAUCAAGUCAAAUCUCAAUACCAUUCCAUCACACAAAUUAGACCAUAAUUCAUACUUACAAAUUAAGCUAAUACAUGAUGAAAAUCACUAUCAUUAGCAUCAUUAACAAACCACAACAAUAACACAUCCCUCAUCCAUAUCAAGCUUACCAAAAUAAAAUAAUUAUAAGCCAUAUAUAUAUAUCAUUACGUCUUACCAAAUUCAUAUACCAAGCAUACCCCACGCCUUUACUAUGACCAAAAUUACUUAAACCUUGGAUCAUUAGCAUUAGAUCAAGCCAUUUUCGCAUGGUUGAAUAUAUAUACAACAACUAAAUUAAAACUAGCCUAUACAUCAAAUCCAUAUUUAACCGAAUACACAUAAGUUUAACAUUUGGCCGAAUAUAUAUAGAAUGUCAUUCACGUGUGUAGUUCUCAUUUUUAACCUCAUUAAAUUAUACUAGCAUAAUCACAUUUAACCUCAAGCUUAACGUUUCAUAUAAAACAUGUGUUUUCUUAAGUAAAUCUUAUCUUAACCGAAUGUAUAUAUAUAUAUUCAAAGUGUCAUUCAAUUCAAAGACAUAAUAUCAUUAUAUAUCCGAAUAUAUAUUUACACACAUAUAAAUAUAAUUUUGAAUCAAAGUAUAACAUCAUAUGCAUAUACAAAACACAUGGCCGAAUAUACUUAACCAAUGUACAUAUGUUCACUUUACUAAAUUAUAUAAUUUGUAUCACAAACCAACUGGCCAACUUACCUUGUUUUUAAAUAGGUAGUCAAGUAACUCAUACCUGAUCGUUUUAGCUCGUUUUACACCUUCGAUCACAACUUAUCAUUGCCCGUUGAACCAUUCGGAAUUUAAUAGGAUACUCGGAUAAUCACAUAUAUCGAACAAUGCCAACGUCCUAGACGUGGUCUUACAUGCUAUCUUAUAUCGAUGCCACUAUCCCGAACAGGGUCUUACACGAAUCAAAUACGAUGCCAAUGUCCUAGACAUGGUCUUACACGUAACCACAUAUAUCGAUGUCAUCGUCCCAGACGUGGUCUUACACGAGAAAACAUAUCGAAAAUCCUAUGUCAUGACAUAUGUAUCCUAGCUAUUCCUAAGGUUCGUACGGGGCUUUCGGACGUCGUAACUCAGUCGAAACGAAUUCAUAAACAUAGCUUCCAAGCUUAUUUUCAUUUGGUUAACACAUGUAUAAUUUCACAUAUUUCCUUUCAGCAAAUAAAAUUCAUAUUUAAUUAAAAUAAACAAUAUAUUUGCUUAUAGACUUACCUCGGAUAUCGACGGUAUAUAGAACGACUAUUCAACUACUAUUUUUUUCCCGAUCCAAAUCUGAUUUCUUUUGUUCUUGAUUUUGAAUUAGCUCCAACAAUGGCCGAAUGUAUGAACCUCUUCUUCUUUUUUUUUCAAAGUAUUUUCGGCUAGUUAAUGGACAAAAUGAAUGACCACUUUCAUUUUAUUAUAUUAUAACAUAUAAUAUAUUAAAUCAUUUACUUAAUUAACCUUUAAUAAUAAAUAUAAAACCUUUAUAUAAAUAAGUCAAAACCGUCCACUAACUUAAAUUAUGGCCAAUUUUCAACUUAAACACUCCAUGUUAAAAAGACAAAUGCAAUUCGGCCCUUGCACAUUAAACCACCAAAUUUUCAUUUUACGGGAUUAAGCCCUUUUAUUAAAUCGGACAUCUAAAUGAUAAAAUUUUUAAACGAAAUUUUAGCACAUACUAAUUCACACAUUAUAAACACUAAAAAUAAUUUUAAAAUAUUAUUUUUAUUUUUUUGACUCAGAUUCGUGGUCCCAAAACCACCAUUCCGAUUAGGAUCAAAAUCGGGCUGUUACAAUAAUUGAUAACGAACUAAGAUGGAAAUUGUAUUGAAAAGUGAAUUAAAUACUCUAUUAACUAGUCGGGCUAGUCGGAUAUAGUUGGCAUGCCAUAGGAUAUGGAAGAGUACGGGUUUUUGCCGGCUUACUGAUCAGGCAUUUAUAUGUCGACUACUGUUACUGUUACCGAUUCGACACUUUGUGUGUUGAAUACUGUUACCGUUAUUGUUACAGAUUCAGCACUUUGUGUGUUGAAUAUUAUUUCUGUUACUGCUACCGUUACUAAUUAUUGUUUAGGUGCUGUGUACCGUUAAGGUACAAUGUGUAGUACUAGUGUGUUGGUUGGAAUUCGUGUAUCCGCCGAGUCCAAGUCAAGUUAAUAAGGGAAAAUGAAAUAAAUUUACUGAUAAAACUAAAUUUGCAUGAUAUGACAUAUGUGAAAGGUGAGAAUUGAAAUAAAGAAAUAAGAAUAGUAUAUAUAUAAUCAAAUGAUAAUAUAAAAGACUGAAUUGUUCAUUAAGUGAUGAUAAUUGUAAUGUAAAAGUAUGUGUGUGUGAUUUAAUGUAUUUAAAUAUAAAUUGAAUUAUAGUGAUACCACUGAGUAUAUGUAUACUCAGCAUACGGUUGUUUCCGUGCGCAGGUUGUAGAAGUCAAGUAGUAAACCAGCAUCCAAAGCUAGACCUGACUUCAGCAAACUUUUGGUGAUGUAUAUUUUCUUUUGGUAAUAUGGCAUGUACAUAGGAUGUAUAUAAAGGUUAUUAUGUUUUGAAUAUAAAUGGUUAAAAAUGUUAGUAGUACAAGUCUAAGAAUUAUAAUGAAAGAUGUUUAUCCGUUUCAAUUUAAUUUUUACAUUGAUAAAUUUAAAUUGAUAUUAUAUUCAAUUGGUUGAAUUGGUUAUUUUUGGAAAUGGAUAUAGUUUUGUUUGCAAGGGGUUUUAUGUGAAAAUAAGCAGAAGUGUUGUCGCAAAAAAAAAUUACGGAGUACUUGAACGAGUCCUAUUUCACUUUUAAUAAAUGUUUUAGACUUCGAGGGUUCAUUAUAAGGAUUUAGUUAUUCAAUUAUACUAUGAAUGUCAUUUUAUUUAUGAAUUAUUCGUAAGUUGUCUGAUAUGUUCGGUAAUACCUCAUAAUCUUGUUCUGGCAACGGUUCAGGGUUAGGGGGUAUUACAUAGUGACAUUGAAGAAACAAUUCAUAUGGUACAACUAGAAAACUUUGAGUUGAGAGACCUAAAGAAUAUGGUUUGAAAAUUAACAAAAUCUAUCUAUGGACUCAAACAAGCUUCCCGUCAAUGGAACCACAAGUUUCAUCAAGUAAUUGUCUCGUUCGGUUUUGAGAUGAAUAUUAUUGAUGAUUGUGUGUAUCAAAAAUUCAAUAUGACUAAGUAUAUAUUCCUAGUUCUAUAUGUCAAUGACAUUUUGCUUGCCACUAAUGAUAUAGGCUUAUUGCAUGAAACCAAUAGGUUUUUAUCUAAGCAUUUUGAGAUCAAAGAUCUUGGGGAUGCUUAUUUUAUUUUAGGAAUUCAGAUACAUCAAGAUCGAUCUUGGGGUAUUCUUGGUUUGUCACAAAAGAGUUAUAUCGAUAAAGUACUAAAAAGGUUUGGCAUGCAAGGUUGUAGGCCAAAUGACACCCUUAUUGCUAAAGAAGACAAAUUUAAUCUUACUCAGUGCCCUAAAAGUAACCUUGAAAUUCAAGAAAUGCAAAAGAUUCCCUAUGCAUCAGCUGUUGGGAGUCUAAUGUACGCUCAAGUAUGUACGUGUCUGGAUAUUGCGUACAUUUUUAGGAUGUUAGGCAGACAUUUAAGCAACUUAAUAUGGGCCAUUAGAUAGCAACCAAGAGGGUUAUGAGAUAUCUUUAGAGAACAAAAGAUUACAUGCUCACAUAUUUGAGGUUUGAUAAGUUAAAGAUCAUCAGGUAUACAGACUUCGAUUUUGAUGGAAUAUUGAUGCAAAAUUUUGCCACUAGGGUGCAAAAUUGUGAUAAUAAUUGGUAGUCUUUUAUUCCAAUAACAACAGGAGCACAUCAAAGUCAAAGCACAUAGACUUUAAGUUCCUGGUUGUUAAAGUAAAAGUUCAAAGUUGUUAGGUACUUAUAAAGCAUAUUAGGACAAACUUCAUGAUUGCGAACCUGCUUACUAAGGGACUACACCCAAGGUUUUAUAAGUGCACACUACUCAUAUGGGUGUAAUGUCAUUCUAAGAUAUUCAGUUUUAGUGGGAGUUUUUAAUUUUAAAUACUUUUCUGUUAUAGACAAAUUUUCGAUUAUUUCAACUUAAGGUUAUUUUCUACAGAAAUAAAGGUUAUUUGGUUUAUUCACACUCUGAUUUUGGUAAGGUUUGAUCUCAUUAAGGUUAAGGAGGGCCAGUCAGAAAUAGGAAUGUUUGGUUCACAUUGCAUGUAAUUUCCAUGCUACACAUCCAUACUUGAUCUAUGACAUUUGGUUAUGUUAAUAUACGUGAUCAGGGAUGGACUUAGUUACGAUAUAUGUAACGAAAGUCGUCUUGAUUCUACGCUAAUAUAGUUAAUGGGCGAGAUUGUUCGAAAUAACUUUUGGAUAUGAUAGUAAAGUUUUGAGCUCAUAAGAUUAUAUAAUGACAUGUAAUUAUAGAGUAAUUAAUAUAUAUGUGGUCCAAGUGAGAGAUUGUUGGAAAAUAUGGACAUCACAUAUAUAAUAAUAGUAAUUACAUGUAUAUUAUUUACUAUCAUAAAAGAUUAUCUAAAUUAAAAGUGAUCUAAUUUGGUUAAAUUUUAUUGAGCUUUAGUUAUCAAAUAAUGUAUGGGUUUAAUAUGUAUAGAUACUCUAGUAACUACAUUCUAAUUGAUGAUGGGUUUAUUAGAAAUUAGGGUCAAUAUGCAAAAGUUAUAUAUUAAGGUUAUGGUCCCCAAAUUACACAUGCCUAACUUUUCUAAUAUCCCAUCUCAUCUUUAGAAAAGAGAGUCACCUUCUAUAAAUUACUUGUGUACUAAUUUGGAAGAUCAAAACUAUAAGAUCCGAAGAUUUCAAGAAAUUGAUGGAUUUAGAUAUGCUUCUGUAUCUAGUUUUAUUUUUUAAUUUUAUUCUUGUUGAUCUGACAUGAUAAAUCUUAAUUUGUUAAGUUUUAUAUUAUAUCUUAUUUUACAGUCCUAACAUUUGGGUCAAACUAAAUACUCGAGCUUAAAGUUUUUUUUUUUUUUGCGAAAUUCGAAUGGUGACAAGCUAGGUAAAGACGGAUAGAGGCCAUAAUCGAAAUAUUAGAACAAUUGAGCGAUGGAUUUGAAAGAUGUAAGGAGCCUAUAUUUCUAGUUUCAAAUAUUCAAAUGGCUUAAGGCAAACCCAUUCUAAUGAUAAUUAUAAAUAAUAAUAAAAAUUGAGAGAGAUGAAUGAAGGCUUGUGGCUCUAGUGUUGAAAGAAAAGAGAAAAAUGAUGGCUUUUAAUACCUAAAAGGAAAAAGGGUUAGGCGUAAAAAGAAAAGGUGAUGAAUGAUGAUGAUGUUAAAGUUAAAGUUGUGUUAUUUAUUGCUUUUCAGAUAAACUUUUGUAUGUAAAAGUAAUUUUUCUUGAAAAACAAUAAAGAACAGACAUUAUUUCAGAAAAAUUUUUAACUUAAAAAAAGUACUUUUUGGCAGAUGGAGAAGUUAAAAAUUUUAACUUCUCCAUCUGCCAAAAGUGCUUUUGGCUUCUAUUUUCAUUUUUAACCUUUGUCUUCUCCCAAAAUUUUUAGUAUUUAUAUUUGGUAUAUAAAUAUUAUCCCUUUUUAAAACUUUAAUCUAAAUAUAUGUAAUAUUUUAAUUUGUUAGGUUUAUAUUUUCUAUGUUAUGUUAAUAUCUAAUAUGAGUUAUAUAUUCAAAUACAUUUUAAAAUAAAAUAAUACAAAUGUGUUAAAAGCAUUAAUUAAAAAUAAAAAAUAAUUUUUAAAAUAAUACAAUUGUGUCAAUAUCUAAUUACAAACAUUUAAUUAUUAUAUUUAAAUAUUUAAAUAUAGUUUAUAUAUUCUAAUUAAAUUUAAUAAAUAAAUAAUAUUAAUUACUUAUAAAUAUUUAAAAUUAAUAUUAUAUAUUAAAAUAUUAACAAUAAGUUAUAAUAAAUUAUUUUUUAUAAUUUUGCAAAAUAUCAUAAUAUUAACUAAUUUGAACAUUAUUUAAAUACAUAUUUGUUACUUUAUAAUAUCAUGUCUAAAAUGGAUAUUUUAUUUUUUAAAAAGCACUUCUCAAAAACACUUCUCAAAAGUAAUUUUCCACAAUACUUUUCAAAAGCAAUGAAGAACUGGCCCUAACGCAUGAGAUGGAAAAUUUUGGUGAAAACAACGAAGAAGGGAAGAAACCCAAAUAGCUUUUUUGCCAAUGUUAUAAAAUAAUUAAAUGUAUUAAAUAAAUUUUUGUAGUUGUGAUGGUUUUAAUUGUUGAAUUAAUUAAAAUUAAAACUAAAUUGAUAAAAUAUGUAAGUGUUGAGAAUUAAAAGUGUUAUUGUAUAAAUUUAAAAGGUCACAUCAUUAUUUUUAUUAAUAAUUUAAUGAAGGUAGAUCAAAACAAAAUCAACCGAAAACAUUAAUGAUAAAAUUGAAUGUUUGCAUAGUUUGAUGAUAAAAAAAGAAACACCACUAAUGGUUAAGUGACUAAUUAUAUAAUUUAUCUUAAUUUUUUUAUAAAAAGUCAUAUUUGAUAUUUAUCAUGAUUAUUUUUAUAUUAAUAUUUAAAAUUAGGGGGUAGGUUUACCAAAUUCUAGUAAAUAGUUAAUGAGAAAUGGGAGUUAGCUCAUUAAUGUACUUCACAUUUUUACUUUCAUCUUUUGUCAAUUUUACCCUUAUUUAUUUAUUUUUGUCUUUUAGUCAUACUUACAAUUAUUUAUUUAAAGUACGAAUCUCACAUCAUAAUGAAAUAAGAAAAGAUAUGACAAAUAAUGUCACAUGUUGCUUUGGAAAAGUUAAAGGAAGCAUUCUAUACAUUAUUACGAAUGAACGAACACAAAAAUCAAGUUUCCAUUUUCAAAACUUCUUUUAUAGUUUUAAUUAUGUUCUUAAUAUUUAUUUAAAUGAAAUAAAAGUUUAAAUACUUUUAUGAGUGUUGCUAACAAUCUCUUGAUUUACUGAAAAAAAGCAUUGUGUUGUAAAUACGAUAGCAUUCUCCUACUUAAUUAAGAGAAAUAGAGAGAUUUAUCUUCAGUCAUUUCAAAAUUAAAGUCUCUGGAAAAACUUCAAGUGAUCCAAAUGGUUAAGAGUAAGGUCUCUAACAAUAAAAUCAUAUAUCUCUAACAAUCUUGUUAUUUUUAAACAAAACUAAUAUUGGCCUAACGGCCUAAUAACAAAUUUGAUCUCAAAUUUAAAAAAUUUAAUAAAUUUAGCCCUUAAUGUUUACAAAAUUUUUCAUUUUAGUCCUAAAUAUAAAAAUUAUAAAAACUAUUUAACAAAUCUUAAAAUUUUAAAAAGUAAAUAUAAAAACAUUUUCAAGUUUUUGUACCCAAAAUGACUUUCACAAUUUCUUUCAUUUUUUUCUUUCAUUCAAUUGACGAAAUUGGAAAUAUAAAAUGCUAUGGCCUUCACCUGCAAGAGAACGCUAGAGCCUAAAAUUGAUACUAUCUUUAUGGCAAAGAGUACGGCCGUCGGAGUUGGUGUCAUUAACUCAACCAUUUGUCUAAGUUUUUAAAUUUGUAAAUUUUGAGUUUCUUUCUAGAUUUUAAUAAGCAUUUUAGAAGAAUAAUGUAGCAAAAAAAAAAGGACUAAAUCAAAAGAGAUUGAAUAAAAAAUAGUUUUACUUUUUGGGUUUUUGACAUGUUUGGUUGAUGAGAAAAUGAAUAUGGUUAAUAAGAAAAGCUAAAUAUAAAUAAUACAAAUUUCAAAAUUAAAUACAAGUUUUUAAAAAUAUUUUUAAAUAUACUUUUAGAAAUUUUAGAAUUAGAACUAAAAUGAAAAAUUUUGUAAACAUUAAGGGAUAAAUUUGUUGAUUUUUUUAGAUUUAAGAUCAAAUUAAUAGAAUGAGUAAAUAGUUGAGAGCUAAAAUGCUAUUAGGCCAAUAAAACAAAACCCACAUUAGACUUCUGUUUGACAACUAACAGAAGAGUGACUAAAAUAUUUAAUUUUAAAAAGUUAAGUGAUUAAAUUGAAAAUUUAAUAGUUGGGUGAUCAAAAUAAAACUAAUUGAAUAGUUGGAGGACUAUCCUUGUACUUUGCCCAUAUAUUUUAAAAUUAAAUUAGGUAAUACUAAUUUAUUAUUAUUUUAUACGCACAUUCGCAAAGAUAAAAAAAAAUAGUUUAUAUAUAUUUGAAUGUAUAUUUAUAUUUUUUAAGUUGUAUUUAUAUAAAAUUUUGUUUGCUAAUGAUCAUGUUAUAUAAAUUUCAAUAUAUCUAUAAAUUGUUAUUAUAAAUUUAUAUUAAUUUUUUGGGUAAACUAUACCAAUAGCCACUCAAUUAUUAGCGUCCUUUUGUUUUGGUCGUCAAACUAGAGAAACUUUUAAUUUCGUCAUUAAUAUUUUCAAUUAAUUCUAUUUUAGUCAUCAUUCGUUAAAUUGUUAUCGGAAAUGAUCGACAUUACCUUUUUGAAUUUAUGCAAUAACACUUUUAGUCCCCAAAAAUUAUACAUUCUACUAAUUUAGUCUUAAUUCUAAAUAAUUUAACAAGUUUAAUAUUUCAUAUUUACGAAUUUUAUUAAUUCAGUCCCCGAACAUAUAUUUUUUAGUUAUGUAGCAAUUCUAACCAAUAAAAAAUGGCAUAUAGAUAGAAAAUAAUCAAUUGACGUGUAACAUAUCAUUUAACUAUCAAUUUGUUUAAAUUUUCAAUAAAUAAAAUUUGUUAUUAUUUCUUUGAUUUAUUUUAAACCCAAAAAAUGUUGGUAAUUAUUUUUCAAAAAGGGGUGAUGGUACUGUUGGUGACCACCAUCAUCGAUAGUUUUUUUUUUUUCAAAAAACCAUUAAUAACAAGCUGAAGCCACCUUGACUGACCCAACCAAAACUACAUAGCCUCUAUCUUGAACUCGCUAACCAACCCAAACCAGAGAGAAAAAAGAACUAAAGGAACCCCAAAGGCUUUAGGUCAAACCAAAUACUCCGGCUUGAACCAUUUUUUCUUGAUUCUAAAGUGCAAAUUGAAUUGAAUUUCGAUUUAUUUAAUUUUUUUAUUUAAUCAAUUUUUAUGUUUAGUUUAAUUGGUUUAUUCGAUCAAUUUUUAAUUUUAAUAUUUUAAAUUGAAUAAACCGAAUGAGCCAUGAUUCAUUUGCUUGCUUGCCUAAACUUAAAUUUAAACUUUAAACUUUCACGCUUUAAAAUGCCUAAACCCAUUAAUAUUUAAAACCUAAAUUAAUAAAUUAAAUUUUUUAUGAUAUUUAUUUUAAUUUUUAUUAUUUAAUAUAUAUAUACAUAUAUAUAUAUAUAUAACAAAAUUGAUAUAUUCCUAUUAAGAAUAGUAGAAGGCAUGAAAUUGUAUGUUGCACAUGUAAUAAAAUAAAUAUUUUUUGAGUUCAUUAAAAUUAUUUGAUUUAAUUUUAAUAUUUUUAUAAUGAAUUGGAUAAAAAUAAAUUUAAAAGUAAUACAAUAUAUUAAAUUGAAGAAAGAAGAUAAUUAUGUGAAAAAUUAAAGAAAUAAAAUUAUAAAUACUUCAAUUAGAAACUUUUUUUUAACUAAAAAAAAAAGUUAAAAAUCGAAAAACUGAAUUGAACCAAAAAAGCUUCGGUUAGGUUUAUUCGGUUGUGCUCUCCAAGUAAAUUCGAUUUUAUUUGGUUUACAUAAAUAGUUUGAUUUAUUUAAUUUUUUUGUAUAAAAAAAUCAAAUUGAUGGAAUGCACACACCUACUAGAUUUUUUUUUAUACAUGAACUAUGAUUUAAUGUGUAAUUGUAUACAUGAACUUUGAUUCUGAGCAAUUUUAUACAUGAAAUUUUGAUUUGAUCAAAUUCUUAUAAAUUAUUAACACAAUUAUUGAUAUAACAUCAUUUUAUGUUUAUAUAUUGCAUACAUAAAUAUUUAUAUUUAUUCAAUAUAAAAAUAAAUUGAUGUAUUUAUUUCUUUAAAUGUGUAUGAUUAAAUCAAAAUUAAAGUUUCAUAUAUACAUUUGAACCACAGUUAGAGUUUCACGUGUAUAAUUGCACCAAAUUAAAGUUUAUAUAUACAAUUGCACAUUAAAUCAAAGUUCAUGUAUAACUUUGAGAUUUAUUCCUUUAAUAAUUAAAGGAAAAAAGGUUGGGAAUAAUAAGAAUAAGGUGAUGAAUAACGAUGACGUUGAAGCUAAUGAAGAAGGAAAAUUUUGGUGAAAAGUUGAUUGAGUCUUAGUUUAAUUAGUAUGAGCAUUGUUAUCAAUGUAAGAGGAUGUGAUUUGAGUACGCUGAAGCGCAUUAUCCUCCUAUUUAUGAGUUGGUGAGAGACUAUGAGUAAUUCUAGAUAUUAUAUAUAAAAAAACAUAUAUAAUCAGAACCUAUAAUGAGAUUGUUAAAAAAAUUUGGUGAAAACAAAGGUAAGAACCCCAAAUAGUUUUUUUUCUUUUGCUAAUUGUAUAAAGUUAUAAAAAUAAUCAAAUGCAUUAAAUAAAUUUUGUUAUUUUUUAAUUGUUGAAUUAUUUAGAAUCAUAAUCAAAUUGAUAAAGCAUACCAGUGUUGAGGAUUAAAAGUGUUAUUGUAUCAAUUAAAAAGAUCACGUCAUUAUUUCUGUUAACAAUUUAAUUAUGAGUGACCAAAAUAGAACCAAACAAAAACGUUAACUGCAAACUUGAAAGUUUUUAUAAUUUGGUGACCAAAAUAAAAACACACUAAUAAUUGAUUAUUUUGUAUAAAAUGUCAUAUUUUAUAUUUAUCAUGAUUAUUUUUUAUUAGUAUUUAAAAUUGGGAGGUUGGUGUACCAAAUUCUAGUAAAUAGUUAAUGAGAGAUGGAAACCAGCUUAUCAUUACUUUACAUUUUUACCCUCAUAUUUUUUUUUUGUCAAUUUUAUCUUUAUUUAUUUAGAGUACGAAUCUCAAUCACAUGUUGCUUUGGAAAAGUUAAGGGCGCGUUUGGUUCAAGAAUUUUUGUAUAAACCAUUAUCUAUGAAUGAACAUAAAAAUAUAAAAAGAGAUAAGUUUUCAUUUUAAAACUUUUUUUAUAAUUUUAAUUAUCUCUUUAAUAUUUGUUAAAAUGGAAAAAAAUAAACAGUUUUAUUUAUUAAAUGAUAAUUAAAAUCAUAUCAUCAUCUUAAAUUUCAUUUUAAAUUGAUUUUUAUUUUAUUUAAUUAUGUAUUAAAUCAUUUGACAAAAUAACACUUUUUUUUAUAUACAAAAAUAGCACUUCUUUUACAAAAUAUCUCAAUUUAAUAAAAACGAUUUUCCUCGAAACCCUUUAAAAGAAAUUCUAAUUUUAAAAACCAGCUUAUAAAAUAAUGUUAUUUUUAAAAUCAAGGUAAAACCCAAAAUCCAAUGCUCUCUUCUAUCUACACGGUCUUGUCAACUCUCAACUAAAGAGAGAAAAUCUCACGUGGGUGAAAAUAAAAAUGAUUUAAUAAUAUAUAUUUGUAGUUUGUUUUAAAAUUUAAUAAAAUUGUAUUUGAUGUGCUGCAUGCAUCAAUAAAUUUAUUAAUAAUUAUUAAAAUUAAAUAUAAUUAUAUUUUCUAUACCAUUAAUUUUUGGUCAAAAUUUUCAUUUCCGCCAUAAAUUUUAGUUAUAUUUUUUUAGGUUAAUAUUUGAUGUCUUUUUAAUUCACAAACAACUUUAAAAAUUAUCAUUUCUCUCUUUUUUAAAUAUUUAUUUUUAAUAUUUUACUAUAUUCCGAUAAGAUAUUUGUUAACCUCCUGGCCCUAUUUAUGAAGUUUAAAAACUACAUCGAUAGUGUACUAAAUAAUUUCUCAUAUUUGUUAUAAAAUUUAACGGAAGAAUAUUUGAUGCAUUGUUAAUGUAUAAGUUUCGUAUAAUAUUACUGAAUAAUAACAUAAUAUCUUCUCAUUAAAUAAAAACAAAAAAUAAUUGAAGGCGUAUAAUUAAAUAAUAAUUAGUGAUAAUAUAGUACGUUAUUCAUUGAUAAUACUGCAGUAACCACGUAUUAAAUAUGAUUUCACUUUGGAACAGAGAAUAUCUUUAACUAGUGAUAUCUUAUCCUUCCUAUCUAUUCCCAGCUUUUUAGAGCCCUUUAUCAUGAUGUAGGUAUGUACGAAAUUCGGUUAAUAAAUAGGAAAUGUCAAAUUACAAAUAAUUAAGUAUAAAAUAGAGUGUAAGUGUCCGUGACCAUUACUGUGAGAAUUUUUAAAAUGUAAAUUAUGAAAAUAUAUUAUAAAACUUUUAUUUAAAUAUUUUUAAAUAUAUUUUUAUAAAAUUUAAUUAACUAAAGUAUUUUAAAUAAUUGAGAUUAAUAUUUUUAAAAAAAUAUCAACUCUAACAUUUUCAUUUAGAUUAAAAAACAUUUAUUUUACCAAUUGAGUGUUAGCUCGAUUAGUAUGAACAUUGUUGUCAAUAUAGUAAGACGUAAGUUCGAGUGUGCUGAAGCACAUUAUCCUUCAAUUUAUAUGUUCAAAGAAAUUAUAGAUUAGACAUUAUAUUAAAAACAGAUAUAAUCAGAAUUUAUAAUGAAUAUUUAACUUUAGUAAAUAUUUAAUGCAUAGUGGAAACCAGCUCAUGUUUACCCCUACUUAUUUAGAGUAAGAAUCUCAACACAGGACCAAAAGACAAAAGAGAAAAAGUAAGGCAAACAAUGUCACAUGUUUAUUCUUUGAAAAAAACAAAGGUGUGUUUGAUUCGAUAAACUUUGUAUAAGAAUUAAAGAAUAUAAUAUAUAUUAAUAUUUUUUUCAAUUCUUAAACAAGAGAAUAAAUAUAUUUUAACAUACUUAAAUUAAUAUUGAUGUCAAUUAAAUUAAGAUCUAAUCGAGAACUUAAAUUAUUAUUUUAAAGUAUUUUGUAGUUAAAUUUAAAUAAAUAUAUUUACUUAGUAAUAAUUUGAAUAAUAUCCGUUUGAACUUUAAGAAACGCUAGAAUUAUAAUAUCAUCUUAUAUGGUUUCAUUUGGGUGUUCUUUUAUUUCUUUUAUGUAUUUUUAUGAAAUUACAAUUUUUUAAAUUGACCCUUUUUCUUAAUGGAAAUAUAUUUUUUAUUUUUUUAAAAAAACUAAUUUUGAUACUUGUAUACCAUAAUUUCAAAUUUUAAAAGUCAUAUGGAAUAUACAAUAAAUUCAGGGGGUAGCAAGGGGUUGUAGCAAGGGGAAGGUAGGAGUUGACCCCCUAAAAUAGAUUUUUUUUUUUAUUUAGACAAUUUAUUUUUGAAAAUUUUUAAAUUAAUAAAGUUAAAAUUGUACUUUAAUCCUCCCUAAAAAUGAUAAAAUUUCUAUUUAAUCAUUUUAAAAAUAUAAAGAUGUAUUCAAAUGAUGAAAUUACAUUUUUAUUAUCGUAAAAAUUAAAAUAUAAUUUCGACUUCCCUAAAAUUUUUUUUAUGUCUUUGUCCUUGACUAAGAGCUUGUUUAGUAAUACUUAAAAAAAACAUUUUUAGCUUGAAAAACAUUUUUGAAAAAAAAAACUAUGCUAAACAAUUUACCUUUGAUUGAAAUUUUUGACUUUUUAAAAAGCACAUGAAAAGUAUUUUUUAUCCUAAAAGCAUUUUUGGUGCUUAAUUAUUUUUUCACCCCUCCAACAACAUAUUACUUUUCCUUCUUCUUUUUUUCUUGGUACUUAAUUUCACAUAUGUUAAAUUCCUUAAUUAAAAUAAAUUAUUUUUUUUAAAAUAAUUCAAAUGUGUUAAUAUUAAAUAGUUUUAUUUAAAUAUUCACAAUAUAAUUUAUAUAUUCUAAUUAAAUUUUAUAAAUAAUUAAUAUUUAUUGCUUACAAAUAUUUAAAAUUUAUAUUUCAUAUAUUAAAAUAUUAACCACAAGUUAUAAUAAAUUAUUUUUUAUAUUCUUAUUAAAAUAUAAUAAUAGUAACUAAUUUAAACAUGAUUUAAAUGCAUAUCUGUUACUCGAUAAUACCAUAUCUAAAAUAGAUAUUUUAUUUCUGAAAAGUAUUUUUUAAUAACAAUACCAAACCAAAAUUUUCAAACCAUUUCUCAAAAACAUUUUUUAAAAGCAUUAUUAAACUAGCAUUAAAUUAGGACAGUUGUGGAAAAUUUUUAUGUAAAACAUAAAAAAUAUUAACAUAAACAAAUAACAAGUUUUAAGUUAAAAAAUUGGAGUUUUUAAAAAUAAAAUAGCGUCCAUGGCGUCCAAUAAUUUCAAUUCAACAGCCAAACAGGCCCGAGAUUCGAUACUUUCACUUCCAUCUAUACGGUCUCGUCAACUCUCAACUAAAGUGGGGAAAUGAUAAUCUCACAUGCGUGUGUAUGAAAAUUAAUAUAUAUUAGAUAAUUUAAUAGUAUUUUUAAAAUUAAGUAAUUAUCUAUCGUCAUGAAUUUUGAUAAUUAAUUUGAAUUUGAAUUAUCAAUACAAUUUAUAAAAAUAAACAUAAAUUUUAAUUUAAUGAUUGGGUGUUCACUUUUUUAAAAAAAUUUUGAAUUUAAAUUUAAAACAACUUAAUUUAAUUAGAAGGAUAACUAGUUUAUAACUGAACUCCAACGACCUCGCAGUGGCACGAUUAUUCCAUGCUACCUACAGAGGAAAACGGAAAACUGCUGCAAAUUUUAACUGCGUUAGAUUUUAUUUAUUUAUUAAUCUACUUUACUUUUCACUGCCCCUCAAGAAUUCCGAUUCCCUUUUUAUUUAUAAUAUAAAAAGAAAUAAUAUAAUAUUUUUAUAAAUAAAGAAUUAUAACACUUUUUUCUAAUUAAAUAUAUUAUUUUUAACACGUAAAUAAAUUAUGUCAUAUUUUUUCAAUAAAUUAUUAUAAAAAUUUAUAAAUAAUUACAUAGGUGACUUUUCAAACACAAUCAUCAUUAUAGACAAAAAUUGAAAAACCCUGUGAAAACUGAACCCACAGCUCCUCGUUUCCUCUUCUUCUCCGUUACCGCCGUUGGGGCUUCCCCUAUGUAUAUUUUAUUUCUUUUCCUCCACCGGUAACUUCUUUGUCAGAACUCGUCGACGAUCGCCGCUGCUGCCGUGUAUCCUUCUUCUUUCUUUGUCUUUUCCUCCAUUCUCUUUCCUUUUUCUCCUCCUGUUUUUUUCUUCUCUUCUCAGUUCUCCCGCUGCCGUGUCCGUCGGUUUCCGCCGGAUCUGAUCUCGUAUUCAGUGUCGGAAAUCCGUGUCGGAUCGUGUCGACACUGGUACGGCACCCCUAAUUGCCGAGUCCGGGUAACGGAGUUCUGAUAAGUUUUCAUUGUUUCUUUUACAGGUUAAGAAACUGUUCUUGGGCUGUACUAUAGCUCAAGGAAAAUGGUACUCUCAAGUUCUAUUACUUUUUUAUUCCUUAAUGUUAUGUGUCGUCGUAAUAUUCUUCCUGUAUUUUUCUAAAAAUUCUCAUUUGUGCACUAGGCUGUCAGUUGGCUAAAAGAAAUGAAAAUUCUUUAGUUAUUUAAUCUUAUAUAUAUUGUAUUUGAUAUUAUGAAUGUGUGUGUGGUUUUGUAAUUUUUGUAGGAUCAAAAUGGUUCUGGUGGUGAUGCUGAUAAUUUUGACUGGGAUACCGAAGAUGAGCUGGAAAUUGAUAAUUAUGCAAUCGCCUCUCGCUCAGGAGUGUCACUUACCAAUGGGGAAGCUGUUUUAGGCACAGCAGAGGUACUUGCCCAUGCAUAAUUGCAUCACAUGGCAUUCUGGAAAUUUUAACAUGCAAAUCGUUUUAAUGAUUAUGAAAAUUAUCUACGAUGAAGUUUUCUUUCAUUUUUAAUUUCCAAAGAAACAUUAUAGAUAUUAAUUGAUGAGUUCCUAUGGGAAUUUUCUCUGGAGGUCACUGUAGUUUCGCAUCUCCUUUUCAUGCACUGCUUUAUUUAGUUGAUGACAUUACCAAUGUCCCUGGCUUAAAUUUCAUUGAUUAGCCUCCAUAGCAAUGAAUAUGUAUGCAUUCACUAAGAUCAAGCCUUUUAACUUUUGUGUCUAUCCCAGUUAUUCAAAUACCUGUGUUUGCAAACAAUUAAUCUUCUCUCUUGUACUUACAUAUAUCUUUUUCCUGGCAUAUAAUAGCUAAGGGACAAAUUAAUGUCAAAACGAACUCACGGUUAACUUUUAUUGUCUCAAGGUGAGCUCGUCUGCAGAUUCUCCGAAUUCCAAGUUAAUUGAUCAUUUUGUUGGGAUGGGGUUCUCCCAGGAACUUGUUACGAAAGCAAUUGAGGAAAAUGGUAAAGCUUCUAGGUCUUUACUACUUAGAGCACAAGUUUUUAACUCAUUUAUAAUCCUGCUUUCCUAUUGUCCAGGAGAGGAGAAUUCAAAUUUGAUACUUGAAGCUCUCCUUCAGUACUCUGUGAGUUGUACAUCCUAUUUAAAGAUGCUUAUUAGUUACACACCCCUUGAUGAUAGAGAGCUGCUGCGGCUUUUGUGGUGGAACUGUUACUGUUAAAUUACUGACGUGUUAGUAUGCAGAUUUCAUAAUAAGUUCUUGAUUUCUCUUUUUCGCAUGCAGGCAAGCUCGUUGGCUAGUUCUUCCAAUUCCAAGUUGAUUGAUCAUUUCGUUGGGAUGGGAUUCUCUGAAGAAAUGGUUCUCAAAGCGGUUCAAGAAAAUGGUAAUAGUCCUUUCUCAUUUUAUUAGACAUCACUUUUGACCUCUAUUGCUUUAUCUGUGGUCAUGUCUAUAUUUUCAGGAGAGGGGAAUACAGAUACCAUAUUGGAGACUCUAUUGACAUAUUCGGUAAGCUGUACACCUGAAACCUUUGUUUAGUUAUUUCUGAAGCAUUUAUUAUUUGUUUGGGAAAGAAACCUAUUGACGUUACUUGGAAUCUUGAUAUUGAUGCAAUAACAAGUCAACAUAUUCAGUGGUUCAGGUUAUAUUGACAAUCCUCCCCAAAUAGAAUCGUCUUUCCGUUGUUGAACUAUCUAGCAAAUUAGUUGUUUGCUCUCUCUGUUAUAUCAUGAAUGAUUAAUUUAAGAUUGCAGGCUCUUGAAAAGUCUGCUCCUGUGCAACAACAUGCUGAUUCUGAUGACUUCUCGUCAGAUUGUGAAGGGAAUUUUUUGGAUGAUUUCACAGAUAUUGAUAGUUCUUCUGAUACCGAGGUAUCUAUCCUUUAAUGUUACAUUUGCACAAUUUGCGGAAAUUUCUAAAAGUUACCUUUUGUGAAUACAAUGAGAAAAUUUAAUUUUAAAAGCUGUUGUGCUUUAGUUUUCUAGCCACAUGGAUAAUAAAAUGUGGCCUAUAGUCAUUGAUUUGCCUUUUUCUUUUUAUAGAUUUUAUAAUUUAGUUACUGAAUAGUUAUGUAUUUUCUCGCAUUUUACUUGUAGAUUAUUUAUGUAUGUUGUUUCUUUUUGUAUUUCUGUGCUCUAGGAAAUAAUUAAUCCUGGUUCUGAUGAGGAGAGUAAACUGUUGUACUUGACAAAAAUGGGGUACUCAGAGGCUGAGGCUUCAGUAGCCAUGGAGAGAUGCGGUGAGUGUUUUUAUUUUUUUCAAAGGAAGAACAACAAAACACAACUUUAGAUUUGGUGCCAUGUUAAGCAUCCUACACAACAGAUUGAUUACAUGCGAAGGACAUGACUUGAAUACAGGACCACACGAAAGCGAAUAAUUAAUAGAUGUGGAAUAACACCACUUAACAUAAAGUAUCAAAAUUGGAAUUCCCAAUAACCCAUUGCAGACAUGAUAAAUUUGCUCCAAGGGUCUGUACUUGUAGGGAAACCCAAGUGUUUUCUUUAACCCAAGGUUUCAGUAAUUAACUUUCUCUCUCUUUGGCUUCCAUCUUUAUAGGAGAAGAUUGCGAUACUUUGGAGGUUUUAUCCUAAGUCUUUUACGUUGCAAGAGGGGAAUGUAUUUCUUGCACUAACAUUAGCUCUUCAAAUAUUGCAGGUCCAGACUCAUCAAUUGCAGAGCUGACAGACUUUAUAUGUGCUGCUCAAAUGGCUAAGGCUGCUGAUGCACUUUUCCCUGUUGAAGACAGGGUAGUCUCUUUCCCCUUUCCAAGAAUUCACUUAUUAUACGCUUUCUGAAUAUUUUGUACUUUAUUGUUUCAUGUUUACAUUUUAAUUAAGAGAAUAUGCCAAUUUGCUGUAGUUUCUGUGUGUGAUUUUCGGUAAAACUUACUCUUGCCAUCCAAUCUAACAGAAGCCAUUCUGCAAUGGCUCUAAUUACAAUAAAAGGCGAAACUUGGGCUAUGAUUUGUGGAAAAGGAAGAAGCAGAUGAAGCUUGAAAAGAAGCUUCUUAAUGAAGAUGAUGAUGCCCUUCAUCUUCCUAAUCCUAUGAUUGGUUUUGGGGUCCCAACUGAACCAGAUCUGAUAACUCAAAGAACACUUCCAGAAGCUGCUGUUGGGCCUCCUUAUUUCUACUAUGAGAAUGUGGCACUUGCUCCAAAAGGCGUUUGGAGCACCAUUUCACGGUUCUUAUAUGAUGUGGAACCAGAGUUUGUUGAUUCCAAGUUUUUUUGUGCUGCUGCUCGGAAAAGGGGCUAUAUUCAUAAUCUGCCAAUUGAGAACAGAUUUCCCCUUCUUCCAUUUCCUCCACGCACCAUACAUGAAGCUUUUCCGUUGACAAGGAAAUGGUGGCCUUCCUGGGACCCAAGAACAAAAUUGAACUGCAUACAAACAUGUACAGCGAGUGCAAGAUUGACAGAAAGGAUCCGCAAGGCUCUUGAAGCUUAUGAUGGUGAGCCACCUUUGAAUGUCCAGAAAUACGUUCUUGAUGAGUGCAGAAAGUGGAAUCUAGUAUGGGUUGGAAGGAAUAAGGUUGCGCCACUUGAAGCUGAUGAGGUGGAAAUGCUUCUGGGUUUCCCUAAAAACCAUACACGAGGAGGAGGAAUGAGUCGGACAGAUAGGUAUAAAUCACUUGGCAAUUCAUUCCAGGUGUGUGACUUUUACUCUUUUUCUUUCCCAUAAUUGCUUCAUUCCUAUAUAUUAAUGGUUAUGAUUCAUGUAUUUGAUUCCUUUUGAGUAAUUCUUUGGUUUCGAGAUACAUGAUCCAUGCUUGCAGUAUUGUGCCUUAAAGAAAAAGCUUAUUUCAGGUCGACACAGUGGCUUAUCAUCUUUCAGUUUUAAAAGACAUGUUCCCUGGUGGGAUCAAUCUUCUGUCUCUUUUCUCUGGGAUUGGUGGUGCCGAGGUUGCCCUCCACCGGCUUGGGAUACCCCUGAAGAAUGUUGUAUCGGUGGAAAUAUCGGAGGUGAAUAGAAACAUAGUAAGGGGUUGGUGGGAGCAAACGAAUCAGCGGGGGACUUUGAUUGAUAUAGCAGAUGUGCAAGAACUGAAUGGUGAUCGAUUGGAGCAAUUGAUGAGUAGAUUUGGUGGAUUUGACCUUGUCGUGGGUGGCAGCCCAUGUAACAACCUUGCGGGUAGCAACAGACAUCAUCGAGAUGGACUCGAGGGUAAAGAAUCUUCUCUCUUCUUCGAUUAUUGUCGUAUAUUAGACUUGGUUAGAUGCAUGCAAAGGAACCAAUGAUUUGAUGUAAAGGGGGCUGAUUUGUGGAUACUUGCUCCAAACUGUAUUUAUCUUGCAUCUUCAUUAUUGCCUGAGCAUAACAUUGAAAUAAUGACUGACAUUCUUUGCAACUUAUGACAACUUCAAAUUCUUAGGGAAAUGAAAAUUGAUGGAAAAGUUGUUGGUUACUGUUUUCCCCAAGUUUGUUUGUCACUGGGAAUCUUUCCAUUUUGCUUGAGUAUUAAACUUAUAUUAUCCGGGUUUAGGAGUGAGUGGUGUACAUUGGAUAUUUUAAAAUAACAAUGUACAGAUUGGAUGGUGAAAUUGAUAAGGAUAUGGAUGAAGCUUGAUCUGUUACUUCAAUUUUUUUUAUUGAAGUAUCUGUGCCCGACGUCCCUUUUGGAUGCAUAUCUGGUUAGGGAUAUGGAUAUAUUAUCUUUCAAGGACCCUACAAAUGCAUGGAGAAACUUGAAAAAAGUUGAACGUAUUCUUGGAUACAUUGCUCUACAUGGUUAUGAUUUACGAAGAUACGAACUUUCAAGAUCUUAUAAAUGUAUGGAAAAACUUAACAUGUUUGUGUUGGACCCGUGCUUAUAUUUGUUACAUACACUUAGUCUGAGUAGCAUGAUAUCUGGUCUUUGCUACUUAGGACAUUUUUUCUUUUUUCUUUUUUUUCUUUUUUUGCGUGGAACAUCUGUGUUUGAUGCAUAUUUGGACAUAGUUACGGAGAUAUGAUUUUUCAAAGACCUUCGAUAUACAUGGAAAAACUUUAAAAGAAUAUUCACAUCGAAUGCAUAUUCAUAUCCGAUAUGUACAUUUGAUUUCAUCUUUAAUGUUGAAAAACAUGAGCUUGGAAAUCUAAGCUUGUAGCAUCGAAUCCGUAAUCCCCCAUGGGCAAUGGGAGUGGGGUAGGAUUGUUUCCUCCACUUUCGUAGUUAUAUCUAUAAUCACUUCAUAUUGUUAAAUCUUACUUUUAUUAAUAAAUUUUUAACUUAAUAUUAUAAAAAAAAGCACAUUUAUAAUCUAUUUAUAAACAUAAUCUCAACGUAAACACGGACCCGGAAUCCUUGGAAUGCAAUAGGAGAACCGGCUCAUGUAUAGAGAUAACCCAAAAAUGAACUAGGAUGAUCCUUAGGUCGACAAGGAUAUUCAACAGGAUCAACACCGGAUCAAGCAUAACACGUAGGGUGUAGUCCGCAAGGAUGUUUAGACCAAGUACUUGAUAACGCAACCAUGUGACUUUGUAUCAAGGUAUUGUGUCGACUUCGAGACCCUCCAACCCUCUCUUUGGGGCUUCGGUCUAGUGAGCACUCAACUUUUAUGAUACAGAGCCGAUGGUAGCAUUAAGGAGUAGUCGAGAUUGAACUUCAUUGUAUCUACAGUUUACCUCGCUACGGUGCUUGGUUGCAGUUUUCAAAUCCAUGGUAGCAGCCAAUACCAUGAGACUUUUGAUGGAGAGGAUCCACUUGGGUGGCACUUGCAGAGCAAGCCACUCAUGUCUCAUUGUUAGUUUGUGUGAACACGGAACAAAAUAAUAACUAAGAAUUAGAGGAGAGAGCAACCAAAGAGAGAAUUUAGUAUGACACAUUGUAGAUUUCCUACACUAAGUGAAUAGUGUAUAGGAAUUUAUGACGCUACAUAAUAAAUGGUAAAGACUUCUUAUGCAAAAUGACAAAGAUGCAACAUGACGAAAUACAUAAAAAGACGAAUUUUUUUGAAAAUUACGUGUCUUCUCGGGAAUGAUAUAUUUGUCGUCAUCCCGUGCCUUUAAAAAUUGUAUCUCAAUUGUCCCAUGGGAGAGUCAGGUGGGAAUGGUCUGCUCCAAGAGUGAAAUUGUAUCUUAGGCUUUCGAGCCAUUUUUUAUGUGAAAUUUUCAUUUCUUCUUCGGGUGUUAUCUUUGCGCCAUCAUCCAUGAACAUCGGUUUGCUGCUUCUGAUCUCCUUGUUUUGGGCCAUCUUAGUUUGCCUGAGUUCAGUGGUAUGAAGAUCUAAUGGGUCGAAAUUACUGCAAAGUUCAUAAGGAUCUUGUGAGUCUUGCCAGUAGAUUGGCGGGUCUGGUUUCGAAUCUUUAAUCGGUGGGGUUUUCCAAUACGUAUUCCAUUGCGUUGAUUGGAGUUUGUCCGUGUUGAAAUUGUAUUUGAGAUGAAGUGGCUCCAUUGUUGGAAGUUUGAAUUUUUUAUAGUGCAUGAAUUUAUCAUUAUUCAACUGGGUCACAUAAUUAUCCGACUAGUCAUCCCGUGUUGACCUUUCUUGAUUCAUCGGCCAAAUCUAUCGCGGAACACAACCCUGUUCUGUUCACAUAGUUUCUUUUGGACUUCUGUAUACUCUUUCGGAUGUUGGUUGAUGUCAGUAUGGAGGGAGUAUUUUGUCCUGUGAGAAUAGCAGUGUAUGGGGAGUACUGGAUGCAAUUCAUGUACAUGUAGGGCCCGUAGAAGGAUAUGAGUAUGACAAUAUCAAUGUGGGUAUAAGGCUUGUAUUUUUUCCAGUUUUGGAUCUAUGAGGUCCACAUCGGGAUUAGUCUAAACCAAUUAAGGAGGUGUUUAAAGGCAUUUUGGCUCGGGCUAAAAGUAUGCUUUUUUAGGUAGAUUGUUCCCUGGUGGAGUUUGUUCCGGGUUUUGAGGAAAAUUCUUACCUGGAAUUCAAUGGCAAUGUGGUAUAUGUGACACAUGUACCAGAGGAAUCAAAGGGUGUUCUGGGUGAAAUUAAUCCAAUGGUGCUCUGGGAAGCAAAAUAGGCGAAUGAACGGGUGGCUUGGAUGUAUGACUAAUGGUUGGAUUGAUGUGUCUCCCAUGGCCUUAAUUAGCAUGCGCUGAUAUUUGAUGAGGGUUGGUAGUUUGGGAGAGAGUUGAUGAAGUGGGAAGUUGGCUUCCAUUUUGUUCAGGGUUUGUAUAUAUGGGAUGGUGCUUUUGGUGGAAAAGGAAGAGCCUUGGGAAUGGUAAGGAUCCAUGACUGCGAUGACUGGUAUUAGUUUAGGCUGAGGAGGUCUGGAUAGCAAGCUCGGGACGAUGUUGGUGUUGCUUUUUAUAUGCUCGAAGGCAAAACCUGUAUUGGCUGAACCAUUGUGCCCAUCUUAAGAGUUGAGCGUUAGGUAGUCUUUUCGUUUUGAAAUUCAGCAUUUGGUUAAAGACUGCCAUGUCAGAUUCAAUAGUAAAUGACAUUCGAUCAGGUAAAACUCAAAUUUUUUAAUGCCAUAUUUUACAUCUAGUAUCUCUUUGAAGGUGGAGUGAUAAUGGAUUUCUGAGUCCUUGAGUCAUUCGCUCUUGUAUCUGCAUAUCUGUCGUCUUCCGCUUAUCUUUUCGAGGAGUAUUGUAGACCAAUACUUGUCGCUUGCAUUUGUUUGUAGAAUCUUGCGUGACUGUUCACCUUGGAGGGAAUCAUUAAAGUUGGGAUCACAGUAGACUUUUCCCUCAGUGUUUUUAUAGCCUUCAAGUGCUUCUGAUAUAGGGUUACGCACGGACCAAGAUUGAGUUGCCAAGUCACGAGAUAACUCCUAUGAAGUUCUAGACGAUCAGAUCUGAAACGAAACAGCAAAACUUAAUUAAAAUCAAUUAGAUCUGAAAACUAAAAAUUCCUAAUUCAAUAAAGAACAGCCAAGAAUCAAACACUUAUGAAUAGAUGUUCUUGGAAGCCAAGAACACGAAAUUAAGCCCCAAAAUUAACUUCCAAUCAGCCGAAUCUAUCAAAGAACACAAAACAACAAAUAAAUUAAACCAGAAUUACGAAAUCAAUUGAAACUAAUUCUAGGGAUUGGACGGCAAGAAAAGAGGAGUUUUUGUGAAAUCAAAAACGUUUCUUUAUGUCUAAGGAAGUGCCGAAUCAGAUCUUGGAGUUUUGAAAAGGCUGAAACGCAACAAGAACAGCAAACAAAUUAGCUAAUAAAAAUCGACACAAGCAGAAAUUUAAAAGAGAUUGAACAGCAAGAAAAUAAAGAUAAAGUCUUAAGAAGCCUUGAAACCCCGAAAGAUUUCACAACUCCCUUCAAACGGCUCUAAUCUCCCUUCCAAUGAAGAUCAAUGGCAAGAAGAAGGCUAAAGAUGGCUCCCACAAUAAAAAAAAUGUUAAAACUACUUCUAAAGAAAACUCAAGAGAAAAUUCUUGAUAAACUCAAAGAGAAUUUUCACUCAAAGCAAAUCUGAAAUUUUUAAUGCAAUUGUAAUGUAACAAGGGUGGCUGGCCAUGCCUAUAAAUAGGCCUUAUAACUAUUUCCUAAUCUCAUUAGGAAAACUUAAAAAAAAAACCUAAUUAACAAAUUUAAGAGGGAAAUUCGGCCAAGUCAUUUUAAUGGGCUGCUUGGGCCGAAUUUUUACCUAUAAUACUCCUAAAGUCUAAAAAUUAAAUUAAACAAUUAAAAUUUUUACAAAUUGGGCCACUUUAACAAUUUGGCCUGAUUUUCAACUAAGUAUGGUUUGACUUCUUAGUUGGGCUUGGAAUCCUUUUAUUGGGCCUUGCCUUCAAGAACUUGGGCUUGUAGUCCAUCUCCUACCGAAAUUGGUUCGUUGAUGCUCGUAACGGAGAUCCAAUGCGCUUUGGCUGCAAGAUUCGGUUUCUUGGACCAAGAUUUCCAAGAUUUGAAAUCUUGAUUUUCUUGAUUCUUGAAGUCGCUCCAAACAGCAAGAUUGGGCCAAAAUUCGGUUUCUUGAUUUUCUUGAAAACAAAAAAGUGAAUCUUGAUUUUCUCUUUCUUUCGUGUACACAUCUAAGGUCUUGCUAACAAAUUCCUAAAUGGUCCCAUUUAGUUUGGAACGCAUUUGUCGGGCCUUUGACCUCGUUAUUGAGCCUUGUGAUAAUUUGAGCCCAUCACGUUCUUGAGCUUGGGUUGGGCCUUUGUGACUCGUAUCAACUUCAGUGUCUACUGGUCUGGAGAUUUUUUUCAAUAGUUCUAUGAGGGGACUACUUGAGGUUGUUCUUGGUUCCUUUUAAGAGAAAAGUACUUUUUAGUGAAAAAGUGCUUUUCAAACGGGAAAAAGAACGGGCCCUAGAUAUUCUCGUUGGGUUCGGAAUGAACUUACUCAUGUAGUUUACGAUUCUGAAGAACCGUUGCACUUGUCUUUUCAUGAUAUUUACAUCAGGGAACUAUUGAAGCUCUUGGGCGAUGUGGGGCUGCGCUAUGUACUGUCCAUCUUUCAAGUGUAUGCUUAGGAAGUUGAUCUUUGGCAUGCCUAUUGCCAUCUUCUGUUUUGAAAACAUGAUUUUGCGACUCUGGACAAGGCAUUAGAACUUGUUUAUUGUUAUGGUAGAAGUAUUGAAGCAAAAAACUAGAGAGAAAGGAAGGAGAGUAGAGAAAUCAUAUAAGGGAAGAAAUGGAAGUUGUGUUGAAUUUUCUUAACUGCCUUGCCCAUCCCUGAAUAGUGCUAACUAGUUGGAUUUUACCUUUUCUAAAUUUGGACUUUAUGUUAAAAGGUGUCCAACAUUAACCCUUGUAAAAUAAGUUUGUUUAUAUUUAUAAAUGUUGUAAUUAGCAUUUUGAAGCCUGCUAUAGUUAUUUUUUAUGGGAUAAAUAUUAAAUCUAUACAUAAAUUUUGAUAUAAUUUGCAGUGUUAUACAUUAUCUUUAAUUCGGUGCAUUUGCAUACAUUAAACUUUUAUUUUGGUUCGGUUUUCACACUUCACUUACCCCAUUAUCUAUGUGGCACAAUUUCUGGUUAAAUCAUGUGUAAAUUGUUGACAUGACCUUUUAUUAGGUUAAAAACAACAAACAAAUUUAAAUUAUUCCCACCUAGAUUAAAAUGAUAAAAAAUACUUAGAAAAAAGGUUUCUUUUUUCCCUCACAAUUUUUUUUUUAUUCUAAGUCGAAAUAAUUUAAAUUUAUUUGUUUAUUUUUUUAACAUAAUAAAAUGUCAUAUCAACAAAUUUUACAUGAAUUAACGGAAAAUUGUGUCAUGGAGACAAUAGGGUUAGUAAAAUGUGAAAAUUGAACCAAAAUUAAAAUUUGAUGUGCACCAAAUUAAAGUUCUUGUAUAAUAUUACAAAUUGUAUAUCAAAAUUUAUGUAUAAUUUUGGUUUUUAUCCAUUUUUAUUUAUAUAUGUUUAUGAAACUUUUAAACAUAUAGUACUCGAUAUAUUUUUAUAUUUUUAUCAUGGUAUCUAUACUAUUAUUUAAGUUUUUGUCUUAAUUGAUGUCACAAGUCGAUUAGAACAAAAUCAGUUAGAAAAUGAUAAAAAAGAUCAUUCAUUUUUUAAAAGUAAGUUAUAUUAUUAUGAUAAUAUUUUUAUCUUUUCGUAUUUUUAAUCAAGAAUUAUGAAUUUUGAUUUAAGAUGAUUAAUGCCACAAAAUAAAUUCAAAACUAUUGGGGCGUUUGAAUUGAGGAUUAGAGGAAUAAUUUCAUUUUUAUUAAUAUUUUUGAAAUUCUAAAAAUGAAUUUAUCUGUUCGGAUAAAAAUAAUGAAAACUUCAAAAUUUGUAAAAAAAAUUAAAAGAGAAUUUGAGUAGCUCAAAUUAAUUUCAAAUUUCAUCUUUUUCAAAAUUCUUUUAUUUCAAUUAAUACACAUGGUUUCAUUAUGAAAUAAAGAUUUUAAACUUCAAAAUAUAAUUUUUUAUUUAAUUUUAAUAUAUAUUUUAAAUUUUAUAUUAUUUAUUUGUAGUAUCAUUGCUUUUCUUUUUAUAAUUAUUGUUAAACUCAUAAAAUUUCAAUAGUGUAAAAUUUUAAAUAAUUAAUUAUUCAAACAAUGAAUGUUAAUAUAUUGAAUUGAUGAAUAUUAACAUUUUUAAAAUUUCUAAAAUUUAAAAUUUUUCAUCCAAACAUAUUUUUAUGCUUUUAUUUUAUUUUAUGGUAUGCUGAUAUUUUAAUCAAUUUUUUAUUUUAGAAAUUUAAAUAUGUUUACAAAUUAUAAAAUACAUCUUAUGGCAUAUGACAAUUCACUAUUUCUAACUUCAAAAAAAAAAAUCAUAUUUUACCAUUUCAUAUUUUUUAUAGUACGUUAUAUCCAUUGAUAAUAAUAAUAAUAAUAAUAAUAAUAAUAAUAAUAAUAGUUUUAAAAAAGUAAUAUGGUUUGAUUUUUUAUAAUAUAAAUUAGGGAUAAAUAUAAAAAAAAAAACUAUACAUGAACUUUGAUUCAAUAUGUAAUAUCAUAUAUGAGCUUUGAUUUUGUACAAUUUUCUAUAUGGAAUUUUAAUUUGAUUCGUAAAUGUAUCAUGGAGGCCUCUAUACUAGGAGUUAGAUUGCAUUUUGCCCCUUUUACUGAAAUAAAUGGACAAAUUAGUUUUUGUACAUUAGAUCAAAUAGUAAAAUGGUCAUUUCUAUUAAAAAUUUCAUUUAUUUCUAUUAUGAAAAAUUAACAUAGUUGACAAAAUAAUCAGACUGUUAAAUGUGGUAUGCUACGUAUACCUUAUGUUGACAUACAAAUACCAGUUUUAAACAGUAAAAAUAGAUGCAAUUUUUAACAGAAGGAUAAAUUUGCUCUUUGAUUUAAUAUACAUGGACUAAUUUGCCCAUUUAUUUGAGUAAUAGGGCAAAAUGCAAUCUUACUUCUAGUAUAAGAUUCUCCAUGAUAUUUUUACCAACUUGAUUCAAAUUUCACAAAUUACUAACAAUAUUAUCGAAUUAGCGCCAUUUUAUGUUGAUAUAUUACAUACACCAAUAAUUAUAUUAAUCCGAUAUGAAAAUAAAUGCAUAUAUUUGUUGAUACACAAUAUCAACAAAAGUGGAGAAUAAAGAGAAGGGGGUGGUGUCGGAGGAGGUUGGUUCACCCAUUCUAGGGCAGAGAACUAAAAAGGUAGAGGGACUCAUGCAGAAGUGGUAGUGUAUUAGAGUUGAGAGUGGAGAGAAGUCCCUUUACUAAAUGGUAUCUUAGGAUAUUUAUAAGUAAAUGAUGGUUCCUACUAAUUAUGUUACUUAAUGGACUUUGGGUGGCUCAAUAGAGGGUCCAACCGAGUCCAAAUUGAAGUAGAGAUGUAUCAGUAUUUAUUCUUUACAUGUAUUAAAUUAAAUUAAAAUUAAAAUUUCAUAUUGACAAAACACAUUAAACUAAAACAAAUUUAUUAUUUAAAUUUAAUAUUUACCCCCAUAAAUUAUUAACGUGUUCCAUUGAUGGUAAUACAUUAUUUUAUCAUCAUAUGGUAAUUCACAUUAAUAGAUGAAUCUUUUUCAACAAUUUUUUUUAUUUAAAAAAAAGAAAAUUUUCUUCUUAAAUAAAAAAGUUCUCAGCUAUUUUUUAAAGAGUUAAAUAUUAAAAUUAUAAAUAAACUUUGAUCUACUGUGUAAUGUCGUGUAUGAAUUUUAAUUUUGUAUGAUUUUAUACAUGAAAUUUUUCUUUGGUUUAGUUUCAUAAAUCACUAACAACAUUAUCGAGUUAGCACAAUUUUAUGUUAAUAUAUUGCAUACACAAACAAUUAUAGUAAUCCGAUAUAAAAAUAAAUGUUGUAUUCAUUUAUUUAAAUAUGCAUAAUUAAAUUAAAAUUAAAAUUUCAUCCAUACAAAUAAACCACAAUUCAAAUUUGGUGUAUUCCUUUUUGAAAUCCAUUACUUUUUUCUCAUGCUCUUUUAAUUGGGUUAUGUAUCAAUAAAGGCCCAUUUAUGAAAUUAUUUACGAAAAUAGGCCAUUUCUAAAAAUAAUUACGGGUAUGGAACGAAAACUCAAAAACGUGCUGACGUGAACUCGUUUUCAAGGGAUAAUCUAGAAAAACAUUUCCAUGUCAACGCUUUUUUCCUUGUGUUAAGCAAAAGCGUGUUGACGUGGAUGAGCUUUUGCCCAUGCUCUAAUGGCUAUCGAAAUAGCCAUCGGACUAAAUUUCUAAAAAAUGUCAUUUUUUAAAACAUUUUCAAAAUAGACCAAUUUUUUUUUGAAAAUUUAUGAGAAUAAGACUUUAUAAAGACCCAAAGUGGCAACACCAAUUUUUUUUUUAUUUUUUGGUGCCACCAAUUAAUGUGAAAAUAAAACUUACAAAAAAGAUCUUUAUAUAGACCAAGGGAAACAAAUCUUUAUACAAAUCUUUACACUGCUUAAGAAAACAAGAGAAAUGAGACUUUAGUCUUUAUAAAGAUUUGUUUUAUAAGUUUUAUUUCCACAUUAAUUUUUGGCACAAAAAAAAAAUAGUGCUGCCACUUUGGGUCUUUAUAAAAGUUUAUUUUUGUAAAUUUUUUAAAAAAUAGUCUAUUUUUGUAAUAUUUUUAAAAAUGACAUUUAAAAAAAAAUUAGUUCGAUGGCUAUUUUGAUAGUUGUUGGAGCACGGUAAAAGCGCAUCCAUGUCAGUGCAUUUUUAUCUGACACAAAGAAAAAAAUUGACGUGAAAAUAUUUUUUUGGAUUAUCUAUUAAAAACGCGUCUACGUCAGUGUAUUUUUAAAUUUUCAGUCUACAUUCGUAAUUAUAUUUAGAAGCGGCCCAUUUGUAAAUAAUUUCGAAAAUGGGCGUUGUACAUAACCCCUUUUAAUUUCUCCAGAUUUAAUUUUAAAAAGAGGAUAAAAAGAAGAACAGCUGUCCAAAAGCGCGUACUUUGGGGAUAUUUUGGUUCAUUUUAACUUAAUAAUGAAAUCCAAAUAAAAAUAAAAAUAAAAAAUAGAAUUAAAAAGCCUAUAAAUUUUCUCCUUCUAUCAACAGCCUAUUUUGAAUCUCUCUACCUUUGUUUACGGAAACGCAGCGAAGAGAGAGAACACAGAGCCAAGAAAAACCCUAAAAAUAGCAGAAAAAUUAUUGCCUUUUUAAUUUCGAUAUUAAAAAAUCGACUGUUCCUUCAGCUUCCUCGAGACGAUAGCGUCAGGUACUUAGGUUUCCGUAAAUUCUAUUUGAGUUUUUCAUAUCUGAAAUUUGUUUUUAUAUUUUUAGAUGCCAAUCUCAAUCCCCUCUAAUAUUUGAUAAAAGAGGUGAGAGUUUAGGGUUCCAACUUCUAAUUACCCCUUUUCAGAUUUCCUUUUCAUAAAUUGCAUUUGGCUUAAACUGGGAUCACGGUUUUAAUUUUUAUUAAUAUAGUAUGUGAUGAGGAAAAGUGGGGGUUUUCCGUAUUGAUUUUGAAUCUGGCAUCUGAUUGAAUGUGAAGCAUGUAGGUGUUGGGAGUUAUUUCUUCUUAUUCGUUAUUAUUGUUGGAGUUGUUAGGUCAGCUUUAGUCAGAGUCUGCAUAUGCACGAUUAAGCAUGUAGUUGUUGGAUUUGAUUGAAUGUGAAACUUUUGAUUGCUGGAGUUAUUAUUGUUCUAGUUAUAUUGCCAUCCGUGAGUUCCGAGGUUAGCUUAAACCUGGGAAUGCAUGGUUAAAGUACAAAUGCAAGAGGUAAAAGGAAAAGUAAUGAUUUAUUAUAAAUGAAAAAUUGAUUAAAAUGGAAAUUCAGCUCAUGGUUUUGGUUAUCCAAGCAAUUUACAUUUUGAGUUUGUAGUUAUGAUUUCUUUUAUUAGUUUCUCAUUUGUUCCUUUUUGGAGUUUUUGGUGCUUGUAGAUUUUUAUUGUUGCUUUUCUUGCAAUGGCUGCUACUGCAACUGCUUCUUCUGCGGACCCAACAUUUGCUCCGCCAGAUCCCACUCUUCCCAAACCAUGGAAAGGCCUAGUUGAUGGUAAAACUGGUUAUCUCUACUUUUGGAAUCCAAUGACCAAUGUAACCCAAUAUGAGAGGCCCACAAUUGUAGAUUCUGUCCCGAAGUCUUCCCCAAUGCGUUAUUCAAUUCAGAUUCAGCAAUAUUCUGAAGUGCGUUAUGGGUAUAAUCCUGACAAGGAAAAUGAUCGUUAUGGAAUAGGCAACAAUGGUGCAUCAAAACCUGAGCCAGUAUCAAGGUUUAACCAGGUAUUUUUUCUACUUCUUUACUCUAAAUCUUGCUCUUGAUUCAUUUGGUUUCUUGUUGGUCUUAGUUGAAAUUGAAAAUUAGUACAUUUGCCUUAACUUGAGUAAUGAAGUAUGUCCCUUUUCUUUCUAGUGUCUAAAAUUUUCAAUUUGUCGCAUUUGAUUUUGAAUUGGUUCUUGUUAAACCGUCAAAAUUCUUGAAGCUUGGGUUUUCAAAAAAUUAAAAGUGUUAACUUAUAGAUAGUUAUAUAUGUCUGUUCUUCUAACUAGGAUUAAUUUGAUGUUCUUAAUUUGCAAUAGAAUGCAAGUGGUGGACCUAUUCUUCCCCAUAAUACACCUAAUGGGACUCACGGCUCUGUGGUUGGAGGAUCUUCUGCUGGGAGACAUGGAUUAGUGGCUGAGGGAAGUAAUUUGUCUGGUGAUGCAUAUCGCCAUCAGCAUGAGAUAACUGUAACUGUGAGUAUGAUUGUUACGAUAUUUUAUUACCCAUCUUAGUUUUCUAUGUUUAGUCAGGGGCUUUGGCUUCUGAAAAUAUCAUAUUGCUGGGUAACUGAUAAUGUUUCAUGGAUCAAAUAUUUUUCCUUAAAUUUUGUCAGGGACAUGAAGUGCCUUCACCCUUUUCAUCAUUUGAAGCUACUGGCUUUUCUUCUGAGAUACUUAGAGAGGUAUACUAUUCUUCUCCUAUAUCCUUUUGGUCUUUAUGACAUUGGUGGAUUUUAAAGUCAAAUCUUGUAAGUUAAAUCUAAGAAUGCAAGUUGAAUGUUUCUCGUGUAAAGUUCUGUGGUUGCUUGAGGUCCCAGUUGAGUGUCAAACUCAUGUAAUUCUUUUGCCAUCUUUACUCUUUGUCACAGGUGCGAUGUUUGCUCCUUGGAGGAGCUAAUGUCGUACGCUGUGGUAGCCUCUGUGGGGGCCUUGCUUAUAAUUUGAGGUGCCCUUAUAUGGUGGACCAAUUUUUGGAAGGGCUUUCUGAAUGAUCUACGUUCGGAGCUGGGACUGCUGUUGCUGAUAAUUCAGUCUGCCACUCGGUCCGAACGGAUGAAGGGGCCUCCUGUUCCAGCUUGCUUCAGCAAGCAUUGGCUGCCUGCAUACGGGGGAUGAUGCUUCUUCUGGCAUAAAUCACUCCUGUAUGACAAACCAACCAAGUCUUGAAGGUGUUACAUUUGCUCACAGAGGAUCCUGAAUUUUUCUUUCUAUUGCUUUUAACAGGUACACAGUGCUGGGUUUUCUGCUCCGACCCCAAUCCAGGCUCAGUCGUGGCCAAUUGCAUUGCAAGGUAGAGACAUUGUGGCCAUUGCUAAAACGGGUUCUGGGAAAACUUUGGGUUACCUAAUUCCUGGAUUUAUGCAUCUCAAGCAAUGCCGUAAAGAUCCUCGAAUGGGUCCAACUGUGUUAGUAUUGUCACCAACAAGGGAGUUGGCUACUCAGAUACUAGAUGAAGCUCUCAAGUUUGGGAAAUCCUCAAGAAUUAGUUGCACGGUAUGUUACCAUUUUUUGAGUCAAGAUUUCAAAUUUGUUUGUCUUUUGUUGUAGUUUUAUCAUCCUUCAAUUGCAGUGAUAAUGUUUAUUAUAUUUAUUACUUGGGAUGAUCUACCAAUUAUGAUUUUUAUACUUACGUGAGUUCUCAUAUGUUUUUUUGCAGUGUUUGUAUGGAGGAGCACCAAAGGGUCCUCAGUUGAGAGAGAUUGAGAGAGGAGUAGAUAUUGUGGUUGCUACUCCUGGCCGGUUAAAUGAUAUUCUAGAGAUGAGCAGAAUCAGCCUUCGUCAAGUUUCUUACCUUGUGUUAGAUGAGGCUGAUCGCAUGUUGGACAUGGGUUUUGAACCUCAAAUAAGGAAGAUUGUGAAAGAAGUGCCUAGUCGCAGGCAGACUCUCAUGUACACGGCAACAUGGCCAAAGGAAGUCCGGAAAAUUGCUGCAGAUCUACUCGGAAAUCCUGUUCAGGUCAACAUUGGCAAUAUCGAUGAGCUUGUUGCAAACAAGUCUAUCACACAGGUUUAUACUCCAUUAUUGCUAAUCCUGAUUUUAAUUCAAAGCAGAAAAUGGCCAUUAUUUUGUAGUUUCUAUUAUGGAGGAAGGGCUACUUAAAUGUCCUAUAGAAUUAACAUUUCUCUUGUUUUGCAGUAUGUUGAAGUAUUAUCACCAAUGGAAAAACACAGAAGAUUGGAACAGAUACUGCGCUCCCAAGAACCUGGAUCCAAAAUCAUAGUUUUUUGUUCAACCAAGAAGAUGUGUGAUCAACUCGCCCGCAACCUCAGUCGACAGUUUGGAGCUGCUGCUAUUCAUGGAGACAAAUCUCAGGCUGACAGGGACUAUGUACUGAAUCAGUUUCGAACUGGGAGGUCGCCAGUGCUUGUUGCUACUGAUGUUGCUGCUCGGGGUUUGGACAUUAAAGAUAUCAGGUAAAUCUUCAAUAUUUUCAUGUUGACUUUAUUACAUCUGCUAUGUUGGUAUAUCAUGAUACUGAUUGCAUUAUUUAACAUCUUUCUCAGGGUAGUAAUAAACUAUGACUUUCCCACUGGAGUUGAAGAUUAUGUUCAUAGGAUUGGAAGGACUGGAAGGGCAGGUGCAACUGGAUUGGCUUAUACGUUCUUCGUCGAUCAGGAUUCGAAGCAUGCUUCAGAUCUCAUCAAAGUUCUGGAAGGAGCAAACCAGCUGGUGCCCGCUGAACUUCGUGAUAUGGCUUCACGUGGUGGUUUGAUGGGAAGGCCUAGGCGUUGGGCUCCAAGUUCUGGUGGCUUUGGUAGGGGACGUGGUGGACGUACUGAUUUGGGCUAUGGUGGCUGGGACAGUGGAAGGGGUGGUCGUGGAAUUUCUACGUCCUCUACCUGGCCUGAGAAAAGCGGCGGAGGACGUGGAAAUGAUCAUGAGUCUCGUGAUAGGUAAAUAAUGAUCUAUUAUACUUAGUAUAGUAAUGGAUUUGUGUCGGUCUUUGCAUUAUGCUUUUUUGCGGUAUUCGGAUAUCAAUCUUUGACAUUCACCCCUGUUUCUUAACCCUUAUAUGUAUGAAUAGGUACAAUGGUGGUUUCCAUGGUAGUAAUGAUAGGAGACGAAGUCGCAGUCGAAGUCCUGCUGGUUGGGGUGAUCGUCAUAAAAACACUGGCCAUGAUCGUAGCCGUAGUCGUAGUGCUGACAGGUAUGAUAAGGGUCGUCGCUUACACGACGAGAUGAUUAAACGUGAUCGGUCACCCCCACUGCAACAACACAUGCCCCCUAACAGUAAUGGGAUUUCAAGGGAGCCGAGAAAUUUUAUAGAUUGACGGAACCCUUAUCGCAAGGAGGACUUUGGAGGAUCAUAUGGUGAUUCUCAGCACGAGCGCAGAAGAUCUGGAAAUGUGAAUGGGCCUCAUACAGGUUCUGGCAAUGAUGAAGUAAGGCAAGAUACAUCCGUAUGAUCAUCGAUCUCCUUUACCUCAGAAUUGAGGCAAUAUGUUGGUUCUAUCUCUGCCUUUUGUUACUCUUGAAUUACGUAGAGCUAGCGGCAAAGGCAUAGAAGUUUCAGAAGUUUGACAUUUCAAGUGGAAUUUUUUGUUGAUUUAUCUUUAGAUAAUUUCUGAGUGUGUUCAGAAAGGUGGCAAAGUUGUAACGUAUAAUGUACUAUAAUGUGAUGGAUAUGAGUCAGAGCUGCAAAAUUAUAAGUAAUAAUAAAGUAAUUUAUUUUUCAGCGCAUUGAAAUUUAUCCAAUUAGCUAACAGUGACAGGAUUCACAUUGAGAAAAUACUGAGGCUUAAUCACACGAGGAAUAUUCAUCGAAUUGUAGAAAUCCAAGAGUUGGAAAAUAACAAUUUUCCAUCAAAUCUUUAAAUUGAGGUAUGAACUCUCAACUGCUACCCAAAGAGUGGCCGGGGGACGGUUUCUCAAUGAUGUUGAUUCCUCGAUCUCAUACUUCUAGAUCCGGAUCUAAAUAAUAUGUCAUUUGACAUGCUGACAAAAGAGAAUGCCUAGCGCUACAAAGAUAAGGAUGAUGUUUCCCAAAUUUAUAGGAAACUAAAAUGGGUUUCAAAAUCUAGAAAGGAAAGCAUGCUGGGAAAGAAAUCUAUUUUGCAUAUGAAUGUCUCCCUGAUUAUUUCUAUUUCUCUCAUUUGUGGGAGAUUCGGACAUAGCAGGAAGGGGUGUACCCACUACCUGAGUAUUUUACUUAUCCAGGUUUUGCCAUCCUUCACCAUGGGAUGACUUCGUUGGUCAUGACCUUGCUAAGAACAACACUUCACCAGGGCUCGUAUGUGGCUCGUAUGUGGGACUUUGCCUAGUUCAUCUCCAUCCCAUUAUUGCCCAUUCAAAAGACUAUUGUGCUCCCUAAGUGACCGACCAUGAUGAGAUCUUUGUUGUACACAUGUCAAGGCCCAAGGCUAAGAAAUGAUCACCCUCACUUAUAAAUACUCAUCUUUGGGAAGACUCUUACAUGUCUCCUACCACUCCUUCAUAGAACUAGAGCACCUUGAACCCAUAACUGUACCUUUAGCAGCUCUCGACACAAUCCCCAAUAUGUGAACUGCUAUCUCUUCCUCUUACAUCAUUUUUCCCUUAACAACUCAGUGCGGUAAGUGUGGAUCAACACGACUUUUCCCAAUGAGAAUGUCUUGGAAUGCUUGACUACCUCCACCCAUCCUUCUACCUAGCAUGUUGGUUAGACUAGUCACUCGUAAACAACAAACCAUGAAAACCCAUAUAUUGAUGUCUAGGUAGGCUAGUUUCAUGAGUAGCCUAAGCAUGUAACACCCUUUGCCUGACUCGGUCAUCAAGUCCGAGCUAUGGAAUGCUACAUUCGUUGCCGAAGCACCCACUAUCAGAUUUACAAAAAAUAAUCAUUCAAAUAAGAAACUAUGUUUUAAACACAUUUACAUUAUAUUAAAUAAUCAAAUCCGAGCCUUAAUCAAGCUUACAAAAGCUUUUUUAUUGACCCGAGCACGAAAUAUGAUCAAAUUGCAUAGUUUUAGAAUUUCAAGGCUAACAUUGUGACAUCAUCGCUUCCACGUUGAGACGUCGCCAAAUAGUUUGUGACGUCGCGACGUCACACACUGUUGGCCGAUUUUGUGAUGAAGAAAAAUGGUUAUCGGGAUGAAGACUUUAUUUUUGAUAAAAUUUGAGCCCUUUGGUACCUAGUUUAAAGCUUUCAAAGCAAUCUAUCAAAUUGUAUAUCAUAUAUAAACUUCAAUUGAGUUUACAACACAUCAAAACAUACCAAACAAUUCAUUUAACUACUUAUAACCAAAACCAAUUUAACAUUUCAAUCUUUUACAAAUCAUCUAUUCAUACAUUUCAAACUUUCAUACCAAGGCCAUCAUUCAAGUCACCAUAAAAUAAAUUCAAUUCCUUGUCAUAUGCCAUUUAUAUGAUUAUUAGCUAAUACAUCACCAAGCAUGAGAUGCAUAUGUAUUGAUUUCCAUGUAUAGACUAAGUUACCAAAACAUUUCAAAUUACCAAAGUCAUCAUAACAACGUAUACUUUAAGGUAUAUACCAACACACUUCUAUACAUUGAAGGCACCUAUAUACAUGCCACAAUUCUGAACUUUAAAUGAUAGAAAAGCUACCAAUUUGAAAACAAAAUAGUGUGAGCUUUGUACGAUCCGCUUGACGUGUUUCACAAAGUGAUCUAUAAGGAAAAGGGAAAAUAAAUAGGGUAAGCAUAUACGAUGCUUAAUAAGUUCAUAGGUAUUUAAACAAGAGACUUACCUCAUUUUACAAUUAAACAUAACAAAAAAAAUUAACUUAGCAAAGUUACCUAACAUGGAAAAUCACAACAAGGUGAGUUUAUCAUGUAAUAAACUAUAAUGUCAUAUAAACUUAUACCAAUUCAAUUCAUUUCAAUAUUAUGAUCAUACUCAAUAUAACAUGUAUCCAUCUAUACAUCAAACUCAUAAUUUCAUUUCACAUUUCAUUUAGCUAUAAACACAUAGCUCGAUGAACUCUAGUAAAUGGACUUGGAUACACAAGUAUCUCUGGUACAAUAAUUGCUUGUUUGAGCUGAAUACAUAUUCGUGCCAGGUUACCAGUUCAGGCUAAACAUUUAAUGAAACAUUUAAUUUCUUGGCCAAGUUGAAAUUAUACAUGCAAGGUUACCAGCCCAGGCUAAACUUGUGUCACAUGUAUCUUCAAGUCCGCAACAAAUGUUGGAUCUCGGUAAUCAUCAGUAAUCAAUCCGUACAGGUGUGCACAAAUCCUUUACUGUGUUCACUCGGGCAUUUUCAAACACAAAUAUAUAUAUAUAUAUAUAUAGAUUUCUUUACAAUUUAAUCCAAAUUUUACCUUUUGCAAACAAUCCAAAUUUCAACCAAACAUACACAUAUUCAUAAUUUAAAUACAUAAUAAAAUCAUACCAUAUGAACUUGCUUGGAAAAAGUAGCAAUAUUCAACAAUUUUUUCCUUUCCUCGAUUAUUUCUGAUUUGAUUAGAUUCCCGAUCAAUUUGAGGGACCGAAUGUUGAAAGCUCAAAACCAUAUUUUUUCCCUUUUGUUUUGCGAAGAAGAUGUAUAGAAGAAAAGAAAAUGCAUUUGUUUCUUUUAAUUUAACUUAUAUACCUUUAAUUAAAACUAAUUAAUCAUAAUUUAUUUAAUUAAAGAUUAAUUAACAAAACUUUAAGCUUAAUUAGACAAAAGUUAGUGGAUUAUAACUCAUCCACCACUGUUUGACCAAUUUAAAAUGGUCAAAUUGCUCAAUUGAUCCCUUGGUCAUUUAAAAAUCUAUAGCAAUAAAAUUUUACAAUUCAGUCUCUGUGCCUUAAUUAACUAUCAAUUUGAUAAAAUUAAGGGAAAAAAAUUUAAUAAUAACAUCGAAAAUAUUAUUUAAUAGUUACAGACUCGAACAUCAAAAAUGGGGUUCCGAAACUGCCGUUUCUAACACCACGAAAUACCACCAACAUUGGUUCCCCACCACCAAUACCGCCAUCAUUACAAAAUAUUCGCAUGGUACCCAUGUUUGAAGAAUAAGCCACUGAAAAUCCCCACUUCAACCCCAACUUUUCACAACAAUUUCUAGAAUUAGAAGAGCAAAUGAAGGCUUUAAGGGAUCAAAUACUCCAACAAAACCUAAGGCAUUAAUAAUAAUGGUUAUAUUACCAACACCAGCUUUGCCAAAACAAUGAGACAACUUCAAAAUAAACAAGAUGAAGUUGCUUCUUCCAUUAAUGCCCAAGUUUAGGGGCGAAAUCCCCAUUCUUAAUACUAACCAAGGCAAUUUCAUCCCUAGCAAUAAUAGGCACGACAGGGUGAAAAAGAAGCUUUAAGAUGUGACAUUCAAACUUUGAGACAUGAUAUUGAAUAUAUGGAUUAGGUUUAUUGUUUGAAUAAUCCUCUAACACCUAAUAUCAUAAGGGUUGACCUCCUUAGCAAUUUAAGUCCCCAAGGAAAAUUAUAAGGGGAAUAAGGACCUAACUGCUCAUUUAAUAAAGUAUAAUGAUUAUAUGAAUGUCUUAGGAUAUUUCAACUAUCAGUAUGUCUAAAAUAAAGCUUAAAGAACAAAUCUGGUGGAAUUUCAUAAAUUUCACAUGUCAUUGCCAUGGACUUGCUUAUAAAUUUGAGGCUUUAAGCCUUAGAUUCCACAGAGUCACAUACUUGAAAUAUCCCACGUAGGGCUAUCAUAAACAUGUGCGCAUAUAUCUCCAUUCAUUCCAACUGAACCUCCGCAAAAGCAAUAACAUGAGGCACAGAGUGCACAACAUGACAUUUCUUCAUCUGCCAUCUGUCAUUACAUACCUCCACACUCCGUAUAUCAUUCAUUUUUAUGACUGACACAUAACAAGCAUUCAACUAAACAUAUUGCUAAUAACAAAACAUAGAUCAUACUAAUUGUAAAACCUAUCAGACCAUUUCAUUGAUAACCUUUUUAGUAAUUAUUUUACUAGCAACAGUUCAUCAAAACAACAAACCUAUACAUACAACCAUACAUGCAUAUUUAGAUUAACUCUUUGCAUGCUUCAACAAUACAAAAAAAUCCCACAACAAUAUAGUAUUGGUAUACAUAAAACAAAAGUUGAGGAUCUGAGUUUAGAAACUCACCAACAAAAUACCUAGAGUUGACACAACUUACACUUACUUAGCCUUCCCUUUAUCACUUGGGCCACCUCCUUCUUGGUUAGCUAAGGGUAACAACCGUAUAAAGAUCAAAAUGAAAACAUACAUAUGUAAGAAAACUUUAAUUCAUAUGCAUGCAGAGGAGUUAUAAAUGCUACCUACGACUUAAAUCAUCACAAUUUCAAAAUAAAUUAUGUUGAAAACCUUAGAUUUUUCUUCCUUUUUCUUUAAUCGAAAGGUACAUAAGAGUUAGAAAGAUUACCAGAUUGCUAAAUUCUCAAUUACUUAGGCUAACACUAUAGAUUCUUCCCUUCAUGCAAACCACUCCUUAAUUCCUUUUCUUAUAGAAUAAACUAGAGAAGAAGAUGAAAGAAAGAAAAAUAAAUACCAGAAUGAAAGAAUUCCCCUAUUAUAUAAUCUUUUUACUAUUGAUCCCCUAACCCUAAGUUAGUUAGUACUAUUAAUAUCCUUAAUCAUAAUGUUUCCCACUAAAAAAAACAUUUAGUUCUAAAGUAACAUAACUAAUAGUUGAAAUUUAACCAAUUACCAAAUCAGUCAGCAAGAUUCAUGUAAGUACAUUAAAAUCCUCACAAACAGAAAGUUUUAUAAGUAGGUACCCAUUAGUUUUGUUGUACUUAUCUUUUAACAUUUUCGGGUGUGACAAUUCCCUCAGCCUUAAAGAAAAUUUCAUCCUCCAAAUUUCUUACUCACCAAACAGAUGGGGAUAUUGUUCUCUCAUGGAACUUUCCAUUUCCCAAGUAGUGUCUUCCAUUUUGUGGCUUCGCCAGAAGACCUUCACCAAAAGAAUUUUCUUGUUUAUGAGUUCUUUAACUUUCUUAGCAAAAAUUCUCAUUGGUUCUUCUUCAUGGGAUAUAUUAGGCUCCACUUCCAAGGUUUCUAGCUGAACCACGUGAUCUGGGCCUGAGUGAUACUUUCUUAACAUAGAAACAUGAAAAAUAUUAUGGAUUCAGGAUAUGUUUGGUGGCAACGCUAACCGAUAAGAAACAGACCCUACUCUUUCCAAAAUUUCAUAAGGCCUUAUGAACCUCAGACUUAGUUUUCCAUUUAAACAGAAAUGGAUAAUUCUUUUCUAUGGCGAGACUUUAAGAAAAACCUUGUCACUAAUCUCAAUGAUACAUCCUUCCGUUUUUUAUUUAUGUAUGCGUUCUGGUGAUCCUGACCUAUGCGUAGAUGGUUGCGGAUAAUACUGAUCUUUUCCUCGAUAUCACGAACUAAAUUAGGCCUAAUCAACUUGUUUUCACUUAAUUCUACCCAGCAAAUGGGAGACUUACAUUUUCUUCUGUAUAUGGCUUCAAAAGGGGACAUACCGAGGCUAGAAUGAUAGCUAUUAUUGUAUGCAAACUCUGCCAAAAGAAGGGGCCCUAAGCCGAAAUCAAGUACACAAUGCCACAACAUAUCUUCCAAUACUUGUAUCACUCGUCUAACUGAUCAUCAAUUUGAGGGUAGAAAUCUGUGCUAAAAUAGAGCUUAUUUAUAAGGGAUUCUUGUAAUUUCUUACAGAAUUUAGAUGUGAACCUUGGAUCUCUAUCUAACACGAUGGAUGAAGGAAUCCUAUGAAGGCAUAUUCUCUCAGCAAUAUAAAGCUCUGCCAAUUUCUCCAAGGAAUAAUCCGUAUGGAUUGCUAUAAAGUGAGCUAAUUUGGUGAGUCUAUCCACAAUCACCCAAAUAGCAUCCUUCCUCAAGGAAGUGAGCGGUAAACCAGAAACAAAAUUUAGUGAAAUUUUCUCCCACUUCCAUUAUGGUAUCUCUAAGGGGUAUAACGUUUCGGAUGGAACUUGAUGAUCAACCAUGACUCGCUGACAAGUUAAACAUCACAUGAGAAACUCUAGUAUCUCUCUCUUCAUUUUGAGCUACCAAAAUAGUUCCAGGAGAUCUCGAUACAUUUUAAUAGUUCCUAGAUGAAACGCAAAUGAUCCUUGAUGAGUUUCCUUCAAGAUUUCUUGCCUAAGGUUUUCUCCUUCAGGAACAUACAACCUUCACAUGUAGUAUACUCACAUUUUUGUCGAGGCUAAAAAUUUUUGAGUCUUUCAAUCCGGUAUGAUUUAUCCAGUCUUUACACUUUUGAUUUUCUAACUGAAACUCAACAAUCUAUUGGAUAUAGUGGGUUGUGCCUUCAAUUUUGCCAAAAGGGACCCAUCCCUUUCUAAUUAAUUCGAGCUCUUAAAGAUGCUGAAGCCAUCGUUUAUCUUUUAGUGUAAAGCAUUAGCUACCACGUUUGCCUUCCGCAAAUGAUAUUCAAUUUUCAAAUCAUAAUCUUUAAGCAGUUCCAUCCAACGAUGUUGCCGUAAAUUUAACUCCUUUUGGGAGAGAAGGUACUUUAAACUCUUAUGGCCCGUGAAGAUAUACGCUUCUCACCAUACAAGUAACGUCUCUAAAUUUUUAACACCAAUACAACUGCGACCAAUUUGAGAUCAUGGGUGGGGUAAUUUCUUUCAUAUUGCUUGAGCUUAUGAGACGCGUACGCUAUCACUUUCCCAUUUUGCAUGAGUACAUAACCAAGGCCAUCAAUUGAGGCAUUCGUAUACACUAUAUAUUUAACCCCGGAAACGAGUUGCAAUAAAAUAAGUGCUUCAGUUAAAACAAUCUUUAAUUUGUCAAAACUUCUUUGACAGACUUCAAACCAUACAAUUUUCUCAUCUUUUUUGGAGAAGUUGAGUCAUAGGCACAACUAUCAUGGAAAAACCCUUUACAAAUCUUCUGUAAUACCCCACCAAUCCCAAGAAGCUACGCACUUCCGUAACAUUACUUGGUAGCUUCCAUUCCACAAAAACUUUGACUUUAUCAUGAUCGACCUUAAUUCCAUCCACGGAGAUAACAUGGCGUAGAAAACUUAUUUCUUUUAGCCAAAAUUCACACUUGCUAAAUUUGACGUAUAGUCGAUUCUCACGUAAAGUACUUAAUACUACUUGCAAAUGAUAUGUGUUAUCUAAUUCACUUUUUUAGUAGAUCAAUAUGACAUUGAUAAACACUACUAAAAACUUGUCUAAGUAUCGUUGAAAUAACUGAUUCGUCAAAUCCAUGAAUACCGCUAGCACAUUAGUUAAUCCAAAUGGCAUCACAAGAAAUGACAUCACCAAAAAUUCAUAAUGUCCAUAGCGGGUCCAGAAAGCAGUUUAGAGAUAUCAUCACAUUUUCUCUUGACUUGAUAAUAGCCAGAGCAAAUAUUGAUCUUAGAGAACACCCUUGCACCACCUAAUUGAUCAAAUAGGCCUUCAAUUCUGAGUAGAGGGUAUUUAUUUUUAAUGGCCGUCUGAUUCAAUUGGCAAUAAUCUAUGGAUAAUCGUAAUGAACCAUGCUUCUUCUUUACAGAAAGAACUAGUGCACCCCAUGGUGAGACACUUGCGCGAAUAAAUCCCUUUUCUAAUACUUCUUGCACCUAGACCUUCAAAUCUUUCAAUUCCAAGGAUGCCAUUCAAUAUGGAGCGCAUAAGAUAGGAGUAGUUCUUGGAGUAAUCUUAAUAAGAAACUCCAUUUCUUGAUCUGACGGUACCCCUAGAAGUUCAUCUGGAAAAAUAUCUAGGAAUUGGCUCACAACCUACACCUGCUCCAAAUCCUUUCGUACUACCGUAUUAUUCAUUAUAUACACUAGAUAAACAAUCGCUCCUGGCAAAACAAGUUUCCUUGUCGAGGUCACCGAGAUUAAUUUAUACUUUAUGUCAUGCAUUACUCUAGAGAUCAAUUCUACAUCACCAAAAUAUACUAAUAUUGCACCUCUAUAGCACGACAAUCUGUAACUGUGUUGUGCCUAAUUAGUAACCAAUCCAAUCCUAGAAUUGCAUCGAAUUCAUAAAAUUCGAUCAACAUUAAAUCAGCCGUGAAAAUAAAAUCUUGAAACUUCAUUGGGCAAUCCCAAAUUACCUUAUCCACAACUGUACUCAGACUAGGAGGAUUUGUAACUAAUACCUUCAUUUUUGUGGACUCAACAUUUAAAAUUCCUUCAUUGAUUAAUAUAUUAUAAAUGUAUGAAUGUGUCGACCUGAAAUCAAUCAAUGCAUAAACAUUAAUGUUAUAUAAAGAGAAGCUACCCAUAAUAAUAUCUAGAGUCUCCGCGUCUUCCUUGGCACACAUCACAUACACGCGAGCCAUGGCUUUAGAAUCUAAUAUGCCAGUAGUCCUUGCAUUUUCCACUGUGGGGGGCAUGAUCUCGUGGUAGCUCUAGAUCUUAACCUUUGUUGUACAUCCUGAUUCACUCGAGUGGAUUGUACCGUGCCUUUAAUUUCUCAUUUUCGAUACUCCUUAAUCAUAUAGCCUUGAUCUCUACAUCCAAAAAAGGCACUCAUCAUCUUCCAACAUACUUGUAUGAUUCUUCAUACACUAUUUGCAAGUAGGGUGGAUCACUCUCCUAGAACCUCCUAUGCAUACCACUAAUGUGGUGUGACAUCUGUGAUGAUUUUUUUCUGAAUUUAUCAGGUUAGUGACUUUAUGCCAGACUUGAAGAAAAAACCCCAUCAUCUCUGGUUCUCUUGAACCCAGAAAUCGUUGCCAAACCCAAUAAUCUUUUCCUUCCUCUUUCUCGAUCUUAGACUCUGUCCUUAUCCUUUACCAUAAAUUCUAUUUUUGCGCUUUUGCUGAUAAAGUAGUUAGAUCCUUUAUUUUGAAUACUGCUACAAUUAUCCGAAUCUCUUUAUUAAGUCCCCACUCAAACUUCACACAUAGCUCUUUUUCUGUUGGUACCAGCUCGCGGGCAUACUUGCUUAGUUUGAUGAAUUUCCUUUCAUACUUGAGGACAAUCAGUCUACCCGGCCUCAAGUUUAAAAUUUCCCUCUUCAUCUACUCAACACAUAGUCGGUUUACAUACUUCUCUCAAAAUUUUCACAGAAGGAAUUCCUAGCUGACUUACUCUUGAGGCAUAUUGCUCUUCACCGUUUGCCACCACUGGUAGGCUUCAUCCUCCAAGAAGGAAACUGCACACCUUAGGCUAUCAAGCGGAGAGCGUUGUAAUGAUUCUGUAACUUGUAGUACUCUUGACAGCCAGUUUUCUGUGACUACUCAAUCAUCUUCUUUUUCUCCCCUAAAUUCCUUAGUGUCGCCUUUUCUUAUCUCUUCUACUAGAUCACCCCAUGUCAUAUAGGGAACUUGAGUAGGAGGGGGAGUUGGUUGUUGUACUAGAUUGCCUUAAGGUUGUGUGGGCGGUGAAGGGGUUAACCCUCACAAAUCUAUUGAACUAUGCUCCCAACGCUUUAAAUAAUGCAUUCUUUGCUUCAGUCCCCAACGUUCCUUUACUCUCAAAAGGGGUUGGACCACUAGGUUGGGAGUGAGGAAUAUUACUCUCAUUCUCUUCAUCUACCAAAUUUCUUAUAUCUUUAAACAUCAAUAAUAAGGAGGAGCUACAUAACACAAAUUUAAUUUAGUAACGAUUUAAGAGACUAAGACAGGAUAAUGUAACAUGUGUAUCAGGGCUCUCCUUAUCAAAUCCUUAUAUGAGAAUCGACUAAACCGACACUUUGGUACCACUAAAAAUGUAACACCCAACCGGUAGGCUAGAUGACCAACCCUUCGAGAUUUCAACUAUAAGUAUGUGCAAAAUAAUUUAAUAGCCAUUCCACAAUUCCAUAGUGUAUUACUGAGAAAUCACAAUAUAUAUAUAAGAACAAGCUUCUGAUAAUUCUAAACUUUUUUAUAGAAAAAGGUCAAUUUAGUCUUAUGCGUUUGAUUAUAAUUUGAACUAAAUUUAAAUAGUUUUUAUCCACAUAAAAAAGAAUUUUAAGGCUACAAGUUGCCCUGAUAUCUACACAUAUUACGAAACGAAGGGUGACAUGCUCACACAAGACCUUUUUUUCCUAUGAACAAUAGUUUAGAACAUUUGAAACAAGGGAGAGAAACAUAGUAAGUUCAUAAGGAACUUAGUGUGUUGUAUAAUAAAUUUUUUUCCUUUUUUUAGUUCGAAAAUUAAGAAUUUGUCACUAAUUUCGCAUAGAUAAAACUUGUGCAUUCUUAUUGCACAACUUAUGCUUGGUUUGAAUGACGUAGAGGCGCAAUACGUAAUGCAUGAGAGUUCCUCCUGUGAUAGAUCAUGAAGCAUAUAGUCUCUUCGAUUAGACUUGUUACAUAUAAUCUUAAUAGAAAAACCCACUGAGUAGAGGGAGUCAUCUCAGAUUAACUUGGCGGACAAUCCUGUAGACACUUUUGUGUGGAUUUAUAAAUGUGGAUUCUUAUAUGCGAACUCUUACAUUCGAACUCAUACAUGUGAAUUCAUAGAAGAAGCUUCAUAGAUAUGUCAGACUAAUACAUGCUAAUUCAUAGAAGAAGAUUCAUAGACAUGAAGGACUCAUACAUACAAAUUUAUAAAAAAAAGAUUCAUAAUUGCAAAUUGUGUCACGAACUUUGUAUGGUGAAGUCCCACAUAUAACUUUGACAUAAAGCUUAGAGAACAAAUUCGGCAGAAUUUCAUAAAUUUCAUACUCCAUGGCCAUGGACUUUCUUAUAAACAUGAAGCUUUAAGCCUUAUAUUCCAUAGAGUUUCAUACUUGAAAGAGCCUAUGUAGGGUUAUCAUAAACAUGUGCCCUUAUAUCUCUAUACAAUCCAACCAAACCUCCGCAAAACCAAAUAUCAUGCAUAUCAAUUCUCAGGUACAAUUUGCUUGAACCUCUGCAAAACCAAUAACAUGAGGCACAAAGUGCAUAACAUGACAUUUCUUCAUCCGCCAUCUGUCAUUACAUACCUCCACACUCCACAUAUAAUUCAUUUUCACGAUUGACACAUAACAAGCAUUCAAUUAAACAUACUGCUAAUAACACAACAUAGAUCAUACUAAUCUUAUAACCUAUCAAUCAUUUCAUUCAUAGCCUCAUCGGUAAUUAUUUUACUAGUAACAGUUCAUCAAAACAACAAACCUAUACAUACCACUAUACAUGCAUAUGUAGAUUAACUCUUUUAAUGCUUCAAAAAUAUGAAGAACAUCCCAUAAUAACACAAUAUUGAUAUACAUAAAAAAACGCUGAGUAUUUGAGUUUAGAAACUCACCAACAAAAUACUUGGAGUUGACACAACUUACACCUGCUAAGCCUUCCCUUUAUCACUUGGGCCAACUCUUUCUUAGUUAGCUAAGUAUAACAACCAUAUUAAGAUCAAAGCGAAGACAUACAUUUGCAAGAAAACCUUAAUUCAUAUGCAUGCUAAUGAGUUAAAAGUGCUAACUACGACUUAAAUCAUCUCAAUUCAAAAUAAAUUAUGCUAAAAACCAUAUAUUUUCCUUUCUUUUUCUUUAACUGAAAGAUACAAAAGAGUUAGAAAGAUGACCAGAUUGUUAAAUUCUCAAUUAUUUAGGCUAACACUCUAGAUUCUUCCCUUCAUGUAAACCCUCCUUAAUUCCUUUUCGUACAGAAUAAACCAAUGAAGAAGAUGGAAGAAAGAAAAAUAAAUACCAGAAUGAAAGAAUUCGCCCAUUAUAUAAUCUUUUCAUUAUCGAUCCCAUGGCCCUAAGUCAGUUAGUACUAUUAGUACCCUUAAUCAUAAUGUUUCCCACUAAAAGAUACAUUUAGUUCUAAAGUAACAGAACUAAUAGUUGAAAUCUAACCAAUUACCAAACUAAUUAGCAAGAUUCAUGUAAUUACACCAAAAUCUCUCAAAAAUAGAAAUUUUUAGAAUUAGGUACCUAGAAUUUCUGUUGUAAUGAUAUUUUAACAUUUUUGGGUGUGACAAAUGUAAAUCUCUUCCGUCUACUCUAAGAGUUAGUGCAAAAAAUUAGUAUUUGUGUCUUCCUAAGGGCCCUAUCCAUAACUUUGAAUAGUUAGGUCUCUAGUUCUUGGGACAAUUCCAAGCACAUAGGACCAUAAUUGUAAUGCUCUUAAAAUCGCUAUGCUAUAAAAGUGGCAUUGAGUUGAGACUAUGUAUAAUAGAUUUCUUUGUAAAGUGAAAUAAAGUAUACAAUCGAUAAAAGAGAAGGCUUAUGGAUGCCAAAGGAAGUUGACUCGUGGUGUAUGUCAUGAUAAAUUAAUUUAAGGUAGGUCUAAAUCGUAAAGAUGUAAAUUUUUUUGGAUUUGAUUGAAAAUAUUUAAAAUUUAAAGGGUUAAUAUUAUAAAUUCCUAAGGGCAAUAUGAUCAUUUUAGAAGAGAUUAUUUUAGAAAAUAUUACCAAAAAUACCCUUGAAUGUAUGGUUGAAUUGUCACCAUUGGGUUUGCUUAGUCUUAAAGUAUAAAAUAUGGUCCCUUGAUUAUAAUCUUGAUGUUGGUGAUAUUUUAUAUUAUUUAGCCAUCUAAAUAUUAUUCAAAUAAUAUUUUAUUAAAGAUAUUUUAUCAUUUUUAAUUAAUAAAUAUUAGAUAAAGAUGAAAUUCUUCAUUUGCUUCCAAUGUCCGAAAAGAAAGAGAGAAGAGAGAGUUUUGCUUUUUAUGUAAUUUAGUCAUUUUCCAUCCAUUGUAUUAUUUUAAACCAAAAUUCAUGAGAAUUUUCAUAGUCAGAAAAAAGGAAAAGUGAAUUAGAGAUCCUAGAGAGUUUGAUUAUCUUAUUGGAAGUAAGAAAUUAGCGUUGGACGUGAAAAAAGUUGAGAAGAUAGUGAAAAGCUUAAAUAGACAAGGUAAGAAUUCAAGUGUUUUCUUAUGAAAUUUAUGUUUAGAUGAAGUAGACAUAUGAGAAAGUCAUUUCUAGUAAAGAAAUCGAUUAUGUUUUAAUAAAAUUAAAAAGUGAGAAAGAAAAGAAAGUGAUGGGAAUAUUAUAGACAAAGGAGAGCAAGUGAAAAAAGUAUGGUAGGAUGAGAAGUAAGAAAGUGAAAUCUAGCAAAAGAAAUGUAAAUACUCCGGUAAAUUCUAUUUGUUUAUUUAAGUAGUAAAUUAAAAUAUGUAAUAAGUUGUGUAGUGAAUGAAAUAUAGCAUCUAGAAAUUAUAAGAAACUAAGUGAGAAAGUGUAUCGAUAUGUAAAUGUGGAAAUAAGCUUAUGAAUUUCUGUUAUUCUAGUUUAAGAGACUAAAUUGAAUAAAAUAUAAAAAUGUAUUGAAUCAUGAUAAAGUAAAUAUUUUUUUGAAUAAAUCAUAUAAAAUAUCUAGAAAGAUAAUAAAUGAAUGAAUUGGGUAAUAUUAAGAGAUCUUGAAGCAUAAAAUAGUAUUGAAACAAGAAAUAAAAUAGUAAUUGUCAUUAAAAAUGAGAGAAAUUUCAUGUACAAAUCAUAGAAAUAUAUAAAGAGGAGUUUAGUGAAUUAUAAAAUAUUAAGUGAUGUGGAAAAAUAAUUUAGUAUUGAACCAAGGAAUACUUUGUGAAAAGUAAGAGAAAUAUAUUAAUAAUUCAGUGUGAAUUUAUACAAUCCGAUUUUUAGUGGUGCCAGAAAAGGUAGUUUCAGAACCUUAUUUUUAUAAACCAGAUCCGUAAAUAUUAAAUAUGAAUAUUUAUAGAGUUAGUAUAAAAGAAUAUUAAAGUUUGGUCUGUAACACCCUAACCCGUAUUCGUCGCCGAAUUAGGGUUACGAAGCAUUACCUAACAAACACAACCAUUUUUAUAAUCAAACUGAUCACAAACAUAGAAAUUAAACCAUUUUCGCAUGACUAUUUAUAUAUUUUACAAUCCAAAUCUAACCAAAAUAUACUCAAACCUAUACAUGCCAUAAGAUCGAGUUCAAAUUUUUAACAACAUGCCAAAAGAAGUCGAUAGUGUGACAGACUAUGCUGAUGAUCCCCGAGCUCGUAACGCGUCUCCAAAAUCUAUAAAACAAAUGAACAAGAACAAUCAAAGUAAGCUUUUAUAGCUUAGUAAGUUUAUAGGAUAUCUAAAAUACAUAUAAACGAACAUAUGAAAAAUCAUUAUAUGCUUAUAAUCAAGUUACGUACACAAUCAUUAAUUGCAUAUACAAAUUCCAAAUAUACUUAUCAUUUUCAUUUCAUGAAUACAUAUCUAUGAUCUUCCAAAUACAUAUGUCAAAAGCUUAUAUUUUUACUUAUCAACUACAUGAAUCAAAUGCACAUUUAUACUUCUAAUCCACAUGUGCCGAUUUCAUACAUGUAUAUUCAACAAUUUCAUAGCAACCAAUAUAUGUACUUACUCACUAAACUCAUAGAUCCAAACAUUUAUAAGCUCAUCGAAUACACAUAAAUAGGUAUUCAUAUAUUUACUCAUUAUAUAUAUAACCCAAAAUCAUUUAUAUAUAUAUCACAUGCAUAUAAUCACUUAAUUUAACAUAUUCACCGGCACUUAGCCUGCUAGGCUUAUAGCCUGAUUCAGAUCACCGGCACGUAGCCUGCUAGGUUUAUAACCUGAUUCAGAUCACCGGCACGUAGCCUGCUAGGUUUAUAACUUGAUUCAGAUCACCGGCACGUAGCCUGCUAGGUUUAUAACCUAAUUCAGAUCACCGGCACGUAGCCUGCUAGGUUUAUAACCUGAUUCAGAUCACCGGCACGUAGCCUGCUAGACUUAAAGUCUGAAUUAAUUCACUGGCACUACAUCCGCUAAGCAUCGAGCCUGAAUACCACAGGUAUGAAAUUGGUCUUUCACAAAAUUCUUUAUAAGAAAAUCUAGAUAUUCUUUUUAUCUCAUAUAAAUCUUUUCAACAAUUGUAUCUCAGCAAGAAUCAAAUUAUUAUUUCAAUCUUCGUAGCAAACAUACAUUUGAAUAACAUCUCUAUAGUUCAUAUCAUUAAAUUCGGUUCAUAGAACUCAAUACCUGUAUUCGAAUAUUAUACAUAUUUUCUUCUAUAUUAUAAGCUUCAACUUAUAAAACUCAAAGCAAACAUUAACUACAUACAUAUAAUUCAUGUGAUUAAUUUCAACUUAUCGAGUUCAAUACAUACAUUCGGCUAACAUACAUGUAAUCUAUUAAAUUUCAUCCAACUUAUAAAAUUCAGCAUAUAUAUAUUCGGCUAAAUAUAUAUAUAAAUAGAAUCUAUGCAAUUUAUUUUAACUUAUAAAACUCAAAUAUACAUUAACUAAUACAUAUAUAUAUACAAUUCAUACAUUAUAUUUUAACUCAUAUACUUACACUUAUACGAAAUAACUAUAUAUGUAUAUUAUUACUUAUUCGAUAUUUCCAUAUAUAUAAAUAUACUUAACAUUUAAACCUUGAAAUAUGUUCAGAACUUAUUCGAAAAUAUACAUGUAUAUUCUUCAAUUCCCACAGUGACAUUCAUUCAAAAUUAUUAAAGUAUAUACAAUAUAUACCCUUAAUCAAACUCAAAGAUUAUACUUAUUUAUACAUAUACAUAUUCGAAAAUUAACACAUAUAUAUACAUAUAAUUUCUUACUUAUACUCAAUAUAUAUAAGUAUUUAUUCAUAUAUAUACAUGCUUAUUCAAUCCAACUUAUACCAAUAUUUGAUACACAUACAUAUAUGUAUAUGUAUAUUUGUAUAUUUGUAUAUUCAUACUCAUUCGAACCUAACACAUAUAUAUAUACACAUAAUUUUCAUACUUUCCAUUCGAUUUAUAUACUUUUAAAUUUUAGCUCAACAUAAAUACAUUUGAUAUUCAUACAUAUAAACUAAUUUAAUAAAAAUUAAAUAGCUAAUAGACUUACCUCGGACGAUGGAAAAUCGAAGUCGGACGAUUAUUCGACUAAUUUGGCUUUUCCCCGAUCUAACUCCAAUUUCUUUGGUUCUCGAUCUAAAUAUAUUUAAAAUAAGAUAAUUUAUUUAUUAACACAUUCAAUUUAAUACAAAAACGCAUAAUUUGGAAAAUUACUAUUUUGCCCCUAAUAUUUUCACUUUUUGCAAUUUACUCCCUAUUACAUAAAACACAAUUUAUACAAAAUUUGCCCAUACCACACAAGGGCCGAAUAUUCAUGGUUCUCAUACAAGUCCGCAUAUUGCAUUUAUUUCACAUUUUAGUCCCCUAAAAAUUUAAUUUCACAAUUUAGCCCUAUUUACUCAAUUUUACUAAAAAUUCCAAUACAAAACAUAUUAAUCUAUCACAUAUCUUUCAUUUUUCAUCAUCAACUAUCAAAAAGUCUAAGCAUUCAUCAAUGGCACAUUUCAAAAUCAUCAACAAUUUACAAAAUUAAAACAUGGGUUUUGAAGAACACAAAGCAAUGAUCUCUAAAACAUAAAAAUCAUCAAAAACCGAACAAAAUCCAUACCUUAAUCAAAGCUUGAAAGUGCCGAAUGAAAUAAGCUUUAAACCCUUUUAUUUUCUCUCCAAUUCGGCCAAAAGAUGAAGAACAUGGCAUUUUAAUUUGUUAUAUUAUACAUAUAUUAACCUUAUUGUUAAUUUACUAUAUUAACCUUUACUAAUAUAUAUAAAACAUAUAUAAUAAGGUUACAUUAGUCCUUUGCCAUCCACUAACUUACAUAGUGGGCUAAUUGCAUAAUAAAACCUCUAAAUUAUAAAGACAACAACAAUUAGGCACUUUCAUAUUUAACCACUACAUUUUUAUUUUACGCGAUUUAAUCCUUUUAUUUAAUCAGACACUCAAACGGCGAAAUUAAAGCACGAAAUUUUUACACUAGUAAAUUCACACAUAAUAAACACAAAAAAAAAAAUAUAAAAAUAUUUUUCUAAUUCAGAUUUGUGGUCCUGAAACCACUAUUUUGAUUAGGGUCAAAACCGGGUUGUUACAACUCUCCCCCUUUAGGGAUUUUCGUCCUCGAAAAUUCUUACCGGUGAAUAGGUUUGGAUAACGCUCUUUCAUCGUAUCUUCUGACUCCGAAGUUGCUUCUUCAACUCCGUGUUUAGCCACAAUACUUUAACUAACGGAAUUUUCUUAUUUCGUAAUUCUUUGAUCUCACGAGCCAGAAUGCUAACCGGUUCUUCUUCAUAUGACAUAUCAGAGUUAAUUUCAAUCUCCGUCAGACUAAUCACAUGUGAAGGAUCAGAUCGGUAUCUACGGAGCAUCGAAACAUGGAAUACGUUAUGAAUCUUUUCUAACUCAGGCGGUAACAUCAAGCUAUAAGCAACCGGUCCAACACGCUCUAUAAUCUCAUACGGCCUAAUGAAUCUUGGACUCAAUUUGCCUUUACGACCGAAUCUGAGUAUUUUAUUCCACAGUGAGACUUUCAAAAACACUUUAUUCCCGAUCUGAAAUUCUAUAUCCUUUCUUUUCAAAUCUGCAUAAGACUUCUGACGAUCCGAUGCUGAUUUCAGACUAUCCCGAAUCACUUUCACUUUUUGUUCAGUCUCUUUAAUCAAAUCAACCCCGUGUAUCUUAUUUUCACUGAGCUCGGUCCAAUACAAUGGUGUACGACAUUUAUGACCGUACAAAGCCUCGUAAGGUGCCAUUUUGAUACUAGAUUGAAAGCUAUUAUUAUAAGCAAAUUCAAUCAAAGGUAAGUAUCGUUCCCACGUACCUUCAAACUCGAGAAUGCAACAUCUCAACAUAUCCUCAAGUAUCUGAAUGAUUCGUUCGGAUUGAUCAUCUGUCUGCGGAUGGAAAGCUGUGCUAAAAUGUAGUUUCGUACCUAAGGCAUAUUGUAGUUUCUUCCAAAAUCGCGAUGUGAAUCUCGGAUCUCUGUCUGAAACAAUAGAAAUAGGUACACCAUGCAACCUCACAAUUUGUGAAAUAUACAAUUCUGCAAGUUUAUCGAGUGAAAAAUCUGUACGAAUCGGAAUAAAGUGUGUCAAUUUUGUCAACCUAUCAACAAUAACCCAUAUUGCAUCUUUCUUGCUAGGUGUCAACGGUAAACCGGAUACAAAAUCCAUCGUGACUCGGUCCCAUUUCCAUUCAGGUAUCAUGAUCGGCUGAAGCAACCCAGAUGGUACCUAAUGCUCGGCUUUAACUUGCUGACAAAUUAAACAUUUCGAAACAAAGUCAGAAAUGUCUCGUUUCAUACCAUGCCACCAAUAGUGCUGUUUCAGAUCGUUAUACAUUUUCGUACUACCCGGAUGAACAGAAAAUCGGCUAUAUGAGCUUCAUUCAAAAUCACCUGUAUUAACUUUGAAUUUCUCGGAACACAUAAUCGAUUUCUGAAUCUCAAACAAUCCUCAGCAUCAACUAGAAAUUCUGAAUCAACAUUUAAGUCACACUGAGCUCGUUUUGCAAUUAAAUCAUCAUCAGCUUUCUGAGCUUCACAAAUUUGUUGAAUAAGUAACGGUUUUGCUUUCAAUUCAGCUACUAUCGCACCAUUAUCAGACAUAGCCAUAUGUGUGUUCAUUGCACGCAAAGCAAACAGUGAUUUUUGACUUAAGGCAUCAGCAACAACAUUAACCUUUCUCGGAUGAUAGUCAAUCACAAGCUCGUAAUCUUUUAGCAAAUCUAACCAUCGGCGCUGUCUCAAAUUCAGAUCUUUCUGAGUCAUCAAGUACUUCAGGCUUUUGUGAUCGGAAUAAGCAUGACAUUUUUCGCCAAACAAAUAGUGGCGCCAUAUUUUUAAUGCAAAUACAAUAGCUGCCAAUUCCAAAUCGUGCGUCGGAUAAUUCUUUUCGUGCGUCUUUAACUGUCUCGAGGCAUAGGCUACAACUUUGCCUUCCUGCAUCAAAACACAGCCCAAACCAUUUAAAGAUGCAUCACUAUAGAUAACAAACUCUUUACCCGAUUCUGGCUGAACUAAUACUGGAGCUUCGGUCAAAAGAGCUUUCAAGUGAUCGAAACUUUUCUGGAAAUUUUCUGACCAUUCAAACUUAACGUCUUUUUGUAGUAACUUUGUCAUCGGGGUCGCAAUCAUAGAGAACCCUUUCACGAACCGUCUAUAAUAACCAGCGAGCCCCAGAAAGCUUCGAACUUCUGAGACAUUCCUCGGAGGUUUCCAAUCAAGUAUAGCUGAAAUUUUACUCGGAUCAACCCGAAUACCCGAUGCUGAUACAACAUGGCCCAGAAAAUUGACUUCACGAAACCAGAACUCACAUUUACUAAACUUUGGAUACAACUGUUUAUCUCGCAAAGUUUGCAACACAAGUCUCAGAUGUUCGGCAUGCUCAGUUUCGUCACGAGAGUAGAUCAAAAUGUCAUCUAUAAAUACUACCACAAACCGAUCCAGAUAUUGUCUAAAGAUCCGAUUCAUCAAAUCCAUGAAAAUAGCAGGUGCAUUAGUAAGUCCGAAAGGCAUAACCAAAAACUCGUAAUGUCCGUACCUCGUUCGGAAAGCUGUUUUUGAUACAUCAGAGUCUUUAACUCGCAACUGAUAGUAACCUGAUCUCAAAUCUAUCUUCGAAAACACUGAAGCCCCUUUUAACUGAUCGAACAAAUCAUCAAUACGUGGCAAUAGAUAUUUAUUCUUUAUAGUCACCUUAUUGAGCUGCCGGUAAUCAAUACACAUUCUCAUCAUUCCAUCUUUCUUUUUCACAAAUAGAAUUGGUGCCCCCCAAGGAGAGAAACUCGGUCGUGCAAAACCUUUAUCAGUCAACUCUUGCAACUGUGCUUUCAAUUCUUUUAAUUCGGUCGGUGCCAUGCGGUACGGAGCUAUCGGAAUUGGAGUCGUCCCCGGUACUAACUCAAUACCAAACUCUACUUCUCAAAUAGGUGGUAAACCCAGUAAUUCUUUAGGAAACAUAUCUGGAUACUCACAUACAACAGAUACUGAUUCAAUCUUCUUUUCUAUCACUUUACUAUCAAGAACAUAUGCAAGAUAAGCUUCACAACCUUUUCUCACAUACUUCUGAGCCAACAUAGAGGAUAUCACUGCCGAUAAACCAUUUAGAUCAUUAGAUUCAAUCCGAAUAAUCUCAUUAUUCAGGCAUCUUAAAUCAAUAGUCUUCCUUUUGUAGUUAACCACAACAUCGUGUAAAGUCAACCAGUCCAUACCCAAAAUUAUAUCGAACUCGUUAAAUGGCAACAACAUCAAAUCAGCCAUAAAACACAAAUCUCGAAUCAUCAACGGACAAUUCUUGCACACUUUGUCAACCAACACACACCGGCCUAGGGGGUUUGAUACUUUAAUUACAAACUCAGUAGACUCAACAGGUAGAGUCUUACUAGAUACUAAGGUCUCACAUACAUAAGAAUGAGUCGAACCAGGAUCAAUCAACGCAAUAACAUUAGUAUCAUAAAGAGUGAAAGUACCAGUAAUAACAUCUGGAGAAGAAGCCUCCUCUCGAGCUCGGAUGGCAUAUGCUCUGGCAGGUGCACGAGCCUCAGAUCGAACUGCUGUGUCCUUUGUCCCUCUCUGACUACCACUUACAUUACCCAAGUGCCUUGGCGGUCUACCCCGUCCUGACAUAUUACUCGAUCUGGUAUUCUGCACAGUGUUUUGAUCAGCUACCAUCGGACACUCUCGAAUGAAAUGAUCAUUUGAACCACACUUAAAGCAAGACCGAUCAUGAAAUCUGCAAUCUCCAGGAUGCCAUUUCCCACAAUGCUUGUAUUCUGAUCUAUUUUGUCGAACACUACCAACGCUAGCAACUGAAGUAGCUCGUGAACUCACAAAGGGUCGAUCUCGAUCAUGCUUAGGAGACCCUGCAGUAGCUUUAGAUCGGCUAUGAUCCUCUCUGGAUUUUCUUGAGGCCGACUGGAACGAUUUACUAAAUGAUCUUUUACGGGAAUCUUGAGCUUUAUAGUCAGCUUUUCUCUUCUUUUUCCUGAGCUCCUCGGCUUUACAAGCUCGUUCAACAAGUACUAUGAACUCUUUUAUCUCAAGUAUGCCUACUAACAGUUUAAUAUCUUCAUUCAACCCAUCUUCAAAUCUUUUACACAUAAUAGCUUCAGUCGAAACACACUCUCGAGCAUAUCUACUGAGUCUUACAAAUUUUCGCUCAUACUCUGUCACUGUCAUCCGACCCUGUUUCAAUUCAAGAAAUUCCUUACGUUUCUGAUCAAUGAAUCUCUGGCUAAUAUAUUUCUUACGGAACUCAGUCUGAAAGAAUUCCCAGGUCACUCGCUCUUUUGGAACCACCGAUACUAGUGUAUUCCACCAGUGAUAUGCAGUGUCCCGUAGCAAGGAUAUGACACAUUUCAAGCACUCGUCAGGGGUGCAAGAUAACUCAUCAAAUACUCGAAUAGUAUUAUCAACCCAAAAUUUAGCUCGCUCAGCAUCAUCGUCAUCAGUAGCUCUGAACUCUUCGGCCCCGUGUUUUCGAAUUUUAUCAAUAGGAGGUUUAAGUAAUCUUAUCGGAUCACUUACUUGAGGUAUAACAGGAACCGAAGAUGGAUUAGUCGGGGGUGGAGGUUGUUGUGCAACCGGAUUAGUUCAGACAUAUUGAGUAAACAAGUCAUUCAUCAUUUGGUAGAAGGCUUGUUUAGCCUCUCCCUCCUGGUUACUCGAGGUCGGUCGAGAAUCUACCGGCUCUGUCCCUUGUGCGGGAGCAAACGCUAUACUCUCAACAUCAUCGGCUACGGCUCGACCGAGAUCCAUUACUAUACGAAAACAUAUUUUAGAUGUCAACAGUCAUCACACUAUCUCGGCAUAAAAAUAUGGCAUGUAUAGCUAGACUCAUACACAUACGUUAGUCCAAGAAUCGACUAAACCGUAGCUCUGAUACCAAUAAAAUGUAACACCCUAACCCGUAUUCGUCGCUGAAUUAGGGUUACGAAGCAUUACCUAACAAACACAACCAUUUUUAUAAUCAAACUGAUCACAAACAUAGAAAUUAAACCAUUUUCGCAUGACUAUUUAUAUAUUUUACAAUCCAAAUCUAACCAAAAUAUACUCAAACCUAUACAUGCCAUAAGAUCGAGUUCAAAUUUUUAACAACAUGCCAAAAGAAGUCGAUAGUGUGACAGACUAUGCUGAUGAUCCCCGAGCUCGUAACGCGUCUACAAAAUCUAUAAAACAAAUGAACAAGAACAAUCAAAGUAAGCUUUUAUAGCUUAGUAAGUUUAUAGGAUAUCUAAAAUACAUAUAAACGAACAUAUGAAAAAUCAUUAUAUGCUUAUAAUCAAGUUACGUACACAAUCAUUAAUUGCAUAUACAAAUUCCAAAUAUACUUAUCAUUUUCAUUUCAUGAAUACAUAUCUAUGAUCUUCCAAAUACAUAUGUCAAAAGCUUAUAUUUUUACUUAUCAACUACAUGAAUCAAAUGCACAUUUAUACUUCUAAUCCACAUGUGCCGAUUUCAUACAUGUAUAUUCAACAAUUUCAUAGCAACCAAUAUAUAUACUUACUCACUAAACUCAUAGAUCCAAACAUUUAUAAGCUCAUCGAAUACACAUAAAUAAGUAUUCAUAUAUUUAUUCAUUAUAUAUAUAACCCAAAAUCAUUUAUAUAUAUAUCACAUGCAUAUAAUCACUUAAUUUAACAUAUUCACCGGCACUUAGCCUGCUAGGCUUAUAGCCUGAUUCAGAUCACCGGCACGUAGCCUGCUAGGUUUAUAACCUGAUUCAGAUCACCGGCACGUAGCCUGCUAGGUUUAUAACCUGAUUCAGAUCACCGGCACGUAGCCUGCUAGGUUUAUAACCUGAUUCAGAUCACCGGCACGUAGCCUGCUAGACUUAAAGUCUGAAUUAAUUCACUGGCACUACAUCCGCUAAGCAUAGAGCCUGAAUACCACGGGUAUGAAAUUGGUGUUUCACAAUAUUCUUUAUAAGAAAAUCUAGAUAUUCUUUUUAUCUCAUAUAAAUAUUUUCAAUAAUUGUAUCUCAGCAAGAAUCGAAUUAUUAUUUCAAUCUUCGUAGCAAACAUACAUUUGAAUAACAUCUCUAUAGUUCAUAUCAUUAAAUUCGGUUCAUAGAACUCAAUACCUGUAUUCGAAUAUUAUACAUAUUUUUUCUAUAUUAUAAGCUUCAACUUAUAAAACUCAAAGCAAACAUUAACUACAUACAUAUAAUUCAUGUGAUUAAUUUCAACUUAUCGAGUUCAAUACAUACAUUCGGCUAACAUACAUGUAAUCUAUUAAAUUUCAUCCAACUUAUAAAAUUCAGCAUAUAUAUAUUCGGCUAAAUAUAUAUAUAUAUAAAUAGAAUCUAUGCAAUUUAUUUUAACUUAUAAAACUCAAAUAUACAUUAACUAAUACAUAUAUAUAUACAAUUCAUACAUUAUAUUUUAACUCAUAUACUUACACUUAUACGAAAUAACUAUAUAUGUAUAUUAUUACUUAUUCGAUAUUUCCAUAUAUAUAAAUAUACUUAACAUUUAAACCUUGAAAUAUGUUCAGAACUUAUUCGAAAAUAUACAUGUAUAUUCUUCAAUUCCCACAGUGACAUUCAUUCAAAAUUAUUAAAGUAUAUACAAUAUAUACCCUUAAUCAAACUCAAAGAUUAUACUUAUUUAUACAUAUACAUAUUCGAAAAUUAACACAUAUAUAUACAUAUAAUUUCUUACUUAUACUCAAUAUAUAUAAGUAUUUAUUCAUAUAUAUACAUGCUUAUUCAAUCCAACUUAUACCAAUAUUUGAUACACAUACAUAUAUAUAUCUUUAUAUAUCUAUUCGAACACCAUGCAAACAUAUAUAACAAACAACAUUAACUAAAUUCAAACUUUAUUCACAUAUAUACAUACCUAUGUUCGAAUACAUCACAUACCUAUAUAUAUAGUUCCAUAUCUAAAUUAUUUACAAGGGCAUUGAUGUAUGUAUAUUUGUAUAUUCAUACUAAUUUGAACCUAACACAUAUAUAUAUACAUAAUUUUCAUACUUUCCAUUCGAUUUAUAUACUUUUAAAUUUUAAAUCAACAUAAAUACAUUUGAUAUUCAUACAUAUAAACUAAUUUAAUAAAAAUUAAAUAGCUAAUAGACUUACCUCGAACGAUGGAAAAUCGAAGUCGGAUGAUUAUUCGACUAAUUUGGCUUUUUCCCGAUCUAACUCCAAUUUCUUUGGUUCUCGAUCUAAAUAUAUUUAAAAUAAGAUAAUUUAUUUAUUAACACAUUCAAUUUAAUCCAAAAAUGCAUAAUUUGUAAAAUUACUAUUUUGCCCCUAAUAUUUUCACUUUUUGCAAUUUAUUCCCUAUUACAUAAAACACAAUUUAUACAAAAUUUGCCCAUAUCACACAAGGGCCGAAUAUUCAUGGUUCUCAUAAAAGUCCACACAUUACAUUUAUUUCACAUUUUAGUCCCCCAAAAAUUUAAUUUCACAAUUUAGCCCUAUUUACUCAAUUUCACUAAAAAUUCCAAUACAAAACAUAUUAAUCUAUCACAUAUCUUUCAUUUUUCAUCAUCAACUAUCACAAAGUCUAAGCAUUCAUCAAUGGCACAUUUCAAAAUCAUCAACAAUUCACAAAAUUAAAACAUGGGUUUUGAAGAACACAAAGCAACGAUCUCUAAAACAUAAAAAUCAUCAAAAACCGAACAAAAUCCAUACCUUAAUCAAAGCUUGAAAGUGCCGAAUGAAAUAAGCUUUAAACCCUUUUAUUUUCUCUCCAAUUCGGCCAAAAGAUGAAGAACAUGGCAUUUUAAUUUGUUAUAUUAUACAUAUAUUAACCUUAUUGUUAAUUUACUAUAUUAGCCUUUACUAAUAGAUAUAUAAAACAUAUAUAAUAAGGUUACAUUAGUCCUUUGCCAUCCACUAACUUACAUAGUGGGCUAAUUGCAUAAUAAAACCUCUAAAUUAUAAAGACAACAACAAUUAGGCACUUUCAUAUUUAACCACUACAUUUUUAUUUUACGCGAUUUAAUCCUUUUAUUUAAUCAGACACUCAAACGGCGAAAUUAAAGCACAAAAUUUUUACACUAGUAAAUUCACACAUAAUAAACAUAGAAAAAAAUAUAUAAAAAUAUUUUUCUAAUUCAGAUUUGUGGUCCCGAAACCACUAUUCCAAUUAGGGUCAAAACUGGGUUGUUACAUGGUCUAGCGAUUUUGUUGAAUUAAUAGUUAAUUUAGGUGUAGGGACUAAAUUGUAAAAGUCCAACACUAAUUAUUUUUAAUUAUCUGAAGGUUCAAAAUGGUAAAUAAAUCAUUUUGUUACAUCAAAUAGGUAGAUGAUGAUGUUAACUUCCACUAAUUUUGAUUAAUUGUGAUUAAGGUUUAAUUAAGUUAAUUCAGUAAUUAAGGAUUUAAUUAAAGUAUAUAAGGUGAAUUUUAGUGGGAUUUUUCCAUCCUUUUCAUUUCACCUAACUAGCCAUGCUUUGAAAACUUAAGAAAAACCAUUUUUAAAGCUCAAUCUAUUCAGUCCCUAAUUGGUAAGUAUUUUCAAGCCAUUUUUCUUGUAAUUUCUAUGUUUUUGAGGUCAUGAGAGCUUGAUUUAACUAGCCCAUGCACCAAUUUUCAAAAAUGUUGAAGUUUUUGAAAGUUGCCAUUAUUGAUUUCUUGAAAAAAUUGAUGUUAAAUUGAUAGAUUUUAACCUUAGAUUAUGAAAAAUGACUAGAUUGUAAAGUUUAAUUGUUAGUUUUGCACAUAAGGACUAUAUUGAAUAAAAUAAAAAUUGACAUUUUGAUAUAAAUAGAGAGUAGAUCAAUGCUCAAAAUUUAAAGAUAUGACUAUUUUGAUUUUAAGGACUAAAUUGAACAAAUUGUAAAACUUUAGGGUAUAAAAAAUGAGAUUAGGUUCAUUCAUGUCAUGACAUAAUGUAAAAAUAUUUGGUAUUGAAAAAUUGAAUGGAAUAAUUAUAUUUAUCAAGAAUUGGAUAAACUAAAAUUGUCAAGUAGUCCCUGAAAAUUCAACUUGUUUGGUGUUUUGACAAGGGAAGUUCAUAUGGAACUUACUACUUUAUUUUAAUUAUGUAUGAAUUAUACUUGAAUUAAUAUAUAUACUUGUUAAAAUUGAGUAGAAUUAGGGAAUUUGGCACAAAUGUCUUGUAUUGGAUCGAAUUGUAAAUUCGUGUAAAUAUUGGUUGUAUGGAAAUAAUACAAGGUGUCAAUAUAAUUAUUGUUUGGUUAUAUGACUCGUAAAUGAAAAAUAAAAAAUGUAAAGGAUUUGAUAUUGUCAUUUAUAUGGAAGUAAUACACGAGUGAACUUAGUAAAAGGUUAGGCUACAUAUGGCAUGCCAUUAGGGUUAUACAUGUAUUUGAUCAGGGAUUUACAUGUUAUUACGAGAUCUAGCACUUGUUGCAGAUUCUCGAGUUAAACAUAUUGUAGGUUUAGCCCAGACGGGUAACCUCAAUAUAUGUUAGCUUGUGUGUGUAACCCUAAAAUACUGUUAGCUUGUGUGAGCAUUACAUUCCCGUGUAUCCAAGUCCAGUUUAUUACAGUUCCAUCAGACGAUGUUCAAUUGAUUGGAAAUGUAAUUUAAAUCAUGAAAUGAAAAUGAAAUGGUAUUGGUGAUACUUGACAUAUAGAUUGCUAUAUGAUUCAAUUUUAAAUGUUAACAUUACUUGCGAUUCGAGAACGUAACUAACGCAUUCGAUUUAUGGGUCAUAUCAAAGCUCACACUAUCUCCAAUUUAGUACCUAUUUGAUCAUUUUAAGUCAAGGAUUAUGGAAUGUAUAUAAGGUGUCUUGUGGUACAUCUUAGUAUGUAAAUGUGUUUACUUAUGGCAAGUUUGUUUUAAUCCUUACCUAUCAUGUUGAUUUGGUGAUUUGAAUCAUACAUGUUGUUGGGAAUAUAUGUAUGUUUAUGCUAAAGAAUGUGAUGAACUAUAUUUAUAGAUUUGGCAUGUUACAAUAAAGCAUAAACGAGUUUGAAAAUGUUAUCGUGACAUAAAAUUUAGUGAAUUAAGUGGAAAACUAUAUGAUUUAUAAAUGAAAUUUUAAUAUAUAUAAAUGGUAAAUAAUAUUCGUGCAGUUAUAAUAAUAUAAAUAUAAAAUUAUAGUGUGAAAUGUGAAUAAUUUGAAGUGACAUAUAAUCAUGUUAGUAAAGAAAUAAAGAAUUGUUCAAAAUAUUCAUUUCGUGAAUUAUAUGUGUAAUAGUGGUACUGUGAGAUAAGUAGGAAAUUGAAACUGUAAGGAAAUAAUGCAAGGAAUUAUAGAAUUUGAGCAUAAGUGGUAGAAAUGUAUAAUAUAUUCAUUUCGUGAUAUAGGGUAAAAAUGAAAUAUAAAGUGUAAUUGUGAUAAGAAAUUAAGUCUCGUAAUUAAAUAAAUAAAAUCGUGCAAUCGUGUAAAAGGCCUUUGUAAACUACGCAGGACUCGUGGGAUAUAAUUGGCAUGUUAUAGAAACCCAAUCACUCCCGUGUUAUUCGUGUUACGGGUGACAUUCGUCGCACUAUGGUGCAAUUCAUUUUUUUUCGGUGUAUCCUUCGUGGUUCUCCAUCAUUUACUUAGGGCAUUCAUGUAAGAAAGAAUAAAAUAAAGGUCUUGAAGUGUAUAAAGUAAGUAAUAAUUUGUGCUAAGUAAACCUUUAAGAUUAGAUAUUAUGUUUAUAAUAUUAAGUGAUAAUAAUAUUUCUUGGUAAUUCAUCUAUGAAAUGACAUAUUGUGAAUAAUCGUUCUUAUAAAGAAUUAAUGUAUUAAAUUAUUUUUAUAUUAAAUAUCUAAUAAUAAUUAGAAUUCAUGCGAGUACUUACCAAGCUCAAAGAAGCUUAACACGUUGUUUCUAAUGUGUAAUGUACAACCAAUGCUUAGGAGGAAAAGGGUUUGACUAAACUAGAUAGGUCACAUCUCAUUAUCGACAAUGUAUGGAUUAUGAUUUGUGUAGACAAAUGAUGGAUUUAGAGUGAUGUGUACAUAAGUAAACAAUUGAUUGAAAUUCAAAGAUCGUGUUAUGGUGAAUUGAUGUCUUAAAGUAAAGUGGAAAUUUUUGAGGUAAAUGUGGAUAAUGGUUAUUUAGUGAAAUUAGUGCCCAAAUCUGGCUUCCUUUGCUCGAGUUAUUUAUUUAUCUUUGGUAAGGGGUGUUACAAUAAUGAAUACACCUAUGAGUAUCUUUUUCGUUAAACAUAAAUUAAUUGAGAACUUGUGAGAUUAUUUUAAACAUUUUCACAUAACAACCCUCAAUACUAAAAACUUGAUAGAUUAGUGAGUUGUAGAUGUCGUUACGACAAGGGUUGUCAUAUCUCAGAAAUUAGAUUAGAAUAAAUUAGGUUAGUGAAAUCAAGAGUGGGCACGUCCUGAUUUUUAGUUAUGAUUGCGAAAAUUUUGUUAAGUGAAUUAAUUUGGUUUAGUGGUUAGGUGUUCUACUUGGGUUUGAGAGGUUCGGAGUUCAAAUAUUUUGUCUUGCAUUUUUGUUAUUUUGCCUAAAAUUCUUGUCUUUGAACACCUAAUUUAUAUAUUAUCUUCGUUCAAUUGAUGAUAAGAAUGAGACUACUAGUUUAGUGAUAAGGCUUUAACUUACCCUUCGUUCAAUUGUUUUUGGUUUUGAACAAUGAGGAAAUAUUAUGGGUGGUUAAUUAGUGUGAUUUAGUGGGACGUGGGUAGUUGAAUUAAUCCCUUAAACCACUCAUCUUUUUACUAUUCAUCACCCCCAUUCCUUUGUUUCACGUUUCUAUUUUUUUUAUUUUUCUUUCUUCUUGAAUUUCAUCUUUUCUUUCUUUUUGUUUUGUUUUUCCUUUUGUUUUGCUGCUAUUAAGUUGCCAAGGAAUUAUCUUUUUGACUCUUUUCGUGAUCGUAAAUCCAAGUAAGGGUAAGUAACUUCGAUUUAUUUUUUGGUUUUGAAAUUUAACUCAUUUUUUUGGGGAAAGGUAUGAGAUGCUUGUGCUUAGUCUCGACUUUGUUGUGUUAAGUGUUUUUGUGGUUCUUGAUUAGGCAAAAGGGGUGAAAAUCAAAACCCUACAACAGAGUAGAUACAAUUUUUAUGUUGUUCCAGAAAAGUAAGUGCGUGAACUUCAUCUUAGGGACUAAAAUUUUGAUUUAAGGAUGUUAUUUUGGAUGAUUUUUUGAUGGUUAAUUAGUGUAAUUUGAUGAAUGAUUGUAUGAUUCAGGAGUUCCAGUUGUGUGAUCAAUCAAAUCUGCCAUCAGGGGUGAUUCUAACCCAAAACAUCGAUUGGAACUCAGAAAAACUAAAAAAUAGAGGCUAUUUUUGAAACUAUUUUGCAUUACACAAUCGUGUCCCAAAUCGUGUGGGCCACAUGGGCUGGCCAGUUGGGCUGUGUGGGCCCAUUUUUUAGAAAUAUUCCACUUAGUCCUGUUUGACCUAAAAAUCCAUAAUUAGACCUUUCGUAGGGUUCGUCUGGCUCAAAUUAGACUCGAAACGUGACAUCUGUCAAGAUGUGUUAGCAUGUGCUAUGGUUAAGGUAGGUGAAAAACUUAUGUACAAUUUGUGUUUCAAUAACUUUGAAAGUAUAUUUACAUGGAAAAAUGUGCAUGAAACCUGUAAGUAAAAAUAACUGUUAGUAUAAGCAAUAUGAUAUGAUAUUAUCUGUAUAAGUUAUGUGUUGUGUUAUGCUUCGUAUAAUAUCUAUUUAUGCAUGCAUGCCAUACAACCUAUGUGAUAUGUAUGCGUGCUAACGUGAUUUUGCAUAUGCAUUGGGGUGGGUUCUGAUUUGAAAUACUGCAAUUUUGACAGUUAAACCGCAAUAUAUGUCUUGUAGCUCAGCUGCACUACUAUGAGUGGCAUACCACCAUGACCAAGUGUGAUUGGAUGGAUGGACUCUUGUAGUCCUAUUUGGUGUGAUUGGUUGGACAAAAUUGGUGUGUAGCGGAUGGGUUUAGGAUCUGUAAUUGCAUCUAUAUCAAAAUUUGUGUUUGCAAUUGUAUCUGAAUCUGAUUAUGUUGAAUCUGAAUAUGCAUCUGUAUUCGAUUAUGAAAUACAUCUGGUUCUGUAUAAGAGAAUGUGCUUGAGAUUUUUUAUUCUGAAAUUAUGAAUUCCAUUAUGAUAUAUGAUUAUGAAAAUAUGAUAUUCCGAUCUGACAUAUGUUUCUGGUAAUGUGUACAUUAUAAGUAAAAAUUUUGUGAUGAUAUCUACAAUUAUGUUUGUUAUAAGUAUACACUAUUUGUGGGCUGCGUCAUACACUAGGCUACUAGCUCACCUAUUUGUUUAAUACGUUUCAGGUGACUUUCAGACUUAGGACUUGGCAGCGAUUCUGGAGCUUAGUUCAGACAAUUUAGUAUAAGUAUUUUUUGGAUUUUGAUUUCGAACUUUAUGGUCUUUUGGAUUUUAAUUUGUUUUGGAAAGUUAAUUUUUUGUUUUUGGUAUUUGUUUUCACGGACGUGGUAUUUACAACUCGUAAACACACCCAAGAUGACAUAACUGAUGGAACCCUAAGAUUUUAAGGGAUAAGAAUUUUUAAAGUAAUUUUUCGCUACAAGGUUUUGAAAUUAAUUACGUCAUUUUACCACUCAAUUGGUUAAACAUUCAAGAUUAUUUUUAUAAAAUUAAUAAAACAAGGUUUGUGUUAAAGUGUCCACACACGAUCUUCUGAAUACUUGUGUUUUUGAUAAAUUAAAUAACUUUAUUACUCUGAAAAUAAAACUAAGUUUUCUUGUAAGUUAAUCGACAAUGUUUUUAUGAACGUUGUAACAUUCAUAAUUCGACCUUAACGACUAGGUCGAAUUUGAGGUGUUACAAUAGUGGCUCAUCAACAUUGAAAUACUCUCUCAUAGAAAAUAAGCCCCAACACCUUGCCAAUCUAUAAGAGAGAGCGCACAAGUUUGUAGAAAUUGAAGAAAUGGAUAAUUCUAAUAUGAAGUUUAGCACAUGAUUUCUACUUCAUCAUACCAACAAUGAUUAAUAUAUCUUGUUCACGAGCGAAUACUUAAUAAAGAUCAGUGUAAAACACACCCUAUCUUGGGGGUAAAUUUUUUUUAAGGUGGGGACAACACUUAUGUCCUCUAAGUUUCCAAGGAAUAUCUCUUCGUGUUUUGAGUCUUAUGAAGACAAAAUAUACUCGGUCCAUAUAGUAAAUACACUAGUUACACCCAUUUGAACUCAUUGCGAGCAUGCAUUUAGAGUUAGGUUCAAGACCAAGGUAUUGUCGAGAGUCCUCCUCUAAUGAGAUCUUGUAAAACCCCUUAUCCAUCUUGAUGAUUGAUACAAGUAGGUGAUGUCACAUUAAGAAGAAUAUCACUUUAACAAAAUGUCUUUCUAUCAAAAAUCAAUAUUUAUCCAUAUAAUAAAAUUUCAUAAAAUGAAACUCAACAUUUUGAAAGCUUUAAAGAUAUUUUAAAAUCACUUACCAUUAUUUUUCGGUUGCUAAAAUAAGUGAAAAUAUAAAACGAAUCUUUUGAAGCACUAGAGUGGCUCAAAAUGCAACUUUUGAAUUUGAUUCAAGUAUGAAAAUGUUAAAUCCAAAAUCAUUAACCAACCUUUAAUUUUUCACAUAUCAUUAUAUAAUUUUCAAGGUUUUAAAAGUCAUUUUAUACCAUCUCUAGAGUCCCAUUACAAAAUGAGAAUGUUCGGGCAUCAUUCAAAGUUCUUACGAGGCUUAAACAUACAUGUUUUAUGGUGCAAGGCAACAUGUCUCUAGACAUACACCCUAGGUGCAUAUCUUGAGACAUGGUAUGGAAACUAUAACAAACCAAAUACUGACUUGCAUGUCUUAAGCCAUGAGGUUCAUGUCUCGAGACCUUGCAUCACUGGAGCAAAAUUUGGCUUAAAAACACAUCAAAUCUUCCCCAAACAUCUACUAUGAUAUCAAUAAGUUUCAAAUAAUUUUAAAACUAAAUCAAUGUACAUUCAAACAAAAAUUUAAGUCAUACAUAUGUUAAAGGACAAUGGUUAUACAAGCCAAUAUACUUGUACUAACUAAGACUAGCCUAAGCCUUUAUGUACAUGCGAAACCAAAAAUAUAGUAAUACAAAUCACUACUUACCAAGCUUCAAACCUCAACAGUGAUGAAAUCCUCCCAAGAUUUGAUAUCAAGUUUCUCGAAAAACAUUUUAACCUACGUGUUUAAAAAACUAAUGCGUUUAUCUCAAAGAGCUUAGUAAGUACAUUUAGAUUUAGUAAGUACAUUUAGAUUUCUUAUCUUACCCUAUUUGAAUUAUUGUCGGGUCUUUUUGUAACAACCUAUUUUCACUGAUAAAAGAAAUAGUGGUUUGAGACGACAAAUCUGAUGAGUGAAUUAUUAUUUUAUUAUUUAUUCAAUGUCUUUGGGGUAUCAUUAAGGUCGUAGUAAAGUUUCAUUAAGAAAUUUUGGUGUUUGAAUGAUUAAUUAGGUAAAAAGGACUAAAUAAAAAAAGGCGUAAAAGUUGAAAUCUAUUAUUUAAAAGGGCUAAAUGGUUAUGGAAAGGAAUAUUAAUGGACUUGAAUGGUAAAUAUACCAAUUAUUAAGUUAGUGGAUAUGCAUGGAUAGAUUUUAAUGAAAUUUCCAUGAAUUUUUAAGGUUAAAAUGGUAAUUUGAUUAUUAGGUUAAAAUAUUAAGUUAAUUAAAAGGAAAUAAGGUAUCAUCUUCUUUCUUUUCUUGUUUUUGCAAUCGAAAUCACCAUUGGAGGAGCUCCAAGCUUUGGUCAUCUUCUUUUUGUGUAUGUGAGCUAAUUUUUUGCAUAUUUCUUAUAAUUUAUAUGUUUUUGAGAUCGUUACAACUAGGUACAACUAGUCCGCACCUUUGUUUUUGAAUCUGUUAAAAUUUUUAGAAGUUGCCAUUGAUGAAUCUUGAAUAUUUUUUAUGAUGGCUAUGUGUUUGAAGCUUUGAUUGUGGUGUUUGGUUGUUUUGUAAAAUGGUUUUUGUUAGAUUUUGAGUUAAGGAUUUAAUUGUUAAAAUGCUAAAAUUGCAAAGUUUGAUAGUGAAUUUAGUGUGUAGUAUGGACGGUUAAAGGGUUUAGUAUGUUUGGCUAUAAUUUGAUUAUUAGGAAAUGGUUAAUUUGAUAGUUUUCGGGUUAGAAGACUAAAUUACAAAAGAUGUAAAAGUUUAGGGAAAAUGUGUAAUUAAUGAAAAGUUAAGGGUUAUAUACAUUGAAUGGAAUGUGAAAUAUGUGUGAGAUUAAUAUAUUAUUUUUAAUUAUUAUAUAGAUCAAAACUUGGAUCAAAAAGAUAAUAACCGAGGAAAAGGGAAAAUAGCGGAUUAACCCUUACUCGUGGUUCGGAAUCGAAUAGUAGGUAAGUUCGUAGUGUUUCAAUAUGUAAAUGAAAUACUAUUUGUACUUUUACAUUAUAGUUUCUUAGUUAAAGAUCGAUAGUUAAUUAUUGAAUAUUUUCACAUACGUGCUCCUGUUUGUACUUCGGUACCCCUGUUUGCACAUACGUGCCACUGUUUAUACUUCGAUACCCCUGUUUGCACAUGUGGCUAAAUAUGUGUCUCUUAGGGUAGUGACAUGUAUAUGUGGCUAAAUAUGUUGGUUUGAUACUUUACUAAACUAUGUCAAUAGUUCUUUUAUCAUGCUUGUAAAUAUGUUUCUUUUUGAUGUAGUUAGAUUGGUAUGAAAGUGAAUACUUGUGGUAUGUUUUGGUAUAUGAUUGAAAUAAGUUACUGUGCAAGUAUUGGAUCAAUGAUGAUAUGUUUUAGUUGUUGAUGUUUUGUUAUAAUUGUGAUGUCUGUGAAUGGCACACUGGUUGGUUGACUUUAGGACAUUAAAAUAACAUGUUUGUCUAGUGGUGAGUGAUGUUUAUGUUCAUUUGGAUGCAUGUUUAAAUGGUUAGAUUGGUUAGGUGUGAAUUGCUUGUGGAAUGGCUAGAUUAUAGGUAAAUUUUGGAUUCACACGGCUUGGGACACGGACGUGUGACUCAGCUGUGUAUUUGACGACAUGGCCGUGUGCCAUCUGAAGGUUUCAAAGGGUUCAAGUCAAUGAGUUACAUGGCCUAAGCCUAACACGUGGCCUGACAAACGGGCAUGUGGGGCAACUCAGAGAGUUACACUGCCUGCCACAUGGGCAUGUGACUGUAACGCGUAGGUUUGUGCAAGUGUACACAGUCGUUAUCAAGUAAUAAGUAAGUAUCGAGUUAUCGUCUCCACAGGGAUUGUAUUUGUGCUAAGUCACUUAAUUUGUAAAAUUAUAUUAACAAUUUGGAAAAUAAAAACACAAUAUAGUUGAGAAGUGGUGAUUAAAAUAUAUUAAACUAAAUGCAAUGAUAUCUAAUGCAAAUUAUCCUAAGUAUGCAAACUAUAUGAAUGAAAUAGAUUUUAGUAAAAUUAAACACAAUUUGCAAUAAUUAUAACAUAAAUAAACUAGGACAAUUACUUUAAUUAAACUUAAUUUAUUAUCAACAUGCUUAAUAACAUUCGGAAAAAUAUUUCAUGGCAACUCGAUCUUUCAUGAGUUUGGAAACCACAUUAGGUCCUUUCAAAAUCCUUUACUUAGUAAAUACACAUUUUACUGAUCCUUGUUUACUAAGGGUUUCUUAGCAUUUGUGUGAGGUAACAGGGACGUGUUAGGUUUGAAACAAUUUAAUAACACAAAUCUAAAAAUUAUGCAGAUAACAGAGCUUGGUUAGAGUUAUUAUGCAACCUACAAUUCAAUCGUGUUAGGAUCUAAAUUGAGCAUGCACAUUUCAAUUAUGCGUCCAUUAGCUGUCGUCUGGUUAGGAUCGCUCAGCUAAUUUAGGUGCAUUUCAAUAAUGUAUGAACGAAAUACAAACUUGAUUUUAAUUGAAAACAUGAUCGAUUGGGGCACAAACAUUAUAAGCGUGAAUCAAAUAAAUAUUAUUUAAUCAAAGCAAUCAUCCUAGCUUAAAUAAAAUUAAGCUAACAUUGUUGUAAACAAGAACAAAGAACACAUAGCAAACAUCUUUAUAUUAAAUUAAAGAAAAGAAAGAUUAAACCCAAUUCAGAGUGGCUGUCACCCAAGACUCUGACUGACGAGACUCCUUCGUUCCUUUGCUUUGCUCCUUUGCUGAUGGCUCUCCAAGGUGGCCGACCAAGGGUUCUUUAAGAGGCUUAAUUGCUAAAAUCUCUAUGAAGAGAUGAUGCUAGGAGUGGGAAUGGAAAAGGCUAAGAGAAAAAGAGAGAAUGAUGCUUGAUGGAUGCUUGAGGGAUGAUUGAGGGAUAUGAAUGAAGGAAUGAAAGGGUCUUAUUUAUAGGUGAUGAAAGAGAGAUAGUUUGUUAAAAAUAGGAGUUUCCAUAUUUUGAAACAUCUUCCAUGGGUGGUCGGCCAUAAUUUUAGUAAGUUAAGCUGAUUUUUCCUUGAUUUGUAGUCAAUUUGAGUGCCACAACAACUCAGGACUGAGACUCGGUCAAGUGCAAAUCUUUAGGUAAAUCUCUAAUUUCUUCAACUCUUCAAGGACCUUGUGCAAUUAAACCAAAAUGUUGUUUAUGGACAGCCUUGUGCAGCCGAAUUUUGGGUUGACUUGGUCUCCAAUUUGGACGGUUUUGUAAUCUAGCAAAGCUAUCAGACCUGUCCAAAAUAAAUCAACAAGUUAGAGGACCAAAGAAUUAAAUUUAUCCAAUUUAAUUAGUUAAUUAAAACCCAAAUUAUUAAUGAAAUAUUUUAAAAUGAAUUAUUAAAUAUAAUUUUAUAUUUUAUUAUUUAAUUUAAUCAUGCACGACCCACUUUAUGUCUUAAAAAAUAUAAUAAAUUCAAAUUAAUAUAAAAUAAGCCAUUUAUUGCAUGAAAACUAUAUAAUAAAACAUAAAAUCAAAUUUUAAUAAAUUUUAUGUCCUAAUUUCAUAUUUUCAUAUAUUUCAUUAAUUUAUUAAACAAUUACUUAGUUUUAACAACGAAUUUAAGUAAAAAGGUGAUAAAUUACAUAGGAAAAAUCCUAUGUAUUUUUCCAUUUACACACCCCCAAACUUAAAUCAUUGCUCGUCCCGAGUAAUGUUUAUGCACAGCAAAAGGUCUUGCUAAGGGAAAAUUCCUAAUUGUGUAAGCAGCAUCAAUCUUUGUCCAAUAAUCAUGCAUUAAUAACUUCAUGCUUAUCAAUCUUCUUUAUUAACAAGUAAUUCAUAUGCAAACAUUCCUUAAGAUUAUACUAAGCUUCAAAAUAUGCCAACACAAAUCAUAGUUUGCAUGUAUGUCACAGCCAUAGAUAACAUUAUUCAUUCAACAUAAUUUCCUAUCAAUCAAGAAAACAAUCACAAGGCUUAUUUAUGAUCUUCAUAUGUUGAACUUAGGACUUCCUCUCCACUAAUGUAGGUGACAUAAUCAUCAAAUCAACAGGUCUUUUAUAAGGUUGUAAUGGGGCUCGGUUAAAGGUAGGGAUUUUAAGAAAUGAGACAUUUUGGUUUAAAAAUCUUAACCUUUAACUUUGUCUUAGUUUUCUCAUAAUACAAACUUUUUCUUUGAGUGAACCUUUGGAACACCCCCAAACUUAUUUUGAACUCGAACUCAUACAUUUUUCAUUUUUUUUGGAGACUGAGCGAACUUUUCUUCGCUUUUUUUUUUGUUUUUUGUUUAAGUAUGAGCACAUACAUCUUUAUGAAAAUUUCCUCAAAUGUUGAUUCCCAAGACAACUUUAGUUAAGAUAGGUGCACAAAUUUAGGAUAGCUUUUAAAAAAAAAUGGUAACUGGCUUAUAAUGUAGGUUCAUUGCAAAAACAAGCCUUUAAGCUCAAAAUUAAAGUUCCAAGGGUCUAAUAUCAUAGGGUUGGCUUUAAAAGGCUAUAACGAUUCAAAGAAAUAGUGUCUAUAUCAUUUUAGAUUUUUAUGUCCCCUGAAUUUCGCCUCAAGAAAGUUACUAAGUCAAUUCUAAAGAUAUAAACCUUCAUGCAUGUUUAAUCUCAAAAGAACUAAGUUUUCAUGGCAAACAUUACUAAGGCUAAUAUUAUACAAGCAUUCCAUUCUUCAUGAUAACAUACUUUCACUUAGAUAAAAUCAUCAUUCAUACUUGCAUACAAACUAUCUCAGUAACAAGAAUAUCUCUAAACAUUCAUUUAUUAAAACAUACUUAUGAAAGAAAUGAUUAAAACAUACUUGAAAAACUUAAAAGUUUGAGCAAUUUAUUUGUCUUACCCCCUUUAAAAAGAAGCAAUGCCCUCAUUGCAAGAAAAAAGUAAUGAAUGAAAACUGAACACCAGGUAGGGUUGUAAAGAAAGAGAGGUGAGUCAUUAAGACUGCUUAAGUACCAAGUCUUCCCUAAUAACCCAAUCCUAAACAUGUUCAUUCCCAUUACCACAUCACUCAGUCUUAUUCUUUCUAAAGAACUGCUAAGUUUGUUCAUGCUUGCUAUGUUUUAUUCUGCAGAAAUUAAAUCCUAAUUACGAAAGAAAUAAAUUCCUAAAGACCAAAAAAUAAUUAAAUAAAUAACAGGACAAGAAUCCCCCAUUUUAUUUUUCUGACUUAUUCCCCUUGUCUUCUUUAGCUCCAUCUCCGCUUGCAUCGUCAGUACCUUCCGUCCAUGUCUCAAAGAUAUCAUCUAGGAACUCAGGAACAAAAGUAUUAGAGAUAUUCUUAAAAGUAUUUCGAAUUGAGCCAUCUCUAAUUUUUGCAUAUUUCUAGUAAGUUUGUUGUUGAUUGUGCAUGAACUUGUACAUAUCCAUCAAAAUUGACAACUAAGAUUUCCUUGAAGUACUUGCAGAAGUCGGCAUGACAAUUGUAUAUUCAGGUUCAACACUUAGCUUGACCUGUUCUUCUUCUGGCUCAACCCUUGGUUCAGGAAUGUUCGAUUCCUUAUCAGAUUCUUCCUCUUCAGUGUCUGUGAUUGAAUUAGCUUCAGUUUCAGUUCCAUCUGUUGACUCCUCUGUAUCCGGCUCAGUUGACUAUUCUUGCUUGCCUUGAUUCAGUUCAUGCACCCUCUCUACUAAUCUUUCAAGAUCAUAAUUUGUAAUGCAUCCUUGAACAUAUCGCCCCUUCAGAUUUGCUUGUAUUUUAACAUGAGCUUUUAAGCAAAGUGAAGUGAUUAAUGAUGGGAAAUAAGCACUUCGUGCCUUCUUUUUAGCACAAUUUUGAAUCUCCUUGAGGAUAAUUUUUCCAACAUUAAUGGACUUUUCUGUCAAAAUUGCAUAUAACAAAAGCAUCCAUUCCAUCGAGAUGGUGGAACUAUGUGAGAUAGGCAUAAAACUAUAGCGAACGAAAUAAAACCAUACCUUUGCUACUGGUUUUAAGUAUUCUCUUUGACAAGAAUGACUUCCAUAGUUUCUUAUAAUCCAUUGGGAUCCCAGAUUUGUCACAACAUCAAGCACUUGUUGAAGAAAAUCCCAAUUGAUAUUGCUCAUCAUAGGGUAGUACUCAUCUUCUUCAACAUCAGGUAAAUUAAACAAAUCAUUGAUGGACUUAGAAGUAAGAUGUACCUUUUCUUUCGAACGAUGACUUCAGUAGCAUCUUGCGUAGUCAAACUAGCAUAGAAUUCUCGAACUAAUUCAUCAUCGGGAAGUGAACGAACAUCACAAAAUCGUUCCCACUUGAGAGCAUUGAUUUUCUUUCUAAUCGGUAUAGGAACAACCAUCAAAUCAUUACUCUUCAAGCCAAAACCUUUUUCCGACAUCAUAGGUUGAUGCUUGAAGAUUGAAUCAAAUCUCUCUUUCACUUCUUCAUCGAUUAAAAUCGAGUUUUCAAGAGUAGUAUUUGAAUAUCUGGUUCUUUUGCGAGACAUGGUAUCUUUUCCCAAAAAUUAGGCAAAGUUUUUGCAUAAAAGAGAAAAGAGAAAUCGGCAAAGUGGGUAGAACUUUCUACGGCAAAAAUCUUGCAACGGCAAAAGGGAAUUUUGGCAAAAAGAGAAGGGAAGAGAACUUGCAACGGCAAAAAUUUUGCAACGACAAAAAUACAAAGUAUUAAUAGAAAUAAUAAAAUAAUUCUAAAAUCUUUAUUUUGUGUGUCAAUUCGAGUUCUCGUGUCAAAGCUUUCGUGCAAUCCGCAUAUCCACUCGUUUCCCAUAUAUGACAAUAAUUAUACCUACAUAAAAAAUAAUUGAUUAAGUGCAUUAUCAAAUCCCUCCCUCCCCUCACUUAGCUAAUGUUUUCCCUUAAGUAUUUCAUUCAUUUAUCAAUUUGAGCAUACUACAAGCAUCUAAGUCAAUUUAAUUACCCCAAUUCUCAAUUCAAUCAAACAAAUAUACAUUAGUAAAAUUUCUAUCCUACAAUCAUCUUUCUUAAGCUAACACAUCGAUUCACAAUUCAAUUAAUCACACAAUUUUUCAAAUAGUCUCAUAAUUAGGCUCUAUAAUAUCAAUUCAUGCUAAAUUGUCAAGACACCAAAAUUAAUAAAAAUUUGCAACCAUAAAAAAUCAAUUGUCUCAUCUCUUGUGCUCAUUUUUUUUUCUUUUUUCUAAUUAAAAAGCUUAUCUAGAGUGUCAUUACAUCUUUUUACGCAAAGAAGGGUGACAACCUAAGCACCCCACCUUAGUUAAUUCAUCACAUCUUUAGAUGACUACUAGCUCUACUCAUGACUGUUAAGAUUAGUAGAGUAAGCGAAUAUCUUAGAACGUCACUCAAUCUUUUGACGUAAAGACAAAUGAAAACCAAAGCACUUAACUCUAGUUACUCAAUCGGUCACAAUUUUAAGACUUUACUAAUAAUCCAAAAAUUAGCAAAGUAUUUAUUGAAUUUUUUUUUCAAAAAUAUUUUCAAAAUAAAAGAAAAGUUAAUUUACCGUAAAAAAAUCAUGCAAAUAAAGUUUCUCAACCAAUUUAACACAAAAUUAACAUAAUGGAGCAAUUAAUUUUGCACAUACAUUUUUCUCAAAUAAUUAAGCGAAAUUAAGUCAUAGAAUCAAAAUUUCUCAAUGUGUAAAGUCUUCAAAUAAUUGAGUAAGUGAUCAUCAAACUUAAUCGAAUGAAAAUAGCAUGCAAAAAUGUGAAAAUUACAAUUCAUACUUCAAUGAUCAAGCACGUAACAGGACAUUUCACAUCAAGCAACAUAUCAAAUUACAAUUCAAACUCCCCUUACUUAACUCAGACAUUGUCCUCAAUGUAUUACGAUCAAUUUGAAUGGAUGAAGUAAGUGUUAGGAGAGCUUCGCUGGCUGUGCAAUGUUGGAAAUAUACUACUAAAAAAUAAAACUGUUAGUGUUGAAAGGAAACCAAAUUGAGUGUAAAUAAAAUAGGAGUCACAGUGUCGUGAAAGAACUAUUGCCUUAGAAGCAAAUUGGCCUUGAUCGGUGUAAUCGUAUAGUAGAAGUUGCCCUGUAAGGUUAAAACAGUACUUCAAUAUUUGUACACUCGAAUAAAGAAGGUGGACCACAAUUGACAUUGCUUUUCUUGAAAGAAUAGAAACUGAAAAACAAAAGCAAUUGAUCAAAAAUCUGAUUGGAAAAUAAAUUGGAAGAAAUUGGUGAAACCACACUAGGUUCAAUUUCCAGAAAAGAUUUGAGGGGUCACAAAUGGUCCUGCUUAAAACCCAAUCUCCUAGACAGAAUUUCCCUCUCAUGUAAUUUUGCAGAACACCAAAAUUUAGAGAACAGAGAGAAGUUGUUUUUCUGUUUUGUGAAAAAUGAGGAGAAUGACCUCCUAUUUAUACAAUUUUCUAAAGGGUAAAAUGGUAAAAUAAAAGUUUCAGUUUGCAAAAAUAGAAAAGGAUUUUUCGUAAUUGAAAAUAUUUUGAAAAUAUUCUUUUUCAUUACCAACAUGCAAGACAAUGAAUGGUAGCAACUAUGUUCGUCAUUCCAAUAUGCGUUAAAUCAUGCAAUCAACCCAAUAAGAUAGUCCUGAGCAUUAACUAGAAAAAAUAAAAUAAUUAAUUAAAAUAAAAUUAACUAACUAAUUAAUUUACAUAAAAAUGAAAAAAAAUGAAAAGAAAAAAUUUGAAAAAAAAACUAAAAAUUGUUAAAGAAAAAGAAAAUAAUAAUAAAAACUUGGGAAAGAGGGUGUGGCUGGGUCGAUAUUGGUGUGUUGCUGGGAGAGAUGCUGAUGGCUAGGUUGCAAGUACGGAUGGGAUGACAAUGGUGCUUUGUCGGCCUGAUGGCAUUGUGGUCAGGUUGGGGGAGAUCGGAGGCUAGGUCAUGUUGGGUCGAAUGAAGGGGUAAACUGGAGUGGUGCACAAUGGAUUAGGGUAAUUGGAGGGGGUAGUGGUCAAUGUCAGUGGUGAAUGUGGAGAAUUGUCUCGACUUUGAGGAGAAAUGAGAGUUUGACACUGUUGGUGGCGAGGGUUGGAGUGCAGUUCAACUAGGCUAUGAACAAUGCAUUGAGAGGAGUAGAUCAUGGUUGCUGCGAGCAGAGGUGGUCGGCGAUGACUUGGUUAGCAUGAUAGUUGUUGGAUCUGAUGCCCUAAGUGUAGUAUUUUCAUCUAUGUACACUUGUAUUUUUUUCAAAUAGAUUGAUUAAUAAUAUUAUUCAUGAAUUAUGUUAAUAUAUUUUGUAAAUUGUCCUCAAUGGUUUUUGCAUGCGAAGCAAAAUGGAAGCAAAUACUAGAUCAUUGGUUGUCUACUGUUUAACUGAUACUAAGCAGUAUUACAUGGUCAGAUUGUAAUACGAAAAGAUAGCUUAUAUCAGUAGACGAACCUAAACAUGUCCUUAGUCUAAUCGGAAAUGAGCAAACCGAUUAAAAGACUAAUGUGUUGUCUAUCAAGUCCAAUUGGGGAGAUGCUUUGUCUUGGGCAUCGGAGCGGAUGACUCCUAGAAUAUAAAGACGUAGAUGUGACUGACUAGACUGACAGUAUAGUAGAUUGGACCCAAGAAGAAAAUAUACUAAAUCCGUUUAUGGGUUUAUUCACUUGUGACAUUCAUAGUGUGAUAUACCUAAAUCCUAAGUAGAUUAUGGACUAUAUGUGUGUGACUCGUAUACUUUGAUGUAAGUAAAAACUUGAGUUCGAAUAGAUAAGGGAUUGGAAGCUAGUGUAUUAGGUAUACGACUAUUGUAGUAUGUCACAUCAUUAGUAUGGACACAUAAAUGAGUUAUGUUGAUACUUCUUGACCAUAAAUUUUUAUAAAGAAAUAUAUCAUAACACUUCUAUAUUAUGUAAAUAAUAUAAUUAUUUGUUAUAAUUUUAUACAAUACACAAUGGUUUUUAUAAUAUAAUUUUUUAGUAUUAUAAUAUAAGAAUUUUUUUGUCAUAACAAUCCAAAGCACUCAUAGGUGUUCAUACUUAUAAUAUAAAUUUUUAUAACUUGCAUAAAAAUAAUUUUUUAAAAUUAGAUUUGGGUGUAAUUACCUACGUAAUUACUCCAAUUUUCACCCUCCCCUAAGAGUUAGAGAGUGUGUGAGAUCCACUAAUUACAAUGAUUUCCUAAACAUGCAGUCAUUUUAAUACAAUUACAAACAAUUACACCUAAAUACAAUUACUAAAUGAAUUUUUGGAGAAUUAAUAUAUAUUAUAUGGAGAAUUUUUGGUACACUGCUAAUGGACUUUUUAGACUCUACAAUUAGGUUCAGGAAUUGAUAAAUGUCCUAUAAAGGUAUAGUAUAAUAUUAAAAAAAUAUAUUAAAAAAUAUCUGUCAAAUUUUUAAAGUUGCUUAUGAAAUAAAAAAAAAUGUACAUUACCAAUAUACCAAAUAUUAAGUCAUAUUAUAUUACAAGGUCGAAAAAAACUUGUGUUCACGUUUUAUUUUUAUAACAUUUAACGUUUUUUUUUUUGUAAACAAGAACAACAGAAGGUGAUAAAAAAAUAAAAUCAAAAGCCCAAAAUAUCUUUUUGAAUUGAACCCGCACAACUUGAGGAGGUAUAGAGAACACCUAAAUACUUGUGAAUCCUAGAGCAAAAUGUUUGACCAUAAAAUUUGCAACUUCAUUAUGAGCUAUGAAAAUAUGACGAAUACAAACCUUCCAAUAUAACAUUUUACAUUUUAAUAUCAUUACAUAAAUUAACUGCAUUAAUUAUUUCUCUUUUUAAAAAUCUCAUGUAUAUAUUUAUUGCAUAAAAUUUAAAUAAUAAUAGUAAAUCUUAUCUCAAAUAUAUAUACGUGAGGAAUCUCUUAUAACAUUUCAUCUUUGUGAAAAUCAAAAUCCCCAAACAACCACUUCUAAAAAGCUGACCAUAUUUUAUUUUUAUUAUAUAUUAUAUCUUAAAAAAAUAUAAAUUGAAAGGAAGACCCAUCGCGUUUCUUCUUUUGUAAAUAAAGUGCUUUGCAAGUAAUAAUUUAGAAAUAUUUUCCCAACAUCUUAUAGAAAUGGGUCAACUACAAAAAUGAUUUCUUAUAUUUGUAUAAAUUUAGGUUUUAAUUACCCAUAUUUGAGUUGUUACUUAAAGAACACGAAUAUUAUCAAUUGAUAAUAAUUUAGUUACUUUGUUAUUACCCAACAUUAAAAGUAUUACAAAAAUAUAACAUGGCAUAAAUUGUAUCAUUAAAUGAUGAUGUGAUUUCCAUGUCAUUGUUAUCUAAUUUAAAUAUAUAUUUUGAAUUUUUUAACUUUUUUUUUCCUUGUUUUUCUUAUUUUUUCCUUUCUCCAAAAUCCCUCCAAACAUCAACCUCUUCCCCUUAACUUGGCCACCACCAUUACCAUUCAAACCAUCUCUUGCGCUCCACCGUUCACCUCUCUCACCAUCACUAAGCCAAAGCCACCACAUUUCAAAGCCCUAUUUCAUCACCACCAUAAUAACACUCAACAAACAGUAACCAACAACCAAAAAAAAAAAAACCAUAUUUCAAGUCCCCAAAUUAGAACUUGAAAAAACAAAAAAAAGAGAGAAGUAAAAAAAUAUCAAAGAAAAAGUAGGUAAACUAUACCCAAGGUCACUCUAAAAUAAGGUUUGUCCUAUUUUAGUCAAUCUAAUUUUUUUCUCAAUUUAGUCACUUUAAUUAAGAUAAUUGGUUGAAUUAGUUACUGCUGUAUAAAAUUUCGUUAAUCCACUAACAAAUUAUUAACGUGGCAUGUUAACCCAUUGAGUGAUUGACAUGUGAUAUUUAUUUUACUUUUGACUAAAACUAAGAGCCUCUCUAUAAUUAGUCCAAAACACUUUUUCCCUCUAUACCUUAGAAAUGGAGAUACCAAAUCCCCAUGUCGCCAUCUUGUCACUCCCUAUUCAGGGCCAUCUUAAAGCUACCUAUCGUUGUGGAGGCAUUUAAGCCUCAUGUGGGUUCCUCGUCUACCUCAAUUGAACAACAACUGCCAGUUGAUGUUGUUGUUGCUUGUAGUCAACAACUAGAACCAAAGGCGGCAAACAAGUGUUUUAUCUGUAGGAUGAAGGUUGGGUUAACUGGGUUUAAGUGCAGGUGCGAGAAUACGUUCUGUGGCGAGUAUUGGUACCCAAAAAAACAUGAGUGUUCUUUUGAUUUCAAGGGUGUUGGAUGUGAUGCCAUUGCUAAGGCAAACCCUAUUGCUAAAGCUGAUAAGGGGGAGAGGUUCUAAAGGUGGGGGCUUGUUGUUGAAUGAACGUGUUUCUUCCUUUUAUUUCUUUCCAUCUUGAGCUUAUCGAGGGCUCAAUUAGAUUUAGGGUCGAUGGAAUUUUGAGGGGGUGAUUUAGUAAUUUAUGUUGUUACUAGUGUUUUGUUGGGGUUGUGGGAUAUCAUUGAGGGGGUUGUUUAAGGGUGAAUCACUCCAUAAUUAAAAAAAAUGGAUCAAUGAAUGUUUUAAGUUUCAUUUUUAUUUUGAAUGUAUUUUCCUUUGAUCUUUCAUUAUAACAAUGGAUCAAUGUUGUUUAUGUAACGGCUUGAUUUUUAAUGAUAUCAAAAAAUGUAGUUUCAAAAUCCUAUUUUCGUAAACCGAGUCUAUAAAUAUUAAAUAUAAAUAUAAAUUUUUACGGGGUUAAUGUAAAAAUAUAUUGAGGUUCGGUGAAGUAAUUUUAUCAAUUAAAUAAUUAAUUAAGAUACAAGAACUAAAUUAUAAAAGUUCAAUCACUAUAAAUUUUUAAUUGAAAAAGAUUUGAGAACUUAAAUUGCAAUUAGCCAAAGGUCUAAAAUGAUAAUAAACCAUUUUAAUGUCGAAGUUAGUGGGUGGUGAUGUCAAAAUCCACUAAGAAUGAUUUAAGUUAGAUUAACUUAGUUUAAAUCAUGUUUAUGUUAAUUAAAAUAUUUUAAUUAAACUUUAAUUAAACUAUAUAAGUUAAGUUAGUUGUCACACGUCGAAAAUCAGGUUAACAAAAUCGGGUAAUUUAAUCGUGGGCUUGAUUGAAAUAUUGAGUUAGUGUCGUAGAAAUUAGAAAUUAAUAAAAUAAAAUAAAUAAUUAAAUAGGAAUUAAUAAUGAAAAUAAUAAUUGGAUUGAUAAAAAUAUAUUGGUGACGGUUAAAAUUGGAACAGUCUUUAAAUAGGAGCAUUUAGAAUAAUGGAGGAAAAAUGAGGGGGCAUGGAGGUAAAUAGCUCAAAUUUUAAAUUUCGGUUGGCUACAUAAGACCAUCCACCGUCCCUUCCUUCAAGACUUUCAACAAUUUCAAAAUUUGUUAGAUAUGAAAUAAAGAGAUUUCUCUCAAAAUUCCUUUCAUCCUCUUAAUUUUAUAGCAUCCAAACAUAUUUUUCCUCCAAAAUUUCAAAAAGUCAUUCUUUGUCCAUAAAUUUUCUAUUAACACUUGGCUCAUUUUUGCUCAAAUUGCUUCAAUUUUGUGGAGAUCUUCGAAUUAAAGGUAAACAUUCUGAUUUCUUAUGGUUUAAACAUUUAAAGUGUAAUUCAAUUCAUGUUUUCAUAGAUCUAAGCAAGAAAUCAUAGGAUCUAUGGUUUUGAAGCUUGAUUUUGCAUAAAAAUGGUGAAUCUCGUAAUAGAGGGCUAAGUGAUGGUUUUAAAAUGAUUUUCAACUUAUUUUGACAUGAUUAAAAGAUUUAUAAAUUUAAUUUAAUGAAUCCCUAAAGAAAUUACAUGAAUCAAAUGUUGAUUUGUGAUUUCAAAAUGAAUCAAAUGGUUUUAAAAUGAUUUUCAACUUAUUUUUCUUCUUGAGAUUAAAAGCGAACGUGAUUUCAAAAAAAUGUUGAUUUGUGAAAUUGAGUAAAAUUAAUGGUUUAAAUCUGUAAUUAAGCAUUAGAUCUGAUGUUAGGAAGUGAAAAUAGAGGAUUUACUUGAGUUUAAUUGAAGUAAUUAGAGGAUUUAAAGUAACACGAGUUGAGCUCGCUAGAUUUAGGAGAGUGAUGAGCUGCUAUGUUGUUAGGUGGAUAAUUUGUCUGUUUAAGAAUGAAAAUAGUUUGUAUUUAUAUUGUGUUAUGCGAAGCCUCUGAGCAUGAAGAAGUUGCCACUUUCACACCCUAUACCCGGUCUAGUCGUCGGACCCGAUUAUAAGAUGCUACAACAGUAAACCAAAACAUUCACAAGCAGUUUAUUCAAUAUUACUCAAUAAUCAAUAAAUGUAAGUUAACUCCUUGUUAAACAUAUAUUACAAUCAAAUUCAAGUCUUAGUUGGCUUAUGAAAACCUUUGAACAAGUUCAAAACUAAAUCGGGACCAAUCUGAAACAUUUACAAUAUAACAGGUAAAAUGCAAAAUAGGGGUCACACGAUUGUGUGACAGCACAGAGACCGUGUAGUGUAGGGAGACGGUCGUGUGGCCAAAUCGUGUGACAGAACUCAAACCGUGUGGAAGGAGACACACGAUCGUGUCUCCAAACUGUGUAACCGACUGAUGCCAUGUGGACCUAAAAUUUCAAAGUUUAAAUCGAGCACACAACUGUGUUACCAACCGUGUGGGGCACACAGCUAUGUGGCAAACCGUGUCACAAGCCGUGUGUAUCCAAAGCACCUUUAAACACAAGCAAUGUCAUCCAUCUUUUCUUAAAAAUCAAGCUAUACCAUUUGCAUUUAUUUAUACCAAGUCAAAACUCACUAAAACAUGUCAAAACAUGUUCAUUGAACAUUCAAUCUAAACCUAACCAAUAUGUCCUUAAUGGCAUCACAAUAUAAUCAUGAAACAACAACCAUCCAAAACAUUAACAUUCAUGCCAAGAUUUUUCAUGCCUACACAUACUUAUACAAUUAUCAUUGCUUUAACUAAGAUAUCAAUAAGCAAAGUUCAAUAAGUGACAUAAAACAUAAAAAAUCUAUUUUCACAAUUUAUGUAUACCUUAUUAAAUUAUGCCAUUAACCAUUUUAUACCAUUCAAGCCAUUUACUCCAAACAUCAACAAUUACCAACAUUUAAUAUCAACUCAUGCUAUUACCUAAACUUACACAUAAUCCCAUUCAAAUAUUGGCUAACAUUAUCAACUUACUAAAUGUCAAUUAGGUACCAAGCACUUAAUACAUCAAGGUUAGUUAUAAUCUUAUUCAUAACCAAAGUACUAAAACAUGGUCGUUAAUUUGCAAAGUAGACACCCUAUAUACAUGCCACAAGUAAUCAUACUUUCAAACUUACAAAACUACCGAGUUAGAAGAUAGUAGGUGUGAGCUUCUGCUAAUCAAAUCGACAUGUUACGAGUAUUCAAAAUCUACAGAAUAAUAAUAACAGAAGUAAUCAUAUAAAAUACUUAGUAAGCUCAUACAAUUCAAUUCAAUAACUUACCUUACUCAUUUAAUAGUUAAUUGCAAAUAGCUAUUCAAAAUAUUAUCCCUAUCACGACAUAGUUCAAAAAAUUUCGGGUCAAUAAAUAACGAACAUACAUGUAUUCAAAGAUCAUAUUUCGUCCACAUUAAUGAUACAAUUUCACACUGUAUAUCCUUUGAUUUUCCAAUGGAAUUUUGUAAAAGUAACUCAGUACACGAGUGCGGCUAACAUAAGAUGCUCGUCCGAGCUAGUCAUAUACAGAAACAUAAGUGUCAGGUUACCCGUCCAGGCUAAACCAGUGACCACAGAAAAAUAGCCUAACCAAGGCUAUAAAUAAAUGUAAGGUUACCAGUCCAGGCUAAACCUUUAAAGUGACAACAGAUUACCAUUCCAAGCUAAAUUUGUGUCAAAUGUAUAUCCAACUUCGCAACAAAUACUGGAGCUCGGUCUAGUCGGGAAUCAAUCUAAAACCUCGUAUAUGAGACUUUUACUCGGUCCAUCGCAAUUAUCUCAGAAUUCAAUUAAUUACCAAAUAGUCUGAAUCCAAUUUCAGUAGUUUCUAUAUGUAUAUAAUUAACAAAAAUUAAUAAAAAAUUAUAAUCAUAGAAGUAGUAUGAACUUACCUGACAAAACCGUAGCAGUUUAGCUAUCAGGGACUAUUCGGCAGUUUUCAUAUUUUUGCCUAAGUCAACAACUUGAUCUAUAUAAUAGUUAAGAUUCAAAAUAUAAAUAUCAAUCUCAUAAUAACACUCAAAUUCAUGCUUACAAUCUUUUAAUUUCAUUUUACAUAAUUUCCCUAAACUUUUAUAUUUUAUUCAAUUUAGUCCCUAAAAUAAAACUUAUCAUAACUUCCUAAUUUGGACUUCAAACUUUAAAUUAACUUCAAAUAAAUUCAAUUACAUUCAAAUAUUAUAAAAUUUUUUAGAAAUUACAUAUCAAUUUUAGGAUAUUAAUAAUUUAGUCCUUAUGUUCAAAAUUAAUAAAAAUCACAUUAUAAAUUAGUCCUUAAACAUUUCAUAGCUUCCAAAUCUACAAUUUCAUGUCAAAAACAUCUAAGAUUCAUCAAUGACAAGUUUUAAAAUCUUUAACAAUUUCAAAAUCAGAGAUACGUAUUAGUUGGACCUAGUUGCAACGAUAUCAAAAACAUUAAAAUUACAAGAAACAUGAUUGAUUUGCUUACCAAAAAAGAGGGUCGAAUGUUACUUGAAGUUUUUCAAUGGCUUCUCAAUUUUUCUUUCCUUCCAAACGGUGGAGAAUUAGCAAAUAGAAGAUGACAACUUUACUUUUAUGUGCUAUUCCUGUAUUUAAUAUAAUUAUAUAAAUAUUAAAAUUCAUUUCUUUAACUUAAUCCAUCAAACCGACCACUCAUAAUAAAAAUUGUCUUGUUUCCAUGUAGAACCUCAAUCUAAUAAUAUUUAACCUUUUUAUCAAAUAAAAAUCAAUAGCGAAAGAGUUUUACAAUUUUUACGAUUUAGUCCUUUUUACUUAAUUAACUAUCAAAUCGUUAAAAUUUUCGAACCAAGAUUCAAUAUACCUAUAUAUUAAGUCCAUAAAUAUUUAAAAUAUUUACGGGCUAGGUU
rnacentral:lncRNA from 1 species